rnacentral:lncRNA from 1 species
CCUCCUCCUUAUCUUCUUCCUUUUUUUUUCCCUGGGUGGAGCAGAAGUGGUCUGGCGAACCGACGCACGCUGAGAAAUCCUGGGCAUGGGGUCUCAUUAGGUAAGCAGAGGCCAGGGCAGCAGGGCUUCACCCAGACACUGAUUAUUCUGAGAGCGAUAUCUGGAGGAUCACCUUGGCUAUACACCUGAUUAGAGCUCUUGACUCUCAGAGUUUAGAACCUCUUUGACUCCUGAAAAUGAAUUAAUCUUGUCUGUUGUGUGGAGGUGGUAGAGAUGUGAAAUUUAGUGCACUUUAAGGUGCUAUUUUCUUCUUAUUUAAGCAUUUUCUGGUUGGAUUAUUUUUAUUCAGAGCUUUGUUUUUCUUCUCUCAAAUCAAACCUGCUCUAUUCUGGCGAGGCCUUCUUGUUUCACUUAUCCAAAGACUAAAUAUGUUUUCCACCUCUUUGAUAGAUGCACUUAUUGUCUAUUUACUUGAAUUCAGUUUAUAACAGAAUGAAUGACUUUACCCUGGUUUUGGAGCAUCAUGAGAUUACCGAAUAGAUCAUCCUUAUAUGCAUGCAGCCCACUCAUAAAAAUUGAUGACACGAAGCCCAGCUCAUGAUAGGCAGCGGUUGCACGCAUAAUAUAAUGUUGAGUCCUCUACAUGGUAAUCUGAUCUGAGAGGGAUUCAAUUAUUUAAUAAAAACACGACAGACUAUCAUUAAAACAAAUUGUGUGUGUCAACGCCAGCACACAGUCUGCGCUGCGAGGUCACAGGUGUAAUGUUGUGUUUUGAAGUCUUGAUCCCUCCCACACACACUCGCACAGACGUAAUCUCUGUGCACUGGUUCUCCUCUUAUGAAUUGGCUGAAUUGAUCCUCAUACAAAUUAGGUCUGUCCUCAAAGGGCUCCAUCAAUACAUUGACUCCUUUUAUGAGGGUCAUCAAACAGCCAUUACUGGGCAUCAGGGGGUCCCGUUUGGGGAGAGACUGCCCAGGGUGACUGAUGAGCCGGGUGGGGAUGGGAGCUCGUCUGGGGGCCUCGGAGCUGUGGGCCUGUAACAGAGAAGCAAGGGGAGGGGGUUGCUUAUUGAGUGUUAGAUUCAUCAGUUAAGCAAAGCCAAAUUAAUUUGCUCGACAACAGAGCUGCUUUAAAAUAAAACCCUUCAGUUAGUUUUCUGUUCUGGAAAACCUCAAACAUUUUAAUCUUUGUAAUACUUACAACAUUUUAUUUAUCCAUCUGGAAGCUCUGAAACAGAUUGAGCAUGUUAUCCUCUCUCUGUUUAAUGAGGGGGAUUUCAGAUUUCUGGUACAAGGGGAGGUACACAUGUACGGAGUUUAUUGUUGUCCAUUAAUGUGCAAUUUGGCAGCACAAAUUACCAGAAAAGUAGGAGUAAAACAAAUUUGCUGCUGCACUACGAUCUAAACUGCAUCAUUUAAAAGCCCCAGUUAUCUAUCUUGUCUGAUCAGGCUGUGUGAUUGGCUCUCUCAGAGCUUAAUCAUGUCAUCUCUUACUAUUCUUGUCUGUAUUGUCAAUAUAAGUGAAUGCCUUGAAUACAGAAAUAAUUACCCAUUUUGUAUUUCCAAAUAAAGAGGCUGUCCUUUUCUUGAUCCCACGAACAAGAUCGAAAAAAAAUUAAACAAACAAAACGCUUUGAGUGUCUGGUAUUAUACUCAUUACAAGAGAAAAUCAUGUUGAAAUAUGAAAAAUAGACAAGCAGGGUGAAAAAAAAAAAAAAAACCUGCAGUAUUCCCAAAGGAUGCUCUCAGGUGUUACGAAAGAUUCCUUUAAACUGAGUACAGACACAGCAGGAUGUAAACAAACUGUCACUGCUGUCAAACACUCGCUUCACAGAGUGUCAAAAGUUCAGACUUUUCAAUUACAGCAGCUUUAGUAUGCACGCACGCCUCCCCUGACUGAUUAAAAUGCACCAUUUUAAGUCUAAUUGUUCGAGAAAACUCUGUUUUAUGUUGCUGCAAUGGUAAUAACUAAUGAUAGAUGCAUAAAAUUAGCAUACAUUUCCCAGACCAAGAGAAUAUCUGAUCAUUGUGCCAUGGAGAAUUGCUCUAAGUUAGGAAGUUAAUUUCAUUAUCUCCUCCUCCUCAUUUAAAGCGCGCCACUUUACAAUAAUUGGAAAACAGAAUAAAAGAUUAGCUUUUGACUGGGUGACGGGCGUUAAUAAAGUGUGAUGGAAUGUGAGUGUUACAGAGCGGGUACCAAUUACAGCAGCCAAUCUCCGACAGGCAGCCAUUGAUGGUGGUGGUUCAAUCUCUUCAUCUGGCGUACAGUACCAUCAGGGACCCUCUGCAGAGACCUCUGCUCCAGAUAGCAGGCUAAUUGUCAAUUCUGCUUAAGUCAUAAGGAGAGCUAUUUUACCAGGGCUUUGGAGGGGAAGUGAGCUGCAAAAUUAAAGUGGAAAAAAGUGAAAGUGUAGCAUAAAUGUGGAAAUAAAGUUCAGAGAGGAGAAACUCAGAGAGAUUUUUAUGGAACCAUUUGGGUUUGAUGAUAUGAAAAAAAAAUGUCUUAUGGAAAAAAAAAAAUCUGCAAGGAGAAUGAUAUUAAACUCAGCUUUAUGAAAUGUGGUGCAACCUGCCUGUUGAACUAGUUGAACUGCUAAAGUCAAGUCAGUCUUUUCUCAGUGAAGUUACCAUCGUCCACAGUAGUGUUCAAAAUGUGAUAAUUUUAAUUAUUUUCCUAAUUGUUUGCAAAGGGUUGAAAAGAAAGAAUACAUGAUGGUUUAAUAUCUAAUUAUCUUAGUUCAUCCACACUCGGAGGUGCCACAAUCUAUCAAACCCCUGUUAAAAAAAACAGCCAUUUUAAAAAGACAUUUUUUCCUCUUGAGGUCAGACCUGAUCGAGUUUGUAUUCUUACUGUUUCACCAAUCUGCGUUAUAAUGUUGAACUUUAAACCAAAUUAUGACCUAUUAUUGUUAACAAGUAGGUAUUUGUCUUUUUCAUACCAUUGGGGUGUCUGGUAUUAUACUCACCAGCUCUGCUGCUGUUGCCUGGAUUGCAGGACACGAUGUUUUUACAGCUUUCAGAGGUUGUUAGGUCCAAGAAGCUCCUCAGGCAGCUUUCACAUCUGGGCCCAGUGACCUCCAUUAUUUCAUGGUUCUUGGUACCACUGGGAAGCAAAGACUUACAUUUUUGCAACAAUAUUUCUUUGUGUAGAAUGAUACGGGAAAUAAGCCACCGUUUUUGCCCCAGUGUCAACAGACAGAGGUAAGAUGUGCAGGACUCCUUUGUGUGGAUUGAUUUAAUUUCACAUAUGUGAGCAGGUUGUCCUUGGUGUCACAAAACUACCUGUGUCCUGGGGGUUUGACCAAUCAGAAUCAUGUAUUUAACACCCUUGAGCAAUAAACUACUGUAGUUAACCUCUGAUCAUGAUCAUCUUGAUUGACAAUAGGUUCUAGCCUGGCCUAAGAAAAUACAUUAUCCCAUCUUACAUUAGUGUUUAUUGAAACAUUUUGCAAACUGAGGCCCCAAUAGAAUAGAAACGGAACAGAAUUAGUAACAAUGACAAAAUAUGACAGUUUGUUUAGAGUCUUGGACUUUUGUUGUCCAUCCUUUUAAUGCAGGGAAGUGUUCCUUUUGCAGUUUGAGGUUUCUGUCCAUUCAAGGCAAGUUUUUCUUUGUCACUGAUGGCUGAGUGGCUGCUCAUGCUGGAUUGAUGUUUGGCCUCUCUAAAUAUAAUUACUACACUCAAGCUGUGCUCUCUAAAGAAAGAGGUAUGAAAUGACUUAACUUGUGAUUGAAUGCUAUUUUCAAGAAUAAGUGGUUGAUAGAGCUCAAAGAGAGAGCUGUUUCCAGUAUGUGGGUUCCUAUUUUCUUGUGUAAGGAGCCACUGUUGUACAAAACAGAUUAUCUUCAUAUUUACUAUAUUAAUUUUUUUAAACCCGGUGACAUAAAGUCUAUCAUCUGUUCCAACCAUCAUUUAUUUCCCUUCACUUCUUUAAUUGAACAUAAUCAAACCUGUAAGUAGGACAUAAUGGCAGGCACCUGCAGCUCUGUUCAUGCUCAUAGGUAGGCACACACACACACAAACACAGAGGAUCCAGUCUAAUCAAAAAUGAUGUGCUGGCCCCUUUGUUGUCAAAGUCUUCAUACUGAAAUCGCAUAUUCAUGGGGGUGUAUUUAAGCCUUUUCUGCUGGCAUAAGCAUGCAGCAAAGCAGCACGGCACUGCUGUGACUGUCGCUCUCUGCUGUUCUCUUUGCCACUUAACCUACCUCUGUGUUUGAGAACCUUGCUUUUUGAUGCCGUGAUCUGCAUCUCAGCCCUAUCCCAGUUAAGUCUUCAGGUGGCUCGGAGGCCUUUUGUAACACAAGCCGCCCCUUGAUCAUCCACUAAACAGCAAGUUUGCAGUUAUUCAUUGAUGUGAUUUUGUUGUGGAGUGGCAGUGGACAAACUGAACUGCUUUGAAUUAGUGCAACGCUGCUGCUGCUGCUACUGCUGCUGCAGCAGUGGUGAAGUGAGGUUUGCUGCAGAUGUUGAGUGCAGCUGUUUUCUCACUUUAACAAUACAGAGCAAGCUUCAAACGCACUAACCAGCCUGCUCACUUGAACUCAGACAUCUAUUUUUUAUCAUGUCUCCAGACUUCUGCUCCUUUAUUUUAGCCAACACCCAUCAAAUGCUUGCAUCAUGAAAUUCAAAAUAUCUGCGACUUUACCAAAAAAAACACAGAAUAUUGUGCAACAUUUUCAGAACCUCACUGAAGAGUAUUUGUGAUAAAUUGGCAGCUUGUAUCAAGUAAAAUGAUAAAUGAUACUCAUACAUCUCUAAAUUAAAGAUGUCUUUGUUCAUAUGAAAUAACUCACCAUGGAUUCAUGGCCUUAAUGUGUUCAUCCUCUUUGUUUCAACAUGUAAUAUCAGUGAUGUUACCAUGGUUACAUGUUCAUUUUUUUCACACAGGAGUUGAAAUUGUUGUAUUAUACUGACCGUAUAAGUCUUUGGUCAUUUACCCAUGAUGCCAUGAGUGGGGUUGGAAGCUUUCAUGCUGUUAUCGUAUCAUUCUGUUGCAUUGCUGAUUGUAAGCUUGAUGAUUUUCUUUAUGGCCUUAACAACUUAACAGAAUCUGAAGAGAACUUUGAAAAGAAACCUGGCUACAUGUCAAAUGAAAGGUUUAUGAACUUCAGUAAACAUGUUAAAUGGGUGUAAAAAAACGGAUCCAGAGUUUUCAGCAGGAGGGAGAGGGAGAUGUGUUAAAAUGGGUAAAACCCUCUUUUCUUUAACUUUGUUUGGUUAAAUUAGAGAAUCUCUGUAUGUACCUCUAAGUUGCAGAACCAGACAAACAAAUCUCUUCACCCUUGAAAUCAUGAGGUUUUGUUUCCAGGGCGAGGAAUUAUCCUCCUGCUGUCAAGCCUCUUUGAUCCUCCGUAAGUUCAACAUCCCCUGUUUCCAUUAAAUCUUGUCUUUGGAAGAGCUGCCAAUGACAUGACAGCUUUUCACAAGUCAUCUCCCACACCUGCAGGACCAGGUCCUUACACCCCAACACAAACACACACACACACCACCACAGACCCUGUGAGUUUUUGAGAUUAAUACCUGUUUUUUGUGGAGUAACUGCAGAUUGUCGUUACUUUUUGUUAUUGCUUUUAAGUUUAUUUGCUUUAAAAUAAUUGCAAACCAUUUCAUUGCAAAAGAUGGACGAAAAACCUCAUUGUCUUCUCUCGGCGCAAAACCUCGUUGAAACUGAUUUUGGAUGAGAUUUUAGUGGUCAGUAAAUCUGAUGAAGAAUAUAUGAAAUUAACUGCUUUUGUCUUUCACCCAUAUUAGCAAAGGAAAUGAUGUCGAUAAAAAAGUUCCCACUGAAAUGAUGUAAUAACAGGGCUUGAAAUUAACUUUUUAUACUGGGAAGCACUAAUGCUCACACUUUAAAAAGUUAAGAGCCCUACAACUGCAACAUACGUAUUAGGAUUUCUUUUAUUUAAAACAAAGCCAUAUUUCUGCUAUUUCAUCGAGAGCACUGGCAGCAUCCUGACAAAUGACAGCUGAACAUCCCCAUCUGGUUUUGUAUCCUUUCUCGCCACACACUUCUCCUGGUGUUUCUCGUGUUUGCCACUCUUUCCGUGUAGUCAGGCUCUUACCUUGAAAAUACAUGGAUUUCGUGGAGAGUGGAGCACAUCUGACCCACAGGCUUUACAGUGAGGGCAGUGCAUUGUGCCAUUUUCUAAGUGGAGCCAUUCAAAUCUUUGAGCCGCUCCCUCAAAUAAACAUAGGCCUUCUUUGCUUCUGCUGCUGCUGCAUCCACAUUUAACACAUUACAGCCAACAGCACCGUUAAGAGUCACAUUUUUAGUAAUGUUAGGCGGCUUAAAAAAAGAAAUCCUCCAGUGUUGUACUAAUCUUCUCAGCUCUUUUGAUUUAUGUCUAGUUAGAUCUGUGUCAUGUGACAAUAAAGCAUGGUCACUAUUUUUCAUACUGAAUAAAAUUCUAGGAAACAUAUAUAGAUUAACUGUGUCAGCUAAAACCUUUUAUCAGCUCCACUUGAACGUAAUACUUUGUUGCCAAAUAAGUGGCUUACUGGUUUCUCUGUAUCCAGAAGUCAUGGCUUCAUCAGGAGUAAGCUCGUUCAUGUUAGGAAUGGGGAAGCACCAGCUGCACGGGUAUGACUUUUAACCCAAAAUUGAAACUUUUGAAGUAGUUUAAAAUAAAUAUUGAUGAAGAGAUAUUACUUUGCAGGGCUUGACACUAACUUUUUUCUUAAGGAGCACGAUGAAAAUUGAUCAAAUCAUGUGAGUCUUAUUGGUCGACUUAAGUACUAUCAUUUGAAAUCAAUUUUAGGAAAGUUGGUCACAUGACAUGGAAGCUAUUGAAGUAAAGAUUCAAAAUUUGCCUUUAAAUUUAACACAUUUUUUUAGAGGACAAAUUAUGGAAAUAAAGAGGUGUGUCUCAUUGUCCAACCUUAGUGCUCUUAUUUGAAAUCAAUUUUAAGUCAAUUGGUCACAUGAGAUGGAAGCUAUUGAAAGCAAACAGCCUUUUUUUAGAACAUCAACCGGUAAUUUAUUGGUGGUCCAAUAUCUUAUUCAACACCCAACGUUGACAGCGAGGUUGCUGAGUAGAUUUAACAUUUUACAAUUUGCACACUUCUAUUUUAAGUCGCAAAUGCAAGUGAAACGGUCGCACUGUCGAGCCCUGCUUUGACAAUGUGAUUUUUGUUUAAUGUCUGAAAUGUAAAAUUCAUUAUUAUAAUUGGAAUGUUUGCUCUUUUAUUUAUUCACUUUUUUUAGUUGUUAAUUUAUCAAUAAGUCACGCACAAAAAGAUGCUCAUCCUACAAAGACGGGAAAAAGCAUCAACAGAAUGAGAGCAAAGGAACUGUUUCCAAUCAUUACAAGUCAGUCCAUUUCAAAUUAAUAAUGAACACAAACCAUCCUGAUUGAAGGUACUAACUCUACCUUUAACCCAUCAGACUUACAGAGCUGCUCUAGGCCUGUUGGCAGGCACUUAAAAGGAUGCACUAACACCGUCUCUUAAACUCCUUUUGGUAUCAAAUGAAGUGUAGAGUCAAAAGAUUUUAAUCAUCCACCAGUCGUUUAUAGUAAAACAGGUUAAGUGACCAGUAUACAGACUGGAUAAAGUUACGUAUAACUCCUGCCCUAGAACUGAACUUCCACAUAAAGGGAAUACAAAACUUGUUAAACUCAUCUUAAAUGAUGCUAUACACAUGAUGUAUUUGUAUGUACAUGUGCAAAGCAAUUUGUAAUUCACCCGAAUGAGCCACACCAUGAAUUACCUUAAUUAGAAACACCCCCCUAAGCUCUUUUUAUUGAUCGCCCAGCGUGCUAAAUCAAAAGUAAUGUUGGACAGUUACCCGAGAAUGCCUUUGCUGAUUAAUCAGACUCUGCUCAAUCAUUUCUCUUUUAAACUAUUUCCUCUUCUUUUUAACACGUCUCCUCUUCACCCCAGCGUUUUUGUAUUUUUAAUUUUCAUUUCCCAGCGCCUUAUUUGAUGUUUUGUAACUUUUCAUGUGUUGCCAGUGGAUUGCUGACUUAAAAAAGACGAUGCUUCCCUUCCAGGGUGGCAAGGGUCUAUAUGCAUAUGAAUAUUUUCCAUUGAUGAAUAUGAUACACGGCUGCCGCGCCUUUGAUAGUCUCCUGCUCGGGUCCUGUGUGAUGUCAUAAUGUGGGGACGCCGACCCUGGGCAAAACAUCCCAAUGCACAGCAGAGAGGAGCAAACAUAAGAGCCCUUUGACGUCUUCUGUGUUUAAUAUUACACGACUGUUUACUGGUUCUGGUGUCCAACCGGGAGUCCAAAUAUGUUUAAGGUCAAGCCAUCUCAAUUCCUCUUCAGUCAACUUCAGGAUCUUUGAUCACUUGUUGUUUUUGACUGUGCUGUGUUCAAUCGUGGCCAGGUCUUUAUAAUGCAUGAGGACAUUACAUAGUUAUGAACAGCUUGGCAGGCGAGUCAAGGCAGUGAUGGAACUUGUUAGACACUUUCUGAAAGAACUUCUUCAGCGUACCUUAAGGUUAAGGAAUAGUUAGACUUUUGAGAGUAACCCAACUCACUUUCUCGCUAAAACUUAGAUGAGAAGUUUUUUUACCGCUCGAGCAUCUUAAACCACUCCAGGAAGUCACUGCCUAUGGCUAAUACACCUCAAUGUUUUUAUUUUUACACCCAGAUUUGUACGGAUUUAAUAACAAAAAUAUGAUGUGUUAAAAUGUGAACUUCAGGAGUGCUGGUACGUUGAAUUUAUGUUAAUUUUUUACACAGAGGGUGAAAUGUCAGUUUAUGAAAAUAGCCGGGCAUGUGUAAACGUAGUCUCAAUCUGCUUUCUCUGUGAUGCUGCAGUGGGGCGUACAUGUUUACAUUUUACAGCCAUGUACAGUCUGCAAACUUCUCUUGUUCUAAAUCUAACAUUGCUUCACCCUGUAGCAAACUUCAUGGAAGUUGUCCUCUUCUUUUCAUACACAAUGAAGUAAGCAUGCGUUUUCCUUUUUCAGUGUAGUGGGCAUUUUUCUUCCUCUGUGGUUUAGUGAGGCUACCUUACAGCUCUCAGGUGCACUGUAGCCACCAUCCUGCAAGAGAGGACCGCAUCACGACCAGGCACAGAUUAAACUGUGGAAAAUGUUUUUUUUUCAAUAAUAAUAUCUUCUAUUACCUUGAAGUUUUGAUAAGUAGUGAUUUAUGAUCUAGAAGCAUUUAUUUCAGAUCUAUGUUACAUUUGCACCUCUCAACAUUUCUAUCUCUUCUAAAGUUCUGCACAUUGAAGUUUGAUCCCAAACAUGCUACAUUUGGUUUACAUGAAUAAAAGCAAAAAAACAACACUUUGUCUCAAAUUUAGUCCAAAGACACAGAAUACAACAUACAGUAUAGAGGUUGAAGGGAAUUAUGAGUAAGAAACCACAGGAAUAAAGCUGCAGAAAGAGUUAAAAGAAGUUAUUUGUGAAAUAGAAAGUUCAGUUUAUCUGAGAGUGAGAGAGGACCUCUUCCCAGAGACAAAAACACUUGUUGAUCGGAGAGAGUUUAAUGGCAUCUAUGGACCAAAGAACUGCAUCAUGAUUGAACAGGGAUUUCUUUUUUCAGCGAGGGGAAGCAUGGCUUUCUAAAACAUGAGCUGUUGUUGUUACUUUUCUUUUAAAUGUACUUUUUAAAGUUACAAACAAAGGCAGUAGUCAUCUCAGUGCGCUGUGAUGUUCAACACGAUGCUCAUUUAUCGUAGAUCAUUGUAACAGAUGUUUAUUCAGCAUGUGUUUUUAAAUAAAGUCUCUGCUUCAAAUCCUCACGUACUUUUAUCCCCGAGAGACCAACUUAGACAAACAAGUCUUCUUUUCCCAGGUCUUCCCAGUCUUAUCAUAAGGUAAACUGUCUUAUAAAGUAAAAUUAUUUACUGAUAAUAAAAGCCAAACAAGAAGUACCGAAUCUUUCAUGUUCACACAGGGUUACAAAUAUCAACUUCACCCAAAUCCUAAAAAUAGAACUUUCCUCUCUCACUUAGCAAAGAGAGGCCUGUGCAGCUACAAACAUUACCUGCUAAUGUACCAUAACUCAUUUUUAACUGGAAGUCUGCACUUUAUGGACACUUACUGUUGUCUUACAUAAAAAUCCACCAUUUUAGGCCUUUUUAUAUGUUCAAAUCUGAGCAGAAACUUAUUUUUACUCUUUUGUCUGAUAUGAUGUUUAGACUUUUAGUAAGCCUUACAUUUUUUUGCAGUUAAGGUGCAAAAGCCUUUGCAAGCGAGAAGCCUGUAUACUGUUUUGAAAAACGUUGCAGGUGUUGAAACGAUCUAACAAAGUGUGCUGCCGGUGGAGGCGGGAGGAAGUGAAGGGAAGCUAUCGAACUUGUGUCCUGGUUUCCCUACUAGAUAAUGAUCUCUUGAAAGUGUGUGUUUUUUCCUCUUCUUCCAGUAACUGCGUGCACGAGAUGAAAGAUAGUUCCGGGGCUAGUGCACCGGCGCACAUCUGACUGAGGCAGGUGUUAGAAAUGUAGAUGGCUGGCGGAGACUAAAGACAAUACAAAUUUGAAGUGAAAACGCUACUGGCACGCCUCCUCUGUUCUUAACACGUGAAGCCCCAGGCCGAUCAAUUAUUCAUCCUAUUGUGCGUGCGCGUGGCACACUGUUAGUUCUGUAGUCGGAGAGGAGGUGUCUGUUGCACUUAAAGAGUGAGCACCGCGUCGCUCGGCAGGCCCAGGUCUGUCAGCCUGUCUCUGUCUGUCUCUCUCUGCCUCUUGCGCUCGCACACAUACACACAUGCACACACACGUAAAAAAAAAAAAAAAAAAAAAAGCCCUUGUUCUGCCUGAGCCUUUUUAAUGAUGGGAUCAGGGGCGAGAAUUGGUGGCUAAAGUGCAGCUCCAGUUGUUUGAAAAGAGGAGAAAAAGAAAGAGAAACAUAGAGCUAGAAGAGUGGGAAAGAGAGAAAGAUUGGGUGGGAGGAGGUUGCAGGGAGGGGUGGGGUGGGGGGCCUGCUUUGUACACUGGGGGUAUUUUUCAAAGCAGUGCAGACUUGAAGCCAUUGGGAGGCUCCUUUGACUUUAAUCUUGGCUGCUUCUUUGAAAAUUAUGACCGAGGACCACGGUUGCUUCAUUAAAAGACAUGUUCUGUUUCUUGUGUAGUUUCAGCCAGAUUUUUCUUUUUGUGUGAGUGAUGCUGAUUUCAGCUUUCCACCCCUCGGUGCUUCCGGAGGCCUCCUGAGCACCUUGCAGUGUUAAGGGCCACUCACUUUGGAUGUGUGUAUGUAAAUAGAGUGGUGAAUCUCAACUGAGGAGCAGACACACUUGAUUUCCUCUCACCUCCUGAAAUAACCACUUCACCGGGCCAUACUCUACAUGGUCUGUAUCUUCAAGCUAUUGUCCCUGUUAAAUGCUGCUCUGUUAUUGUGCUACCCUCUUUUAUCUGAAAACGAACUAAUGAGAGAAGAUCUUGUUCUCUAGUUGCUUGUAAGUGGGUAGUAAGUGUGGUGUGUUAAGUUCUGUGUAAAUUUGGAAACGGCUCGCUUUUAAAAACUAAACCAAAUGUCUGUCCGAAAAUUACACUUUGUGCAUGAUCAUGGACCAAAGACAGAGGUAAAUAUCCUCAAAGACGCACCUAUACUUCACCAGAAUAAAAUGUCAUUACAAGGGUAUCUCCAUCAACCUCUAAUACAGCCUUUUGUUUCUAUUUAAGUUUGGUUGUGAAUAUGUGUAAGCUUGAAUUUGACAGAACAGAUAAUGAUGUAUUAGAUAUUGGAAUGAUUGGCUUAUAUUUGGUUAAUGUAUAAGGUAUUGUUUACAUUUGGUAGAUCAUAGGGAAUUGGCUGAGGUCUGGUUGUGUAAAACCUUGUGAUGGUGUAAAUCUGAUAGGGGUUAACAGGUGUAAAUAGCCCAAAUUUGAUCAGGUGAAUUGGGUUCUGACUCACAUUUGGUGGUGCGUAUCAGGCUUUGGCUAAGAUUAGGUCAGGCAAAAAACAGAUGUUUGCUUCAAGCUGAUAGAGCAUGCUAGGUGUUGGUAUAGAUAUGGUGGGCUGAAUCAGGUCUUGGCUUAAUUUAGUUAUGCGUCAGGUAUUGGCAACAGUUGUUGGCUUGGCUUGUGUAGGGUUUAUUAGAUAUUAUCUUAAAUUUGGUAGGAUGAAUAGGUUUUGGCCAGAUACUGGUUGGGCAUAUUAUGUAUUUGUAUUAAAUUUGUAUUCAAAUUUGGUAUGGCACACUAGGUAUUGCCUUUUUAUCACUAAAUUAAAACAAGGUGCAAUUUUGACAACAAAAAUGUUCAUUUUUUUCAGAGAAUACACCUUUAAGCUACUCACACAUGUAGACUCUUUCUUUUGUACCCUAACUGGUUUUGUACCACAACUCUAACACAAAAAAGGUCACUGCUUCAGUCUCUCUUUCUAAUCUGAGACACACAAACACCCCCACACAUGCACACAUCAUAUAUACUGUAGAUUAGAUCCAGUGGCAGGAGGAAAUGAAGGUAGAGAGAUGAGACCUGUGCGAAAUGCCACACAAAGUGCUAAUCGAUCCCUUGCUGCGUUCACAUACUGUGAGUGCACAAAUCAGGGCACAGCAAGUUGCCUCUAAUGACCUGGACCACGGCACACAAACACACUACAUGCACACUGGUUUAUGCACACUGACACAGCUGCAACAGAAACCCACAGAAUACAUACUGUCUGUAUGAAUAAACGCACCGACUCUUAUCACACACAGACACACUCACAGCUGUCAGCAGCCAAGCCUCCAUCCUUUGCCCUCUGCUCCUUCAUCAUCAUCUAACCCUUUUCCUGUCUAUCAAGCCUUUCUCCCUGUGAAUAUACAGUUCACACAAAUGUUGACUGGUAAAUGCUUUAUGAAGUGCCACUUGUACAAAUCAUGCCACUGCAGUUCCCCAAAGCCCUGCCAGCAGGAAGCAUCUGUAGGUUGUGAUCCUCAGUUAACCAUAUGUGUUUUAAACAUACUCUACAUGCAGUAUUCAUGCUGUAACCAAUCUAUGAAUGUACUGUGUGUGUACGUGAGUGUGCGGGUGUGUGCGUGUGUGUGUGUAAGACAGAAACAAACAGUCUUGCUGCAUGUGUACUUGCUUGUGAUUUUUAUACAGUAUGUGAUAAUCAACUAGUUAUGUGAUGCUUUUUAGGGCCCGAGCGUAGCUGCUAAGCAGCUGCGAGAGCCCUCUUGUUCCUGUAGUUUCCUUCUUUUGUUAUUAUUAGGGCCCGAGCGUAGCUGCUAAGCAGCUGCGAGAGCCCUCUUGUUCCUGUAGUUUCCUUCUUUUGUUAUUAUUAUUAUUAGGGCCCGAGCCAGCUGCAGAGCAGCCGGGCGUAGGCCCUGUUAUUCCUGUAGGGGUUUUUCUUUAGGGCCCGAGCGUAGCUGCUAAGCAGCUGCGAGAGCCCUAUUAUUCCCCAAGUGGUUUUUUAGGGCCCGAGCCAGCUGCAGAGCAGCCGGGCGUAGGCCCUGUUAUUCCUGUAGGGGUUUUUCUUUGUUUCUUUCUUUCUUCUUUUUCCUCCCCUUUGAACUGGAAAAUGGCCCACUUCCCACUGGCGAAAACUCAUGAAAUUUGGCAGGACGACCGGGCCUGGUGAAAAAUUUGAUAUUCCGAAGUCGCCCAAACAAGAAAAUGCAAAAUGGCUCCAUAGCGCCCCCUAAGGUGAAAAUUCACACUAUUGACUGUCACGCCUGUACGCUUUGUCAAAAUGACACAAAAAUUGACACACACAUGUAUCUCAAUAAGAUCUACAAAAAAGUCAGCGCGGGCGUAUCUGUCAAAUGUACGGUUAAAGGGUUAUUUCGCAUUUUUUGCCGAUCCGCACACAUUGGAAUUUCGCUAACUCCUCCGAAGGCUUUCGUUCCACCGGCACCACAUUUGCUCAGGCCAAUCUACACCCCAUGGCCAUUAAAAGUUAUUCAAAUCAUGACGCUGCACCCCACGGUUUAGGUUCUAGGGGGCGCCAAAGAUAACCCUAAAAUCCACAUAUUUAAAAGUCUUAUAACUUUUUAUUUUUGCCCUCACUGGCCUCCAAGUUUUCUAGGAUGAUGCAAUGUCCAGCCAUCAACACAUUUGUGAAGGAAUUUUUACUCCCCAAAAGAGCGCCCCCCCAUGGCAGGAGAAAAAAGUCAAUUUUUUCUUGUCCCCUAAGGUGAAAAUACACAUUGUUGAGUGUCACGCCUAUACGCUUUGUCAAAAUGACACAAAAAUUGACACACACAUGUAUCUCAAUAAGAUCUACAAAAAAGUCCAUGCGCGCGUAUCUGUCAAAUGUACGGUUAAAGGGUUAUUCCGCAUUUUUUGCCGAUUCGCACACAUUGGAAUUUCGCUAACUCCUCCGAAGGCUUUCGUUCCACCGGCACCACAUUUGCUCAGGCCAAUCUACACCCCAUGGCCAUUAAAAGUUAUUCAAAUCAUGACGCUGCACCCCAUGGUUUAGGUUCUAGGGGGCGCCAAAAAUAACCCAAAAAUCCACAUUCUUAAAUGUUUUAUAACUUUUUAUUUUUGUCCUCACUGGCCUCCAAGUUUUCUAGGAUGAUGCAAUGUCCAGCCAUCAACACAUUUGUGAAGGAAUUUUUACUCCCCAAAAGAGCGCCCCCCCAUGGUAGGAGAAAAAAGUCAAUUUUUUCUUGUCCCCUUACAUGAAAAUACACAUUGUUGAGAUUCACGCCUGAACGCUUUGUCAUAUUGACAAAAAAAUUGACAAUCAUGUGUAUCUCAAUUAGAUCUACGAAAAAGUCAAAGAGCGCGUAUCUUUAUAAUGUACGGUUAAAGGGCUAUUUUGCAUUUUUUGCUGAUUCGCACACAUUGGAAUGUGGCUAUCUCCUCCUAAGGCUUUCGUCCCACCGAUACCAAAUUUGCUCAGGGCAAUCUACACCCCAUGCCCAUUCAAAGUUGUAAAAAUCAUGACGCUGCACCCCACAUUUUACGUUCUAGGGGCCGCCAAAGAUGACCCAAAAAUCCACAUUCUUAAAAGUCAUUUUGGCCACUGCAGGAGUACAGAGUACUGCAGUUCUAGGGGGCGCCAAAGAUGACCCAAAAAUCCACAUUCUUAAAAGUCUUUUUGGCCACUGCAGGAGUACAGAGUACUGCAGGAUACACACACAUAUACACACACGCCAACAUACACACACACACACACACACACACACACACAGACACACACACACACUCAGAGUCUGUUUUUUAGCACCUGCAAAAACAUGCUGUUUACAUAUUUGACAAGAAUGCAGAGGCUUCCUUUUGCCCCUGAAAAAAAUCAAAUUUCAAACACAACUUGACUGUUCAUUUCUCCAAAAGACAACCAUGAAGUUCCAUUUCAAACCUGAAGCAGAUAGUUGGUGCAUGUGUACAGUAACCUGAGGGGAGUGAGGUGACUAUUUCUGAGGAGAACAUGAGCAGUGAAGAUUCACCUUGGAGCUAGAACAGGGACGUGCACAUGAUUAUACAGGGGCAGGGGCUCAAGUUUUUUCCAGUCAUUUAUACAAUAUGGAAAUUAAUGUGAAAUUAAACCACAAAUAUGUGUGAUGAACUGUUUUUAAAACUUAAACUUCAAAUAAAAAUUGUAAACUUCAAAACAUAUGCAAAUUUUUAACAAAGAACAUAGUGAUUUACCUCUAUUUACAUCAAAAUGCAGGCAAUGGCCCAGGCGUUCUUUGUAAAAUUAUUUACAAAACACUGUAUAGUCUCACAAAUGUCACUUUUUAUUGAUGCCACUACAAAAAAACAUGAUGUAAAUGAUGCAUGAUGUAAAACAUGAUGUAAAAAACUUGUGUAGAUCCUCCUCUAUGUCAGUCCAUGUGUAAUUUUUCCAUAAUUCUUUGUUUUUUGCAGCAUUUUUGUUAGUGUAACUGCAGAUUGUGCUGACAGUGUCUAUGGCACACAAAAAAAAAAAAAUUCAAAAUGCCUCAACAUGAACCCCUGGUGGUCUCUGAGGGUGAAACCUGCUAACUGCUGCAGCUCUGUCAGCUUCAGUCUCCCAUGCAGAGCUCUGAGCGCAUGUGUGGCUCUGCACCCUUAGCAGCGUUGCUAACUCCUCAGUAAGGAAAGCCUGCUUCAUGUCAGAGUCUCUAAACUCCAGAAGAAGUCGAUAAAAGUCCCUUUCUUUCUAAAAAAAAGUCGUUAGGGUGUCUGAAAAGUCAUUGAAUCUAACAACAAAGUCGCUAGGUUUGCAACUACGUGUCCCAGACUGCAUCCCUGCUGAGAGUCCCUCCCUCCCUUUUCAUGUUGCAGGAAGAACGUAAGCGCCCGCCUCUGUCAAUCAGUCACCAUAUAAUUUUGGAUUGGUUGUUGUGGUGAAGUUUUCCACCAAUAGGAGAGAUGUUGUGGUGUGUUUUUUUUUUUAUUUGGCAAGCCUUUUCCGCCUGUAAGACCUGUCGCUAAUGUCUGCAUGCUAUGUUUUCCUGUCUCAUACAGCGCGAUCGAGCGCCGAACGUGAUCAAAAUAAGCAGAAAAAAAGUAUCGCGGACUUAAUUUAUCAUAACUCUGGUUUUAUUUGGCCUAUCAACACAAUUUAAAAACUGGUAUAUAGGUUGAGGUCCUCACUUUUGAGAUAAGUUGAAACGGAGAGUCAACGAGGCUCCGUCUUGCAGCUACAUCCGGUUAAAUAUGUCAUGUGACUUGAGCGCACACACAGACACACACACACGCACACACACACACACACACACACACACUCAGAGUCUGGUUUUUAGCACCUGCAAAAACAUGCUAUUUACAUAUUUGACAAAAAUGCAGAGGCUCCUUUUGCCCCUGAAAAAAAUCAAAUUUCAAACACAACUUUACUGGUCAUUUCUCCAAAAGACAACCAUGAAGCUCCAUCCAAACCUGAAGCAGGCAGUUGGUGCAUGUGUACAGUAACCUGAGGGGAGUGACGUGAGUGCUUCUGAGGAGAACAUGAGCAGUGAAGAUUCACCUUGGAGCUAGAACAGAGACAUGCACAUGAUUAUACAGGGGCAGGGGCUCAAGUUUUUUCCAGUCGUUUAUACAAUAUGGAAAUUAAUGUGAAAUUAAAACACAAAGUAUUAAUAGAAAGGUAAUGACUGUCCUGUGUAGGUGACAGUGAUAUCCAAUAGGCUAGGCACUCACGAGGCUGGCUGUGGCAAGUGUAAGUGAAAGCAACACGCACUGGCAGGAAGAACAGCAAACGCCGAUGAAGGAAAAGGGUCUUUGCAGUGAUGGGCGUUACCAGAGAGGGCGAUGGCCAGAGGACACAAAUGGGACGGGGAGGCAGCACGUUGGGGGGGGGGACGCGACACGGCUCGGGCCCGCCAGUGCCCCAACGGGGUCCUAGUCUUUGUUUCUUUCUUUCUUUUUUCUUUUUCCUCCCCUUUGAACUGGAAAAUGGCCCACUUCCCACUGGCGAAAACUCAUGAAAUUUGGCAGGACGACCGGGCCUGGUGAAAAAUUCGAUAUUCUGAAGUCGCCCAAACAAUAAAAUGCAAAAUGGCUCCAUAGCGCCCCCUAAGGUGGAAAUUCACACUAUUGACUGUCACGCCUGUACGCUUUGUCAUAUUGACACAAAAAUUGACACACACAUGUAUCUCAAUAAGAUCUACAAAAAAGUCAGUGCGGCCGUAUCUGUCAAAAUUACGGUUAAAGGGUUAUUUCGCAUUUUUUGCCGAUCCGCACACAUUGGAAUUUCGCUAACUCCUCCGAAGGCUUUCGUUCCACCGGCACCACAUUUGCUCAGGCCAAUCUACACCCCGUGGCCAUUAAAAGUUAUCAAAAUCAUGACGCUGCACCCCAAGGUUUAGGUUCUAGGGGGCGCCAAAGAUAACCCAAAAAUCCACAUUCUUAAAAGUUUUAUAACUUUUUAUUUUUGUCCUCACUGGCCUCCAAGUUUUCUAGGAUGAUGCAAUGUCCAGCCAUCAACACAUUUGUGAAGGAAUUUUUACUCCCCAAAAGAGCGCCCCCCCAUGGCAGGAGAAAAAAGUCCAUUUUUUCUUGUCCCCUAAGGUGAAAAUACACAUUGUUGAGUGUCACGCCUAUACGCUUUGUCAAAAUGACACAAAAAUUGACACACACAUGUAACUCAAUAAGAUCUACGAAAAAGUCAAUGCGGGCGUAUCUGUCAAAUGUACGGUUAAAGGGUUAUUCCGCAUUUUUUGCCGAUCCGCACACAUUGGAAUGUGGCUAACUCCUCCUAAGGCUUUCGUUCCACCGGCACCACAUUUGCUCAGGCCAAUCUACACCCCAUGGCCAUUAAAAGUUAUUCAAAUCAUGACGCUGCACCCCACGGUUUAGGUUCUAGGGGGCGCCAAAGAUAACCCUAAAAUCCACAUAUUUAAAAGUCUUAUAACUUUUUAUUUUUGUCCUCACUGGCCUCCAUGUUUUCUAGGAUGAUGCAAUGUCCAGCCAUCAACACAUUUGUGAAGGAAUUUUUACUCCCCAAAAGAGCGCCCCCCCAUGGCAGGAGAAAAAAGUCCAUUUUUUCUUGUCCCCUAAGGUGAAAAUACACAUUGUUGAGUGUCACGCCUGUACGCUUUGGCAAAAUGACACAAAAAUUGACAAUCAUGUGUAUCUCAAUUAGAUCUACGAAAAAGUCAAAGAGCGCGUAUCUGUAUAAUGUACGGUAAAAGGGCUAUUUUGCAUUUUUUGCCGAUUCGCACACAUUGGAAUUUCGCUAACUCCUCCUAAGGCUUUCGUCCCACUGACACCAAAUUUGCUCAGGCCAAUCUACACUCCAUGGCCAUUCAAAGUUGUAAAAAUCAUGACGCUGCACCCCACGGUUUACGUUUUAGGGGGCGCCAAAGAUGACCCAAAUAUACAUUACAGUAGACAAAGUAGUUUUGCCCACUGAGUGGCGCCAAAGGGACUUGUCUGUGGAGUCUGUGAGUCACUAUUGGCCGUUUUUGACUACUUUAGAUUUUACCUUUAUAUUUCCUCUUACAAAAUUUUUACCUUGCCUUGCCUGGUAUCAUUUUUUUCAGCACAACCUCACCUGUGUCAAUUUACAGUUAUUUUAUCAUUUUGACAUACUAUAUUUACACAUUGGACCCAAAUUCACACACAAAACAUAAAAUCCGAGUGGAAAAAAGUAACGUUUUUACUGUGAAAACCACAAAUAUGUGUGAUGAACUGUUUUUAAAACUUAAACUUCAAAUAAAAAUUGUAAACUUCAAAACAUAUGCAAAUUUUUAACAAAGAACAUAGUAAUUUACCUCUAUUUACAUCAAAAUGCAGGCAAUGGCCCAGGUGUUCUUUGUAAAAUUAUUUACAAAACACUGUAUAGUCUCACAAAUGUCACUUUUUUUAUUUAUGCCACUACAAAAAAACAUGAUGUAAAUGAUGCAUGAUGUAAAACAUGAUGUAAAAAACUUGUGUAUAUCCUCCUCUAUGUUAGUCCAUGUGUAAUUUUUCCAUAAUUCUUUGUUUUUUGCAGCAUUUUUGUUAGUGUAACUGCAGAUUGUGCUGACAGUGUCUAUGGCAAAAAAAAAAAAAAACUGAAAAUGCCUCAACAUGAACCCCUGGUGGUCUCUGAGGGUGAAACCUGCUAACUGCUGCAGCUCUGUCAGCUUCAGUCUCCCAUGCAGAGCUCGGAGCGCAUGUGUGGCUCUGCACCCUUAGCAGCGUUGCUAACUCCUCAGUAAGGAAAGCCUGCUUCAUGUCAGAGUCUCUAAACUCCAGAAGAAGUCGAUAAAAGUCACUUUCUUUCUAAAAAAAAAGUCGUUAGGGGGUCUGAAAAGUCAUUGAAUCUAACAACAAAGUCGCUAGGUUUGCAACUACGUGUCCCAGACUGCAUCCCUGCUGAGAGUCCCUCCCUCCCUUCUCAUAUUGCAGGAAGAACGUAAGCGCCCGCCCCUUGUCAAUCAGUCACCAUAUAAUUUUGGAUUGGUUGUUGUGGUGAAGUUUUCCACCAAUAGGAGAGAUGUUGUGGUGUGUUUUUUUUUUCCUUUGGCAAGCCUUUUCCGCCUGUAAGACCUGUCGCUAAUGUCUGCAUGCUAUGUUUUCCUGUCUCAUACAGCGCGAUCGAGCGCCGAACGUGAUCAAAAUAAGCAGAAAACAAGUAUCGCGGACAUAAUUUAUCAUAACUCUGGUUUUAUUUGGCCUAUCAACACAAUUUAAAAACUGGUAUAUAGGUUGAGGUCCUCACUUUUGAGAUAAGUUGAAACGGAGUCAACGAGGCUCCGUCUUGCAGCUACAUCCGGUUAAAUAUGUCAUGUGACUUGAACGCACACACACACACACACACACACACACACACAGACACACACACACACGCACACACACACACUCAGAGUCUGGUUUUUAGCACCUGCAAAAACAUGCUAUUUACAUAUUUGACAAGAAUGCAGAGGCUCCUUUUGCCCCUGAAAAAAAUCAAAUUUCAAACACAACUUGACUGCUCAUUUCUCCAAAAGACAACCAUGAAGCUCCAUCCAAACCUGAAGCAGGCAGUUGGUGCAUGUGUACAGUAACCUGAGGGGAGUGAGGUGACUGCUUCUGAGGAGAACAUGAGCAGUGAAGAUUCACCUUAGAGCUAGAACAGAGACGUGCACAUGAUUAUACAGGGGCAGGGGCUCAAGUUUUUUCCAGUUGUUUAUACAAUAUGGAAAUUAAUGUGAAAUUAAAAAACAAAGUAUUAAUAGAAAGGUAAUGACUGUCCUGAGUAGGUGACAGUGAUAUCCAAUAGGCUAGGCACUCAAGAGGCUGGCUGUGGCAAGUGUAAGUGAAAGCAACACGCACUGGCAGGAAGAACAGCAAACGCCGAUGAAGGAAAAGGGUCUUUGCAGUGAUGGGCGUUACCAGAGAGGGCGAUGGCCAGAGGACACAAAUGGGACGGGGAGGCAGCGCGUUGGGGGGGGGACGCGACACAGCUCGGGCCCGCCAGUGCCCCAACGGGGUCCUAGUUGUUUCUUUCUUUAGGGCCCGAGCGUAGCUGCUAAGCAGCUGCGAGAGCCCUCUUGUUCCUGUAGUUUCCUUCUUUUGUUAUUAUUAUUAUUUUUCCUCCCCUUUGAACUGGAAAAUGGCCCACUUCCCACUGGCGAAAACUCAUGAAAUUUGGCAGGACGACCGGGCCUGGUGAAAAAUUUGAUAUUCCGAAGUCGCCCAAACAAGAAAAUGCAAAAUGGCUCCAUAGCGCCCCCUAAGGUGAAAAUUCACACUAUUCACUGUCACGCCGGUACGCUUUGUCAAAAUGACACAAAAAUUGACACACACAUGUAUCUCAAUAAGAUCUACAAAAAAGUCAGUGCGGGCGUAUCUGUCAAAUGUACGGUUAAAGGGUUAUUUCGCAUUUUUUGCCGAUCCGCACACAUUGGAAUUUCGCUAACUCCUCCGAAGGCUUUCGUUCCACCGGCACCACAUUUGCUCAGGCCAAUCUACACCCCAUGGCUAUUAAAAGUUAUUCAAAUCAUGACGCUGCACCCCACGGUUUAGGUUCUAGGGGGCGCCAAAGAUAACCCUAAGAUCCACAUAUUUAAAAGUCUUAUAACUUUUUAUUUUUGCCCUCACUGGCCUCCAAGUUUUCUAGGAUGAUGCAAUGUCCAGCCAUCAACACAUUUGUGAAGGAAUUUUUACUCCCCAAAAGAGCGCCCCCCCAUGGCAGGAGAAAAAAGUCAAUUUUUUCUUGUCCACUAAGGUGAAAAUACACAUUGUUGAGUGCUACGCCUGUAUGUUUUGUCGUAUUGACACAAAAUUUUACAUACACGUGUAUUUCAAUAAGAUCUUCGAAAAAGUCAAUGGCCACGUAUCUGUAAAAUGUACGGUUAAAGGGUUAUUUCGCAUUUUUUGCCGAUUCGCACACAUUGGAAUUUCGCUAACUCCUCCGAAGGCUUUCGUUCCACCGGCACCACAUUUGCUCAGGCCAAUCUACACCCCAUGGCCAUUAAAAGUUAUUCAAAUCAUGACGCUGCACCCCACGGUUUACGUUCUAGGGGGCGCCAAAGAUAACCCAAAAAUCCACAUUUUUAAAAGUCUUAUAACUUUUUAUUUUUGUCCUCACUGGCCUCCAAGUUUUCUAGGAUGAUGCAAUGUCCAGCCAUCAACACAUUUGUGAAGGAAUUUUUACUCCCUAAAAGAGCGCCCCCCCAUGGCAGGAGAAAAAAGUCCAUUUUUUCUUGUCCCCUAAGGUGAAAAUACACAUUGUUGAGUGUCACGCCUGUACGCUUUGUCAAAAUGACACAAAAAUUGACACACACAUGUAUCUCAAUUAGAUCUACGAAAAAGUCAAAGAGCGCGUAUCUGUAUAAUGUACGGUAAAAGGGCUAUUUUGCAUUUUUUGCCGAUUCGCACACAUUGGAAUUUCGCUAACUCCUCCUAAGGCUUUCGUCCCACUGACACCAAAUUUGCUCAGGCCAAUCUACACUCCAUGGCCAUUCAAAGUUGUAAAAAUCAUGAUGCUGCACCCCACGGUUUACGUUUUAGGGGGCGCCAAAGAUGACCCAAAUAUACAUUACAGUAGACAAAGUAGUUUUGCCCACUGAGUGGCGCCAAAGGGACUUGUCUGUGGAGUCUGUGAGUCACUAUUGGCCGUUUUUGACUACUUUAGAUUUUACCUUUAUAUUUCCUCUUACAAAAUUUUUACCUUGCCUUGCCUGGUAUCAUUUUUUUCAGCACAACCUCACCUGUGUCAAUUUACAGUUAUUUUAUCAUUUUGACAUACUAUAUUUACACAUUGGACCCAAAUUCACACACAAAACAUAAAAUCCGAGUGGAAAAAAGUAACGUUUUUACUGUGAAAACCACAAAUAUGUGUGAUGAACUGUUUUUAAAACUUAAACUUCAAAUAAAAAUUGUAAACUUCAAAACAUAUGCAAAUUUUUAACAAAGAACAUAGUAAUUUACCUCUAUUUACAUCAAAAUGCAGGCAAUGGCCCAGGUGUUCUUUGUAAAAUUAUUUACAAAACACUGUAUAGUCUCACAAAUGUCACUUUUUAUUUAUGCCACUACAAAAAAACAUGAUGUAAAUGAUGCAUGAUGUAAAACAUGAUGUAAAAAACUUGUGUAGAUCCUCCUCUAUGUUAGUCCAUGUGUAAUUUUUCCAUAAUUCUUUGUUUUUUGCAGCAUUUUUGUUAGUGUAACUGCAGAUUGUGCUGACAGUGUCUAUGGCAAAAAAAAACAAAAAAAACUGAAAAUGCCUCAACAUGAACCCCUGGUGGUCUCUGAGGGUGAAACCUGCUAACUGCUGCAGCUCUGUCAGCUUCAGUCUCCCAUGCAGAGCUCGAAGCGCAUGUGUGGCUCUGCACCCUUAGCAGCGUUGCUAACUCCUCAGUAAGGAAAGCCUGCUUCAUGUCAGAGUCUCUAAACUCCAGAAGAAGUCGAUAAAAGUCACUUUCUUUCUAAAAAAAAGUCGUUAGGGGGUCUGAAAAGUCAUUGAAUCUAACAACAAAGUCGCUAGGUUUGCAACUACGUGUCCCAGACUGCAUCCCUGCUGAGAGUCCCUCCCUCCCUUCUCAUAUUGCAGGAAGAACGUAAGCGCCCGCCCCUUGUCAAUCAGUCACCAUAUAAUUUUGGAUUGGUUGUUGUGGUGAAGUUUUCCACCAAUAGGAGAGAUGUUGUGGUGUGUUUUUUUUUUCCUUUGGCAAGCCUUUUCCGCCUGUAAGAGCUGUCGCUAAUGUCUGCAUGCUAUGUUUUCCUGUCUCAUACAGCGCGAUCGAGCGCCGAACGUGAUCAAAAUAAGCAGAAAACAAGUAUCGCGGACAUAAUUUAUCAUAACUCUGGUUUUAUUUGGCCUAUCAACACAAUUUAAAAACUGGUAUAUAGGUUGAGGUCCUCACUUUUGAGAUAAGUUGAAACGGAGAGUCAACGAGGCUCCGUCUUGCAGCUACAUCCGGUUAAAUAUGUCAUGUGACUUGAACGCACACAUAGACACACACACACGCACACACACACACACACACACACACACACACACACACACACACACACACACUCAGAGUCUGGUUUUUAGCACCUGCAAAAACAUGCUAUUUACAUAUUUGACAAGAAUGCAGAGGCUCCUUUUGCCCCUGAAAAAAAUCAAAUUUCAAACACAACUUGACUGGUCAUUUCUCCAAAAGACAACCAUGAAGCUCCAUCCAAACCUGAAGCAGGCAGUUGGUGCAUGUGUACAGUAACCUGAGGGGAGUGAGGUGACUGCUUCUGAGGAGAACAUGAGCAGUGAAGAUUCACCUUAGAGCUAGAACAGAGACCUGCACAUGAUUAUACAGGGGCAGGGGCUCAAGUUUUUUCCAGUCGUUUAUACAAUAUGGAAAUUAAUGUGAAAUUAAAAAACAAAGUAUUAAUAGAAAGGUAAUGACUGUCCUGUGUAGGUGACAGUGAUAUCCAAUAGGCUAGGCACUCACGAGGCUGGCUGUGGCAAGUGUAAGUGAAAGCAACACGCACUGGCAGGAAGAACAGCAAACGCCGAUGAAGGAAAAGGGUCUUUGCAGUGAUGGGCGUUACCAGAGAGGGCGAUGGCCAGAGGACACAAAUGGGACGGGGAGGCAGCGCGUUGGGGGGGGGACGCGACACAGCUCGGGCCCGCCAGUGCCCCAACGGGGUCCUAGUUCUUCUUUUUCCUCCCCUUUGAACUGGAAAAUGGCCCACUUCCCACUGGCGAAAACUCAUGAAAUUUGGCAGGACGACCGGGCCUGGUGAAAAAUUCGAUAUUCUGAAGUCGCCCAAACAAUAAAAUGCAAAAUGGCUCCAUAGCGCCCCCUAAGGUGGAAAUUCACACUAUUGACUGUCACGCCUGUACGCUUUGUCAUAUUGACACAAAAAUUGACACACAUAUGUAUCUCAAUAAGAUCUACAAAAAAGUCAGUGCGGCCGUAUCUGUCAAAAUUACGGUUAAAGGGUUAUUUCGCAUUUUUUGCCGAUCCGCACACAUUGGAAUUUCGCUAACUCCUCCGAAGGCUUUCGUUCCACCGGCACCACAUUUGCUCAGGCCAAUCUACACCCCGUGGCCAUUAAAAGUUAUCAAAAUCAUGACGCUGCACCCCAAGGUUUAGAUUCUAGGGGGCGCCAAAGAUAACACUAAAAUCCACAUAUUUAAAAGUCUUAUAACUUUUUAUUUUUGUCCUCACUGGCCUCCAAGUUUUCUAGGAUGAUGCAAUGUCCAGCCAUCAACACAUUUGUGAAGGAAUUUUUACUCCCCAAAAGAGCGCCCCCCCAUGGCAGGAGAAAAAAGUCCAUUUUUUCUUGUCCCCUAAGGUGAAAAUACACAUUGUUGAGUGUCAAGCCUAUACGCUUUGUCAAAAUGACACAAAAAUUGACACACACAUGUAACUCAAUAAGAUCUACAAAAAAGUCCAUGCGCGCGUAUCUGUCAAAUGUACAGUUAAAGGGUUAUUCCGCAUUUUUUGCCGAUACGCACACAUUGGAAUUUCGCUAACUCCUCCGAAGGCUUUCGUUCCACCGGCACCACAUUUGCUCAGGCCAAUCUACACCCCAUGGCCAUUAAAAGUUAUUCAAAUCAUGAUGCUGCACCCCAUGGUUUAGGUUCUAGGGGGCGCCAAAAAUAACCCAAAAAUCCACAUUCUUAAAUGUUUUAUAACUUUUUAUUUUUGUCCUCACUGGCCUCCAAGUUUUCUAGGAUGAUGCAAUGUCCAGCCAUCAACACAUUUGUGAAGGAAUUUUUACUCCCCAAAAGAGCGCCCCCCAUGGUAGGAGAAAAAAGUCAAUUUUUUCUUGUCCCCUUACAUAAAAAUACACAUUGUUGAGUGUCACGCCUGAACGCUUUGUCAUAUUGACACAAAAAUUGACAAUCAUGUGUAUCUCAAUUAGAUCUACGAAAAAGUCAAAGAGCGCGUAUCUGUAUAAUGUACGGUUAAAGGGCUAUUUUGCAUUUUUUGCCGAUUCGCACACAUUGGAAUGUGGCUAUCUCCUCCUAAGGCUUUCGUCCCACCGAUACCAAAUUUGCUCAGGGCAAUCUACACCCCAUGCCCAUUCAAAGUUGUAAAAAUCAUGACGCUGCACCCCACGGUUUACGUUCUAGGGGGCGCCAAAGAUGACCCAAAAAUCCACAUUCUUAAAAGUCAUUUUGGCCACUGCAGGAGUACAGAGUACUGCAGUUCUAGGGGGCGCCAAAGAUGACCCAAAAAUCCACAUUCUUAAAAGUCUUUUUGGCCACUGCAGGAGUACAGAGUACUGCAGGAUACACACACAUAUACACACACGCCAACAUACACACACACACACACACACACACACACACACACACACACACAGACACACACCCACACUCAGAGUCUGGUUUUUAGCACCUGCAAAAACAUGCUGUUUACAUAUUUGACAAGAAUGCAGAGGCUCCUUUUGCCCCUGAAAAAAAUCAAAUUUCAAACACAACUUGACUGUUCAUUUCUCCAAAAGACAACCAUGAAGCUCCAUUUUAAACCUGAAGCAGAUAGUUGGUGCAUGUGUACAGUAACCUGAGGGGAGUGAGGUGACUAUUUCUGAGGAGAACAUGAGCAGUGAAGAUUCACCUUGGAGCUAGAACAGGGACGUGCACAUGAUUAUACAGGGGCAGGGGCUCAAGUUUUUUCCAGUCAUUUAUACAAUAUGGAAAUUAAUGUGAAAUUAAACCACAAAUAUGUGUGAUGAACUGUUUUUAAAACUUAAACUUCAAAUAAAAAUUGUAAACUUCAAAACAUAUGCAAAUUUUUAACAAAGAACAUAGUAAUUUACCUCUAUUUACAUCAAAAUGCAGGCAAUGGCCCAGGCGUUCUUUGUAAAAUUAUUUACAAAACACUGUAUAGUCUCACAAAUGUCACUUUUUAUUUAUGCCACUACAAAAAAACAUGAUGUAAAUGAUGCAUGAUGUAAAACAUGAUGUAAAAAACUUGUGUAGAUCCUCCUCUAUGUCAGUCCAUGUGUAAUUUUUCCAUAAUUCUUUGUUUUUUGCAGCAUUUUUGUUAGUGUAACUGCAGAUUGUGCUGACAGUGUCUAUGGCACAAAAAAAAAAAAAAAUUUUUAAUGCCUCAACAUGAACCCGUGGUGGUCUCUGAGGGUGAAACCUGCUAACUGCUGCAGCUCUGUCAGCUUCAGUCUCCCAUGCAGAGCUCUGAGCGCAUGUGUGGCUCUGCACCCUUAGCAGCGUUGCUAACUCCUCAGUAUGGAAAGCCUGCUUCAUGUCAGAGUCUCUAAACUCCAGAAGAAGUCGAUAAAAGUCCCUUUCUUUCUAAAAAAAAGUCGUUAGGGGGUCUGAAAAGUCAUUGAAUCUAACAACAAAGUCGCUAGGUUUGCAACUACGUGUCCCAGACUGCAUCCCUGCUGAGAGUCCCUCCCUCCCUUCUCAUGUUGCAGGAAGAACGUAAGCGCCCCCCCCUUGUCAAUCAGUCACCAUAUAAUUUUGGAUUGGUUGUUGUGGUGAAGUUUUCCACCAAUAGGAGAGAUGUUGUGGUGUGUUUUUUUUUUCUUUUGGCAAGCCUUUUCCGCCUGUAAGAACUGUCGCUAAUGUCUGCAUGCUAUGUUUUCCUGUCUCAUACAGCGCGAUCGAGCGCCGAACGUGAUCAAAAUAAGCAGAAAAAAAAUAUCGCGGACAUAAUUUAUCAUAACUCUGGUUUUAUUUGGCCUAUCAACACAAUUUAAAAACUGGUAUAUAGGUUGAGGUCCUCACUUUUGAGAUAAGUUGAAACGGAGAGUCAACGAGGCUCCGUCUUGCAGCUACAUCCGGUUAAAUAUGUCAUGUGACUUGAACGCACACACAGACACACACACACGCACACACGCACACACACACACACACACACACACACACACACACACACACACACACACACACACACUCAGAGUCUGGUUUUUAGCACCUGCAAAAACAUGCUAUUUACAUAUUUGACAAGAAUGCAGAGGCUCCUUUUGCCCCUGAAAAAAAUCAAAUUUCAAACACAACUUGACUGGUCAUUUCUCCAAAAGACAACCAUGAAGCUCCAUCCAAACCUGAAGCAGGCAGUUGGUGCAUGUGUACAGUAACCUGAGGGGAGUGAGGUGAGUGCUUCUGAGGAGAACAUGAGCAGUGAAGAUUCACCUUGGAGCUAGAACAGAGACAUGCACAUGAUUAUACAGGGGCAGGGGCUCAAGUUUUUUCCAGUCGUUUAUACAAUAUGGAAAUUAAUGUGAAAUUAAAACACAAAGUAUUAAUAGAAAGGUAAUGACUGUCCUGUGUAGGUGACAGUGAUAUCCAAUAGGCUAGGCACUCACGAGGCUGGCUGUGGCAAGUGUAAGUGAAAGCAACACGCACUGGCAGGAAGAACAGCAAACGCCGAUGAAGGAAAAGGGUCUUUGCAGUGAUGGGCGUUACCAGAGAGGGCGAUGGCCAGAGGACACAAAUGGGACGGGGAGGCAGCACGUUGGGGGGGGGGGGGGGACGCGACACGGCUCGGGCCCGCCAGUGCCCCAACGGGGUCCUAGUUAUUAUUUUUCCUCCCCUUUGAACUGGAAAAUGGCCCACUUCCCACUGGCGAAAACUCAUGAAAUUUGGCAGGACGACCGGGCCUGGUGAAAAAUUUGAUAUUCCGAAGUCGCCCAAACAAGAAAAUGCAAAAUGGCUCCAUAGCGCCCCCUAAGGUGAAAAUUCACACUAUUGACUGUCACGCCUGUACGCUUUGUCAAAAUGACACAAAAAUUGACACACACAUGUAUCUCAAUAAGAUCUACAAAAAAGUCAGUGCGGGCGUAUCUGUCAAAUGUACGGUUAAAGGGUUAUUUCGCAUUUUUUGCCGAUCCGCACACAUUGGAAUUUCGCUAACUCCUCCGAAGGCUUUCGUUCCACCGGCACCACAUUUGCUCAGGCCAAUCUACACCCCAUGGCCAUUAAAAGUUAUUCAAAUCAUGACGCUGCACCCCACGGUUUAGGUUCUAGGGGGCGCCAAAGAUAACCCUAAGAUCCACAUAUUUAAAAGUCUUAUAACUUUUUAUUUUUGCCCUCACUGGCCUCCAAGUUUUCUAGGAUGAUGCAAUGUCCAGCCAUCAACACAUUUGUGAAGGAAUUUUUACUCCCCAAAAGAGCGCCCCCCCAUGGCAGGAGAAAAAAGUCCAUUUUUUCUUGUCCCCUAAGGUGAAAAUACACAUUGUUGAGUGUAACACCUGUACGCUUUGGCAAAAUGACACAAAAAUUGACACACACAUGUAUCUCAAUAAGAUCUACGAAAAAGUCAACGCGCGCGUAUCUGUCAAAUGUACGGUUAAAGGGUUAUUCCGCAUUUUUUGCCGAUCCGCACACAUUGGAAUUUCGCUAACUCCUCCGAAGGCUUUCGUUCCACCGGCACCACAUUUGCUCAGGCCAAUCUACACCCCAUGGCCAUUAAAAGUUAUUCAAAUCAUGACGCUGCACCCCACGGUUUAGGUUCUAGGGGGAGCCAAAGAUAACCGUAAAAUCCACAUAUUUAAAAGUCUUAUAACUUUUUAUUUUUGUCCCCACUGGCCUCCAAGUUUUCUAGGAUGAUGCAAUGUCCAGCCAUCAACACAUUUGUGAAGGAAUUUUUACUCGGCAAAAGAGCGCCCCCCCAUGGCAGGAGAAAAAAGUCAAUUUUUUCUUGUCCACUAAGGUGAAAAUACACAUUGUUGAGUGCUACGCCUGUAUGUUUUGUCGUAUUGACACAAAAUUUUACAUACACGUGUAUUUCAAUAAGAUCUUCGAAAAAGUCAAUGGCCACGUAUCUGUAAAAUGUACGGUUGAAGGGUUAUUUCGCAUUUUUUGCAGAUUCGCACACAUUGGAAUUUCGCUAAUUCCUCCGAAGGCUUUCGUUCCACCGGCACCACAUUUGCUCAGGCCAAUCUACACCCCAUGGCCAUUAAAAGUUAUUCAAAUCAUGACGCUGCACCCCACGGUUUAGGUUCUAGGGGGCGCCAAAGAUAACCCUAAAAUCCACAUAUUUAAAAGUCUUAUAACUUUUUAUUUUUGUCCUCACUGGCCUCCAUGUUUUCUAGGAUGAUGCAAUGUCCAGCCAUCAACACAUUUGUGAAGGAGUUUUUUCUCUUUAAAAGAGCGCCCCCCCAUGGCAGGAGAAUAAAGUCAAGUUUUUCCUGUUCAUCAUUCAAUGGCUCAAACGCACUGCUCUCUCGGCAAAAGCGAAAGGAGGAGCAACUUGCCAUUUGGAUAUAUCUUAGCUGUGUUUGUGCCCUCACUCAUGGUCCAGACUUUUUUCAAAUAGGACAUGGAGUUUUUCUGCAGCGAGCGUUUUGGUAGAAACUGCGCCUCCCGUUCAUUACAAUGGUAAAUGACCACAAACAAGUGCACACACCAUCUUUGGACCUUGAGUGUGACGCGAUCGGGUGGGGGAGGCGGUCGCGCUGGGGGCGGCGUGACACGGCUCGGGCCCGCCAGUGCCCCAACGGGGCCCUAGUUAUUAUUUUUCCUCCCCUUUGAACUGGAAAAUGGCCCACUUCCCACUGGCGAAAACUCAUGAAAUUUGGCAGGACGACCGGGCCUGGUGAAAAAUUUGAUAUUCCGAAGUCGCCCAAACAAGAAAAUGCAAAAUGGCUCCAUAGCGCCCCCUAAGGUGAAAAUUCACACUAUUCACUGUCACGCUGGUACGCUUUGUCAAAAUGACACAAAAAUUGACACACACAUGUAUCUCAAUAAGAUCUACAAAAAAGUCAGUGCGGGCGUAUCUGUCAAAUGUACGGUUAAAGGGUUAUUUCGCAUUUUUUGCCGAUCCGCACACAUUGGAAUUUCGCUAACUCCUCCGAAGGCUUUCGUUCCACCGGCACCACAUUUGCUCAGGCCAAUCUACACCCCAUGGCCAUUAAAAGUUAUUCAAAUCAUGACGCUGCACCCCACGGUUUAGGUUCUAGGGGGCGCCAAAUAUAACCCUAAGAUCCACAUAUUUAAAAGUCUUAUAACUUUUUAUUUUUGCCCUCACUGGCCUCCAAGUUUUCUAGGAUGAUGCAAUGUCCAGCCAUCAACACAUUUGUGAAGGAAUUUUUACUCCCCAAAAGAGCGCCCCCCCAUGGCAGGAGAAAAAAGUCAAUUUUUUCUUGUCCCCUAAGGUGAAAAUACACAUUGUUGAGUGUAACACCUGUACGCUUUGGCAAAAUGACACAAAAAUUGACACACACAUGUAUCUCAAUAAGAUCUACGAAAAAGUCAAUGCGCGCGUAUCUGUCAAAUGUACGGUUAAAGGGUUAUUCCGCAUUUUUUGCCGAUCCGCACACAUUGGAAUUUCGCUAACUCCUCCGAAGGCUUUCGUUCCACCGGCACCACAUUUGCUCAGGCCAAUCUACACCCCAUGGCCAUUAAAAGUUAUUCAAAUCAUGACGCUGCACCCCACGGUUUAGGUUCUAGGGGGAGCCAAAGAUAACAGUAAAAUCCACAUAUUUAAAAGUCUUAUAACUUUUUAUUUUUGUCCCCACUGGCCUCCAAGUUUUCUAGGAUGAUGCAAUGUCCAGCCAUCAACACAUUUGUGAAGGAAUUUUUACUCGGCAAAAGAGCGCCCCCCCAUGGCAGGAGAAAAAAGUCAAUUUUUUCUUGUCCACUAAGGUGAAAAUACACAUUGUUGAGUGCUACGCCUGUAUGUUUUGUCGUAUUGACACAAAAUUUUACAUACACGUGUAUUUUAAUAAGAUCUUCGAAAAAGUCAAUGGCCAUGUAUCUGUAAAAUGUACGGUUAAAGGGUUAUUUCGCAUUUUUUGCAGAUUCGCACACAUUGGAAUUUCGCUGAUUCCUCCGAAGGCUUUCGUUCCACCGGCACCACAUUUGCUCAGGCCAAUCUACACCCCAUGGCCAUUAAAAGUUAUUCAAAUCAUGACGCUGCACCCCACGGUUUAGGUUCUAGGGGGCGCCAAAUAUAACCCUAAAAUCCACAUAUUUAAAAGUCUUAUAACUUUUUAUUUUUGUCCUCACUGGCCUCCAUGUUUUCUAGGAUGAUGCAAUGUCCAGCCAUCAACACAUUUGUGAAGGAGUUUUUUCUCUUUAAAAGAGCGCCCCCCCAUGGCAGGAGAAUAAAGUCAAGUUUUUCCUGUUCAUCAUUCAAUGGCUCAAACGCACUGCUCUCUCGGCAAAAGCGAAAGGAGGAGCAACUUGCCAUUUGGAUAUAUCUUAGCUGUGUUUGUGCCCUCACUCAUGGUCCAGACUUUUUUCAAAUAGGACAUGGAGUUUUUCUGCAGCGAGCGUUUUGGUAGAAACUGCGCCUCCCGUUCAUUAUAAUGGUAAAUGACCACAAACAAUUGCGCACACCAUCUUUGGACCUUGAGUGUGACGCGAUCGGGUGGGGGAGGCGGUCGCGCUGGGGGCGGCGUGACACGGCUCGGGCCCGCCAGUGCCCCAACGGGGCCCUAGUUAGGGCCCGAGCGUAGCUGCUAAGCAGCUGCGAGAGCCCUCUUGUUCCUGUAGUUUCCUUCUUUAGGGCCCGAGCGUAGCUGCUAAGCAGCUGCGAGAGCCCUCUUGUUCCUGUAGUUUCCUUCUUUUGUUAUUAUUAUUAGGGCCCGAGCGUAGCUGCUAAGCAGCUGCGAGAGCCCUCUUGUUCCUGUAGUUUCCUUCUUUUGUUAUUAUUAUUAUUAGGGCCCGAGCCAGCUGCAGAGCAGCCGGGCGUAGGCCCUGUUAUUCCUGUAGGGGUUUUUUAGGGCCCGAGCGUAGCUGCUAAGCAGCUGCGAGAGCCCUCUUGUUCCUGUAGUUUCCUUCUUUUGUUAUUAUUAUUAUUAUUAUUUUUCCUCCCCUUUGAACUGGAAAAUGGCCCACUUCCCACUGGCGAAAACUCAUGAAAUUUGGCAGGACGACCGGGCCUGGUGAAAAAUUUGAUAUUCCGAAGUCGCCCAAACAAGAAAAUGCAAAAUGGCUCCAUAGCGCCCCCUAAGGUGAAAAUUCACACUAUUCACUGUCACGCCGGUACGCUUUGUCAAAAUGACACAAAAAUUGACACACACAUGUAUCUCAAUAAGAUCUACAAAAAAGUCAGUGCAGGCGUAUCUGUCAAAUGUACGGUUAAAGGGUUAUUGUGCAUUUUUUGCCGAUCCGCACACAUUGGAAUUUCGCUAACUCCUCCGAAGGCUUUCGUUCCACCGGCACCACAUUUGCUCAGGCCAAUCUACACCCCAUGGCCAUUAAAAGUUAUUCAAAUCAUGACGCUGCACCCCACGGUUUAGGUUCUAGGGGGCGCCAAAGAUAACCCUAAAAUCCACAUAUUUCAAAGUCUUAUAACUUUUUAUUUUUGCCCUCACUGGCCUCCAAGUUUUCUAGGAUGAUGCAAUGUCCAGCCAUCAACACAUUUGUGAAGGAAUUUUUACUCCCCAAAAGAGCGCCCCCCCAUGGCAGGAGAAAAAAGUCCAUUUUUUCUUGUCCCAUAAGGUGAAAAUUCACACUAUUGACUGUCACGCCUGUACGCUUUGGCAAAAUGACACAAAAAUUGACACACACAUGUAUCUCAAUAAGAUCUACGAAAAAGUCAAUGCGCGCGUAUCUGUCAAAUGUACGGUUAAAGGGUUAUUCCGCAUUUUUUGCCGAUCCGCACACAUUGGAAUUUCGCUAACUCCUCCGAAGGCUUUCGUUCCACCGGCACCACAUUUGCUCAGGCCAAUCUACACCCCAUGGCCAUUAAAAGUUAUUCAAAUCAUGACGCUGCACCCCACGGUUUAGGUUCUAGGGGGAGCCAAAGAUAACCGUAAAAUCCACAUAUUUAAAAGUCUUAUAACUUUUUAUUUUUGUCCCCACUGGCCUCCAAGUUUUCUAGGAUGAUGCAAUGUCCAGCCAUCAACACAUUUGUGAAGGAAUUUUUACUCGCCAAAAGAGCGCCCCCCCAUGGCAGGAGAAAAAAGUCCAUUUUUUCUUGUCCACUAAGGUGAAAAUACACAUUGUUGAGUGCUACGCCUGUAUGUUUUGUCGUAUUGACACAAAAUUUUACAUACACGUGUAUUUACAUAAGAUCUUCGAAAAAGUCAAUGGCCACGUAUCUGUAAAAUGUACGGUUAAAGGGUUAUUUCGCAUUUUUUGCAGAUUCGCACACAUUGGAAUUUCGCUAAUUCCUCCGAAGGCUUUCGUUCCACCGGCACCACAUUUGCUCAGGCCAAUCUACACCCCAUGGCCAUUAAAAGUUAUUCAAAUCAUGACGCUGCACCCCACGGUUUAGGUUCUAGGGGGCGCCAAAUAUAACCCUAAAAUCCACAUAUUUAAAAGUCUUAUAACUUUUUAUUUUUGUCCUCACUGGCCUCCAUGUUUUCUAGGAUGAUGCAAUGUCCAGCCAUCAACACAUUUGUGAAGGAGUUUUUUCUCUUUAAAAGAGUGCCCCCCCAUGGCAGGAGAAUAAAGUCAAGUUUUUCCUGUUCAUCAUUCAAUGGCUCAAACGCACUGCUCUCUCGGCAAAAGCGAAAGGAGGAGCAACUUGCCAUUUGGAUAUAUCUUAGCUGUGUUUGUGCCCUCACUCAUGGUCCAGACUUUUUUCAAAUAGGACAUGGAGUUUUUCUGCAGCGAGCGUUUUGGUAGAAACUGCGCCUCCCGUUCAUUAUAAUGGUAAAUGACCACAAACAAGUGCGCACACCAUCUUUGGACCUUGAGUGUGACGCGAUCGGGUGGGGGAGGCGGUCGCGCUGGGGGCGGCGUGACACGGCUCGGGCCCGCCAGUGCCCCAACGGGGCCCUAGUUAUUAUUUUUCCUCCCCUUUGAACUGGAAAAUGGCCCACUUCCCACUGGCGAAAACUCAUGAAAUUUGGCAGGACGACCGGGCCUGGUGAAAAAUUUGAUAUUCCGAAGUCGCCCAAACCAGAAAAUGCAAAAUGGCUCCAUAGCGCCCCCUAAGGUGAAAAUUCACACUAUUCACUGUCACGCCUGUACGCUUUGUCAAAAUGACACAAAAAUUGACACACACAUGUAUCUCAAUAAGAUCUACAAAAAAGUCAGUGCGGGCGUAUCUGUCAAAUGUACGGUUAAAGGGUUAUUUCGCAUUUUUUGCCGAUCCGCACACAUUGGAAUUUCGCUAACUCCUCCGAAGGCUUUCGUUCCACCGGCACCACAUUUGCUCAGGCCAAUCUACACCCCAUGGCCAUUAAAAGUUAUUCAAAUCAUGACGCUGCACCCCACGGUUUAGGUUCUAGGGGGCGCCAAAGAUAACCCUAAGAUCCACAUAUUUAAAAGUCUUAUAACUUUUUAUUUUUGCCCUCACUGGCCUCCAAGUUUUCUAGGAUGAUGCAAUGUCCAGCCAUCAACACAUUUGUGAAGGAAUUUUUACUCCCCAAAAGAGCGCCCCCCCAUGGCAGGAGAAAAAAGUCCAUUUUUUCUUGUCCCCUAAGGUGAAAAUACACAUUGUUGAGUGUAACACCUGUACGCUUUGGCAAAAUGACACAAAAAUUGACACACACAUGUAUCUCAAUAAGAUCUACGAAAAAGUCAAUGCGCGCGUAUCUGUCAAAUGUACGGUUAAAGGGUUAUUCCGCAUUUUUUGCCGAUCCGCACACAUUGGAAUUUCGCUAACUCCUCCGAAGGCUUUCGUUCCACCGGCACCACAUUUGCUCAGGCCAGUCUACACCCCAUGGCCAUUAAAAGUUAUUCAAAUCAUGACGCUGCACCCCACGGUUUAGGUUCUAGGGGGAGCCAAAGAUAACCGUAAAAUCCACAUAUUUAAAAGUCUUAUAACUUUUUAUUUUUGUCCCCACUGGCCUCCAAGUUUUCUAGGAUGAUGCAAUGUCCAGCCAUCAACACAUUUGUGAAGGAAUUUUUACUCCCCAAAAGAGCGCCCCCCCAUGGCAGGAGAAAAAAGUCCAUUUUUUCUUGUCCACUAAGGUGAAAAUACACAUUGUUGAGUGCUACGCCUGUAUGUUUUGUCGUAUUGACACAAAAUUUUACAUACACGUGUAUUUCAAUAAGAUCUUCGAAAAAGUCAAUGGCCACGUAUCUGUAAAAUGUACGGUUAAAGGGUUAUUUCGCAUUUUUUGCAGAUUCGCACACAUUGGAAUUUCGCUAAUUCCUCCGAAGGCUUUCGUUCCACCGGCACCACAUUUGCUCAGGCCAAUCUACACCCCAUGGCCAUUAAAAGUUAUUCAAAUCAUGACGCUGCACCCCACGGUUUAGGUUCUAGGGGGCGCCAAAUAUAACCCUAAAAUCCACAUAUUUAAAAGUCUUAUAACUUUUUAUUUUUGUCCUCACUGGCCUCCAUGUUUUCUAGGAUGAUGCAAUGUCCAGCCAUCAACACAUUUGUGAAGGAGUUUUUUCUCUUUAAAAGAGCGCCCCCCCAUGGCAGGAGAAUAAAGUCAAGUUUUUCCUGUUCAUCAUUCAAUGGCUCAAACGCACUGCUCUCUCGGCAAAAGCGAAAGGAGGAGCAACUUGCCAUUUGGAUAUAUCUUAGCUGUGUUUGUGCCCUCACUCAUGGUCCAGACUUUUUUCAAAUAGGACAUGGAGUUUUUCUGCAGCGAGCGUUUUGGUAGAAACUGCGCGUCCCGUUCAUUAUAAUGGUAAAUGACCACAAACAAGUGCGCACACCAUCUUUGGACCUUGAGUGUGACGCGAUCUGGUGGGGGAGGCGGUCGCGCUGGGGGCGGCGUGACACGGCUCGGGCCCGCCAGUGCCCCAACGGGGCCCUAGUCUUUGUUUCUUUCUUUCUUCUUUUUCCUCCCCUUUGAACUGGAAAAUGGCCCACUUCCCACUGGCGAAAACUCAUGAAAUUUGGCAGGACGACCGGGCCUGGUGAAAAAUUCGAUAUUCUGAAGUCGCCCAAACAAUAAAAUGCAAAAUGGCUCCAUAGCGCCCCCUAAGGUGGAAAUUCACACUAUUGACUGUCACGCCUGUACGCUUUGUCAUAUUGACACAAAAAUUGACACACAUAUGUAUCUCAAUAAGAUCUACAAAAAAGUCAGUGCGGCCGUAUCUGUCAAAAUUACGGUUAAAGGGUUAUUUCGCAUUUUUUGCCGAUCCGCACACAUUGGAAUUUCGCUAACUCCUCCGAAGGCUUUCGUUCCACCGGCACCACAUUUGCUCAGGCCAAUCUACACCCCGUGGCCAUUAAAAGUUAUCAAAAUCAUGACGCUGCACCCCAAGGUUUAGAUUCUAGGGGGCGCCAAAGAUAACACUAAAAUCCACAUAUUUAAAAGUCUUAUAACUUUUUAUUUUUGUCCUCACUGGCCUCCAAGUUUUCUAGGAUGAUGCAAUGUCCAGCCAUCAACACAUUUGUGAAGGAAUUUUUACUCCCCAAAAGAGCGCCCCCCAUGGCAGGAGAAAAAAGUCCAUUUUUUCUUGUCCCCUAAGGUGAAAAUACACAUUGUUGAGUGUCAAGCCUAUACGCUUUGUCAAAAUGACACAAAAAUUGACACACACAUGUAACUCAAUAAGAUCUACAAAAAAGUCCAUGCGCGCGUAUCUGUCAAAUGUACAGUUAAAGGGUUAUUCCGCAUUUUUUGCCGAUACGCACACAUUGGAAUUUCGCUAACUCCUCCGAAGGCUUUCGUUCCACCGGCACCACAUUUGCUCAGGCCAAUCUACACCCCAUGGCCAUUAAAAGUUAUUCAAAUCAUGAUGCUGCACCCCAUGGUUUAGGUUCUAGGGGGCGCCAAAAAUAACCCAAAAAUCCACAUUCUUAAAUGUUUUAUAACUUUUUAUUUUUGUCCUCACUGGCCUCCAAGUUUUCUAGGAUGAUGCAAUGUCCAGCCAUCAACACAUUUGUGAAGGAAUUUUUACUCCCCAAAAGAGCGCCCCCCCAUGGUAGGAGAAAAAAGUCAAUUUUUUCUUGUCCCCUUACAUAAAAAUACACAUUGUUGAGUGUCACGCCUGAACGCUUUGUCAUAUUGACACAAAAAUUGACAAUCAUGUGUAUCUCAAUUAGAUCUACGAAAAAGUCAAAGAGCGCGUAUCUGUAUAAUGUACGGUUAAAGGGCUAUUUUGCAUUUUUUGCCGAUUCGCACACAUUGGAAUGUGGCUAUCUCCUCCUAAGGCUUUCGUCCCACCGAUACCAAAUUUGCUCAGGGCAAUCUACACCCCAUGCCCAUUCAAAGUUGUAAAAAUCAUGACGCUGCACCCCACGGUUUACGUUCUAGGGGGCGCCAAAGAUGACCCAAAAAUCCACAUUCUUAAAAGUCAUUUUGGCCACUGCAGGAGUACAGAGUACUGCAGUUCUAGGGGGCGCCAAAGAUGACCCAAAAAUCCACAUUCUUAAAAGUCUUUUUGGCCACUGCAGGAGUACAGAGUACUGCAGGAUACACACACAUAUACACACACGCCAACAUACACACACACACACACACACACACACACACACACACACACACAGACACACACCCACACUCAGAGUCUGGUUUUUAGCACCUGCAAAAACAUGCUGUUUACAUAUUUGACAAGAAUGCAGAGGCUCCUUUUGCCCCUGAAAAAAAUCAAAUUUCAAACACAACUUGACUGUUCAUUUCUCCAAAAGACAACCAUGAAGCUCCAUUUUAAACCUGAAGCAGAUAGUUGGUGCAUGUGUACAGUAACCUGAGGGGAGUGAGGUGACUAUUUCUGAGGAGAACAUGAGCAGUGAAGAUUCACCUUGGAGCUAGAACAGGGACGUGCACAUGAUUAUACAGGGGCAGGGGCUCAAGUUUUUUCCAGUCAUUUAUACAAUAUGGAAAUUAAUGUGAAAUUAAACCACAAAUAUGUGUGAUGAACUGUUUUUAAAACUUAAACUUCAAAUAAAAAUUGUAAACUUCAAAACAUAUGCAAAUUUUUAACAAAGAACAUAGUAAUUUACCUCUAUUUACAUCAAAAUGCAGGCAAUGGCCCAGGCGUUCUUUGUAAAAUUAUUUACAAAACACUGUAUAGUCUCACAAAUGUCACUUUUUAUUUAUGCCACUACAAAAAAACAUGAUGUAAAUGAUGCAUGAUGUAAAACAUGAUGUAAAAAACUUGUGUAGAUCCUCCUCUAUGUCAGUCCAUGUGUAAUUUUUCCAUAAUUCUUUGUUUUUUGCAGCAUUUUUGUUAGUGUAACUGCAGAUUGUGCUGACAGUGUCUAUGGCACAAAAAAAAAAAAAUUUUUAAUGCCUCAACAUGAACCCGUGGUGGUCUCUGAGGGUGAAACCUGCUAACUGCUGCAGCUCUGUCAGCUUCAGUCUCCCAUGCAGAGCUCUGAGCGCAUGUGUGGCUCUGCACCCUUAGCAGCGUUGCUAACUCCUCAGUAUGGAAAGCCUGCUUCAUGUCAGAGUCUCUAAACUCCAGAAGAAGUCGAUAAAAGUCCCUUUCUUUCUAAAAAAAAGUCGUUAGGGGGUCUGAAAAGUCAUUGAAUCUAACAACAAAGUCGCUAGGUUUGCAACUACGUGUCCCAGACUGCAUCCCUGCUGAGAGUCCCUCCCUCCCUUCUCAUGUUGCAGGAAGAACGUAAGCGCCCCCCUUGUCAAUCAGUCACCAUAUAAUUUUGGAUUGGUUGUUGUGGUGAAGUUUUCCACCAAUAGGAGAGAUGUUGUGGUGUGUUUUUUUUUUCUUUUGGCAAGCCUUUUCCGCCUGUAAGAACUGUCGCUAAUGUCUGCAUGCUAUGUUUUCCUGUCUCAUACAGCGCGAUCGAGCGCCGAACGUGAUCAAAAUAAGCAGAAAAAAAAUAUCGCGGACAUAAUUUAUCAUAACUCUGGUUUUAUUUGGCCUAUCAACACAAUUUAAAAACUGGUAUAUAGGUUGAGGUCCUCACUUUUGAGAUAAGUUGAAACGGAGAGUCAACGAGGCUCCGUCUUGCAGCUACAUCCGGUUAAAUAUGUCAUGUGACUUGAACGCACACACAGACACACACACACGCACACGCACGCACACACACACACACACACACACACACACACACACACACACACACACACACUCAGAGUCUGGUUUUUAGCACCUGCAAAAACAUGCUAUUUACAUAUUUGACAAGAAUGCAGAGGCUCCUUUUGCCCCUGAAAAAAAUCAAAUUUCAAACACAACUUGACUGGUCAUUUCUCCAAAAGACAACCAUGAAGCUCCAUCCAAACCUGAAGCAGGCAGUUGGUGCAUGUGUACAGUAACCUGAGGGGAGUGAGGUGAGUGCUUCUGAGGAGAACAUGAGCAGUGAAGAUUCACCUUGGAGCUAGAACAGAGACAUGCACAUGAUUAUACAGGGGCAGGGGCUCAAGUUUUUUCCAGUCGUUUAUACAAUAUGGAAAUUAAUGUGAAAUUAAAACACAAAGUAUUAAUAGAAAGGUAAUGACUGUCCUGUGUAGGUGACAGUGAUAUCCAAUAGGCUAGGCACUCACGAGGCUGGCUGUGGCAAGUGUAAGUGAAAGCAACACGCACUGGCAGGAAGAACAGCAAACGCCGAUGAAGGAAAAGGGUCUUUGCAGUGAUGGGCGUUACCAGAGAGGGCGAUGGCCAGAGGACACAAAUGGGACGGGGAGGCAGCACGUUGGGGGGGGGGGGGGGGGGGGACGCGACACGGCUCGGGCCCGCCAGUGCCCCAACGGGGUCCUAGUUAUUAGGGCCCGAGCGUAGCUGCUAAGCAGCUGCGAGAGCCCUAUUAUUCCCCAAGUGGUUUUUCUUUGUUUCUUUUUUCUUUUUCCUCCCCUUUGAACUGGAAAAUGGCCCACUUCCCACUGGCGAAAACUCAGGAAAUUUGGCAGGACGACCGGGCCUGGUGAAAAAUUUGAUAUUCCGAAGUCGCCCAAACAAGAAAAUGCAAAAUGGCUCCAUAGCGCCCCCUAAGGUGAAAAUUCACACUAUUGACUGUCACGCCUGUACGCUUUGUCAAAAUGACACAAAAAUUGACACACACAUGUAUCUCAAUAAGAUCUACAAAAAAGUCAGUGCGGGCGUAUCUGUCAAAUGUACGGUUAAAGGGUUAUUUUGCAUUUUUUGCCGAUCCGCACACAUUGGAAUUUCGCUAACUCCUCCGAAGGCUUUCGUUCCACCGGCACCACAUUUGCUCAGGCCAAUCUACACCCCAUGGCCAUUAAAAGUUAUUCAAAUCAUGACGCUGCACCCCACGGUUUAGGUUCUAGGGGGCGCCAAAGAUAACCCUAAAAUCCACAUUUUUAAAAGUCUUAUAACUUUUUAUUUUUGCCCUCACUGGCCUCCAAGUUUUCUAGGAUGAUGCAAUGUCCAGCCAUCAACACAUUUGUGAAGGAAUUUUUACUCCCCAAAAGAGCGCCCCCCCAUGGCAGGAGAAAAAAGUCCAUUUUUUCUUGUCCCCUAAGGUGAAAAUACACAUUGUUGAGUGUCACGCCUGUACGCUUUGUCAAAAUGACACAAAAAUUGACACACACAUGUAUCUCAAUAAGAUCUACAAAAAAGUCAAUGCGCGCGUAUCUGUCUAAUGUACGGUUAAAGGGUUAUUCCGCAUUUUUUGCCGAUUCGCACACAUUGGAAUUUCGCUAACUCCUCCGAAGGCUUUCGUUCCACCGGCACCACAUUUGCUCAGGCCAAAUUACACCCCAUGGCCAUUAAAAGUUAUUCAAAUCAUGACGCUGCAUCCCACGGUUUACGUUCUAGGGGGCGCCAAAGAUAACCCAAAAAUCCACAUUUUUAAAAGUCUUAUAACUUUUUAUUUUUGUCCUCACUGGCCUCCAAGUUUUCUAGGAUGAUGCAAUGUCCAGCCAUCAACACAUUUGUGAAGGAAUUUUUACUCCCUAAAAGAGCGCCCCCCCAUGGCAGGAGAAAAAAGUCCAUUUUUUCUUGUCCCCUAAGGUGAAAAUACACAUUGUUGACUGUCACGCCUGUACGCUUUGGCAAAAUGACACAAAAAUUGACAAUCAUGUGUAUCUCAAUUAGAUCUACGAAAAAGUCAAAGAGCGCGUAUCUGUAUAAUGUACGGUAAAAGGGCUAUUUUGCAUUUUUUGCCGAUUCGCACACAUUGGAAUUUCGCUAACUCCUCCUAAGGCUUUCGUCCCACUGACACCAAAUUUGCUCAGGCCAAUCUACACUCCAUGGCCAUUCAAAGUUGUAAAAAUCAUGACGCUGCACCCCACGGUUUACGUUUUAGGGGGCGCCAAAGAUGACCCAAAUAUACAUUACAGUAGACAAAGUAGUUUUGCCCACUGAGUGGCGCCAAAGGGACUUGUCUGUGGAGUCUGUGAGUCACUAUUGGCCGUUUUUGACUACUUUAGAUUUUACCUUUAUAUUUCCUCUUACAAAAUUUUUACCUUGCCUUGCCUGGUAUCAUUUUUUUCAGCACAACCUCACCUGUGUCAAUUUACAGUUAUUUUAUCAUUUUGACAUACUAUAUUUACACAUUGGACCCAAAUUCACACACAAAACAUAAAAUCCGAGUGGAAAAAAGUAACGUUUUUACUGUGAAAACCACAAAUAUGUGUGAUGAACUGUUUUUAAAACUUAAACUUCAAAUAAAAAUUGUAAACUUCAAAACAUAUGCAAAUUUUUAACAAAGAACAUAGUAAUUUACCUCUAUUGACAUCAAAAUGCAGGCAAUGGCCCAGGCGUUCUUUGUAAAAUUAUUUACAAAACACUGUAUAGUCUCACAAAUGUCACUUUUUAUUUAUGCCACUACAAAAAAACAUGAUGUAAAUGAUGCAUGAUGUAAAACAUGAUGUAAAAAACUUGUGUAGAUCCUCCUCUAUGUUAGUCCAUGUGUAAUUUUUCCAUAAUUCUUUGUUUUUUGCAGCAUUUUUGUUAGUGUAACUGCAGAUUGUGCUGACAGUGUCUGUGGCAAAAAAAAAAAAAAAAAACUGAAAAUGCCUCAACAUGAACCCCUGGUGGUCUCUGAGGGUGAAACCUGCUAACUGCUGCAGCUCUGUCAGCUUCAGUCUCCCAUGCAGAGCUCGGAGCGCAUGUGUGGCUCUGCACCCUUAGCAGCGUUGCUAACUCCUCAGUAAGGAAAGCCUGCUUCAUGUCAGAGUCUCUAAACUCCAGAAGUCGAUAAAAGUCACUUUCUUUCUAAAAAAAAAGUCGUUAGGGGGUCUGAAAAGUCAUUGAAUCUAACAACAAAGUCGCUAGGUUUGCAACUACGUGUCCCAGACUGCAUCCCUGCUGAGAGUCCCUCCCUCCCUUCUCAUAUUGCAGGAAGAACGUAAGCGCCCGCCCCUUGUCAAUCAGUCACCAUAUAAUUUUGGAUUGGUUGUUGUGGUGAAGUUUUCCACCAAUAGGAGAGAUGUUGUGGUGUGUUUUUUUCUUUUCCUUUGGCAAGCCUUUUCCGCCUGUAAGACCUGUCGCUAAUGUCUGCAUGCUAUGUUUUCCUGUCUCAUACAGCGCGAUCGAGCGCCGAACGUGAUCAAAAUAAGCAGAAAACAAGUAUCGCGGACAUAAUUUAUCAUAACUCUGGUUUUAUUUGGCCUAUCAACACAAUUUAAAAACUGGUAUAUAGGUUGAGGUCCUCACUUUUGAGAUAAGUUGAAACGGAGAGUCAACGAGGCUCCGUCUUGCAGCUACAUCCGGUUAAAUAUGUCAUGUGACUUGAACGCACACACACACACACACACACACACACACACACAGACACACACACACACGCACACACACACCGUCUUGCAGCUACAUCCGGUUAAAUAUGUCAUGUGACUUGAACGCACACACACACACACACACACACACACACACACAGACACACACACACACGCACACUCAGAGUCUGGUUUUUAGCACCUGCAAAAACAUGCUAUUUACAUAUUUGACAAGAAUGCAGAGGCUUCCUUUUGCCCCUGAAAAAAAAUCAAAUUUCAAACACAACUUGACUGCUCAUUUCUCCAAAAGACAACCAUGAAGCUCCAUCCAAACCUGAAGCAGGCAGUUGGUGCAUGUGUACAGUAACCUGAGGGGAGUGAGGUGACUGCUUCUGAGGAGAACAUGAGCAGUGAAGAUUCACCUUGGAGCUAGAACAGGGACGUGUACAUGAUUAUACAGGGGCAGGGGCUCAAGUUUUUUCCAGUCGUUUAUACAAUAUGGAAAUUAAUGUGAAAUUAAAAAACAAAGUAUUAAUAGAAAGGUAAUGACUGUCCUGUGUAGGUGACAGUGAUAUCCAAUAGGCUAGGCACUCACGAGGCUGGCUGUGGCAAGUGUAAGUGAAAGCAACACGCACUGGCAGGAAGAACAGCAAACGCCGAUGAAGGAAAAGGGUCUUUGUAGUGAUGGGCGUUACCAGAGAGGGCGAUGGCCAGAGGACGCGAAUGGGACGGGGAGGCAGCGCGUUGGGGGGGGGGGCGCGACACGGCUCGGGCCCGCCAGUGCCCCAACGGGGCCCUAGUUAUUUUUCCUCCCCUUUGAACUGGAAAAUGGCCCACUUCCCACUGGCGAAAACUCAUGAAAUUUGGCAGGACGACCGGGCCUGGUGAAAAAUUUGAUAUUCCGAAGUCGCCCAAACAAGAAAAUGCAAAAUGGCUCCAUAGCGCCCCCUAAGGUGAAAAUUCACACUAUUGACUGUCACGCCUGUACGCUUUGUCAAAAUGACACAAAAAUUGACACACACAUGUAUCUCAAUAAGAUCUACAAAAAAGUCAGUGCGGGCGUAUCUGUCAAAUGUACGGUUAAAGGGUUAUUUCGCAUUUUUUGCCGAUCCGCACACAUUGGAAUUUCGCUAACUCCUCCGAAGGCUUUCGUUCCACCGGCACCACAUUUGCUCAGGCCAAUCUACACCCCAUGGCCAUUAAAAGUUAUUCAAAUCAUGACGCUGCACCCCACGGUUUAGGUUCUAGGGGGCGCCAAAGAUAACCCUAAGAUCCACAUAUUUAAAAGUCUUAUAACUUUUUAUUUUUGCCCUCACUGGCCUCCAAGUUUUCUAGGAUGAUGCAAUGUCCAGCCAUCAACACAUUUGUGAAGGAAUUUUUACUCCCCAAAAGAGCGCCCCCCCAUGGCAGGAGAAAAAAGUCCAUUUUUUCUUGUCCCCUAAGGUGAAAAUACACAUUGUUGAGUGUAACACCUGUACGCUUUGGCAAAAUGACACAAAAAUUGACACACACAUGUAUCUCAAUAAGAUCUACGAAAAAGUCAACGCGCGCGUAUCUGUCAAAUGUACGGUUAAAGGGUUAUUCCGCAUUUUUUGCCGAUCCGCACACAUUGGAAUUUCGCUAACUCCUCCGAAGGCUUUCGUUCCACCGGCACCACAUUUGCUCAGGCCAAUCUACACCCCAUGGCCAUUAAAAGUUAUUCAAAUCAUGACGCUGCACCCCACGGUUUAGGUUCUAGGGGGAGCCAAAGAUAACCGUAAAAUCCACAUAUUUAAAAGUCUUAUAACUUUUUAUUUUUGUCCCCACUGGCCUCCAAGUUUUCUAGGAUGAUGCAAUGUCCAGCCAUCAACACAUUUGUGAAGGAAUUUUUACUCGGCAAAAGAGCGCCCCCCCAUGGCAGGAGAAAAAAGUCAAUUUUUUCUUGUCCACUAAGGUGAAAAUACACAUUGUUGAGUGCUACGCCUGUAUGUUUUGUCGUAUUGACACAAAAUUUUACAUACACGUGUAUUUCAAUAAGAUCUUCGAAAAAGUCAAUGGCCACGUAUCUGUAAAAUGUACGGUUGAAGGGUUAUUUCGCAUUUUUUGCAGAUUCGCACACAUUGGAAUUUCGCUAAUUCCUCCGAAGGCUUUCGUUCCACCGGCACCACAUUUGCUCAGGCCAAUCUACACCCCAUGGCCAUUAAAAGUUAUUCAAAUCAUGACGCUGCACCCCACGGUUUAGGUUCUAGGGGGCGCCAAAGAUAACCCUAAAAUCCACAUAUUUAAAAGUCUUAUAACUUUUUAUUUUUGUCCUCACUGGCCUCCAUGUUUUCUAGGAUGAUGCAAUGUCCAGCCAUCAACACAUUUGUGAAGGAGUUUUUUCUCUUUAAAAGAGCGCCCCCCCAUGGCAGGAGAAUAAAGUCAAGUUUUUCCUGUUCAUCAUUCAAUGGCUCAAACGCACUGCUCUCUCGGCAAAAGCGAAAGGAGGAGCAACUUGCCAUUUGGAUAUAUCUUAGCUGUGUUUGUGCCCUCACUCAUGGUCCAGACUUUUUUCAAAUAGGACAUGGAGUUUUUCUGCAGCGAGCGUUUUGGUAGAAACUGCGCCUCCCGUUCAUUACAAUGGUAAAUGACCACAAACAAGUGCACACACCAUCUUUGGACCUUGAGUGUGACGCGAUCGGGUGGGGGAGGCGGUCGCGCUGGGGGCGGCGUGACACGGCUCGGGCCCGCCAGUGCCCCAACGGGGCCCUAGUUAUUAUUAUUUUUCCUCCCCUUUGAACUGGAAAAUGGCCCACUUCCCACUGGCGAAAACUCAUGAAAUUUGGCAGGACGACCGGGCCUGGUGAAAAAUUUGAUAUUCCGAAGUCGCCCAAACAAGAAAAUGCAAAAUGGCUCCAUAGCGCCCCCUAAGGUGAAAAUUCACACUAUUGACUGUCACGCCUGUACGCUUUGUCAAAAUGACACAAAAAUUGACACACACAUGUAUCUCAAUAAGAUCUACAAAAAAGUCAGUGCGGGCGUAUCUGUCAAAUGUACGGUUAAAGGGUUAUUUCGCAUUUUUUGCCGAUCCGCACACAUUGGAAUUUCGCUAACUCCUCCGAAGGCUUUCGUUCCACCGGCACCACAUUUGCUCAGGCCAAUCUACACCCCAUGGCCAUUAAAAGUUAUUCAAAUCAUGACGCUGCACCCCACGGUUUAGGUUCUAGGGGGCGCCAAAGAUAACCCUAAGAUCCACAUAUUUAAAAGUCUUAUAACUUUUUAUUUUUGCCCUCACUGGCCUCCAAGUUUUCUAGGAUGAUGCAAUGUCCAGCCAUCAACACAUUUGUGAAGGAAUUUUUACUCCCCAAAAGAGCGCCCCCCAUGGCAGGAGAAAAAAGUCCAUUUUUUCUUGUCCCCUAAGGUGAAAAUACACAUUGUUGAGUGUAACACCUGUACGCUUUGGCAAAAUGACACAAAAAUUGACACACACAUGUAUCUCAAUAAGAUCUACGAAAAAGUCAACGCGCGCGUAUCUGUCAAAUGUACGGUUAAAGGGUUAUUCCGCAUUUUUUGCCGAUCCGCACACAUUGGAAUUUCGCUAACUCCUCCGAAGGCUUUCGUUCCACCGGCACCACAUUUGCUCAGGCCAAUCUACACCCCAUGGCCAUUAAAAGUUAUUCAAAUCAUGACGCUGCACCCCACGGUUUAGGUUCUAGGGGGAGCCAAAGAUAACCGUAAAAUCCACAUAUUUAAAAGUCUUAUAACUUUUUAUUUUUGUCCCCACUGGCCUCCAAGUUUUCUAGGAUGAUGCAAUGUCCAGCCAUCAACACAUUUGUGAAGGAAUUUUUACUCGGCAAAAGAGCGCCCCCCAUGGCAGGAGAAAAAAGUCAAUUUUUUCUUGUCCACUAAGGUGAAAAUACACAUUGUUGAGUGCUACGCCUGUAUGUUUUGUCGUAUUGACACAAAAUUUUACAUACACGUGUAUUUCAAUAAGAUCUUCGAAAAAGUCAAUGGCCACGUAUCUGUAAAAUGUACGGUUGAAGGGUUAUUUCGCAUUUUUUGCAGAUUCGCACACAUUGGAAUUUCGCUAAUUCCUCCGAAGGCUUUCGUUCCACCGGCACCACAUUUGCUCAGGCCAAUCUACACCCCAUGGCCAUUAAAAGUUAUUCAAAUCAUGACGCUGCACCCCACGGUUUAGGUUCUAGGGGGCGCCAAAGAUAACCCUAAAAUCCACAUAUUUAAAAGUCUUAUAACUUUUUAUUUUUGUCCUCACUGGCCUCCAUGUUUUCUAGGAUGAUGCAAUGUCCAGCCAUCAACACAUUUGUGAAGGAGUUUUUUCUCUUUAAAAGAGCGCCCCCCAUGGCAGGAGAAUAAAGUCAAGUUUUUCCUGUUCAUCAUUCAAUGGCUCAAACGCACUGCUCUCUCGGCAAAAGCGAAAGGAGGAGCAACUUGCCAUUUGGAUAUAUCUUAGCUGUGUUUGUGCCCUCACUCAUGGUCCAGACUUUUUUCAAAUAGGACAUGGAGUUUUUCUGCAGCGAGCGUUUUGGUAGAAACUGCGCCUCCCGUUCAUUACAAUGGUAAAUGACCACAAACAAGUGCACACACCAUCUUUGGACCUUGAGUGUGACGCGAUCGGGUGGGGGAGGCGGUCGCGCUGGGGGCGGCGUGACACGGCUCGGGCCCGCCAGUGCCCCAACGGGGCCCUAGUUUGUUAUUAUUAGGGCCCGAGCGUAGCUGCUAAGCAGCUGCGAGAGCCCUAUUAUUCCCCAAGUGGUUUUUCUUUGUUUCUUUUUUCUUUUUCCUCCCCUUUGAACUGGAAAAUGGCCCACUUCCCACAGGCGAAAACUCAUGAAAUUUGGCAGGACGACCGGGCCUGGUGAAAAAUUUGAUAUUCUGAAGUUGCCCAAACAAUACAAUGCAAAAUGGCUCCAUAGCGCCCCCUAGGGUGAAAAAUUCACCUGACGCCUGUACGCUUUGUCAAAAUGACACAAAAAUUGACACACACAUGUAUCUCAAUAAGAUCUACAAAAAAGUCAGUGCGGGCGUAUCUGUCAAAUGUACGGUUAAAGGGUUAUUGCGCAUUUUUUGCCGAUCCGCACACAUUGGAAUUUCGCUAACUCCUCCGAAGGCUUUCGUUCCACCGGCACCACAUUUGCUCAGGCCAAUCUACACCCCAUGGCCAUUAAAAGUUAUUCAAAUCAUGACGCUGCACCCCACGGUUUAGGUUCUAGGGGGCGCCAAAGAUAACCCUAAAAUCCACAUAUUUCAAAGUCUUAUAACUUUUUAUUUUUGCCCUCACUGGCCUCCAAGUUUUCUAGGAUGAUGCAAUGUCCAGCCAUCAACACAUUUGUGAAGGAAUUUUUACUCCCCAAAAGAGCGCCCCCCCAUGGCAGGAGAAAAAAGUCCAUUUUUUCUUGUCCCAUAAGGUGAAAAUUCACACUAUUGACUGUCACGCCUGUACGCUUUGUCAAAAUUACACAAAAAUUGACACACACAUGUAUCUCAAUAAGAUCUACAAAAAAGUCAAUGCGCGCGUAUCUGUCAAAUGUACGGUUAAAGGGUUAUUCCGCAUUUUUUGCCGAUCCGCACACAUUGGAAUUUCGCUAACUCCUCCGAAGGCUUUCGUUCCACCGGCACCACAUUUGCUCAGGCCAAUCUACACCCCAUGGCCAUUAAAAGUUAUUCAAAUCAUGAUGCUGCACCCCACGGUUUAGGUUCUAGGGGGCGCCAAAGAUAACCCUAAAAUCCACAUAUUUAAAAGUCUUAUAACUUUUUAUUUUUGUCCUCUCUGGCCUCCAAGUUUUCUAGGAUGAUGCAAUGUCCAGCCAUCAACACAUUUGUGAAGGAAUUUUUACUCCCCAAAAGAGCGCCCCCCCAUGGCAGGAGAAAAAAGUCAAUUUUUUCUUGUCCCCUUACAUGAAAAUACACAUUGUUGAGUGUCACGCCUGAACGCUUUGUCAUAUUGACACAAAAAUUGACAAUCAUGUGUAUCUCAACUAGAUCUACGAAAAAGUCAAUGCGCGCGUAUCUGUAUAAUGUACGGUUAAAGGGCUAUUUCGCAUUUUUUGCCGAUUCGCACACAUUGGAAUGUGGCUAUCUCCUCCUAAGGCUUUCGUCCCACCGAUACCAAAUUUGCUCAGGGCAAUCUACACCCCAUGCCCAUUCAAAGUUGUAAAAAUCAUGACGCUGCACCCCACGGUUUACGUUCUAGGGGGCGCCAAAGAUGACCCAAAAAUCCACAUUCUUAAAAGUCAUUUUGGCCACUGCAGGAGUACAGAGUACUGCAGUUCUAGGGGGCGCCAAAGAUGACCCAAAAAUCCACAUUCUUAAAAGUCUUUUUGGCCACUGCAGGAGUACAGAGUACUGCAGGAUACACACACAUAUACACACACACACACACACACACACACACACACACACACACACACACACACACACACUCAGAGUCUGUUUUUUAGCACCUGCAAAAACAUGCUGUUUACAUAUUUGACAAGAAUGCAGAGGCUUCCUUUUGCCCCUGAAAAAAAUCAGAUUUCAAACACAACUUGACUGUUCAUUUCUCCAAAAGACAACCAUGAAGCUCCAUCCAAACCUGAAGCAGAUAGUUGGUGCAUGUGUACAGUAACCUGAGGGGAGUGAGGUGACUAUUUCUGAGGAGAACAUGAGCAGUGAAGAUUCACCUUGGAGCUAGAACAGGGACGUGCACAUGAUUAUACAGGGGCAGGGGCUCAAGUUUUUUCCAGUCAUUUAUACAAUAUGGAAAUUAAUGUGAAAUUAAACCACAAAUAUGUGUGAUGAACUGUUUUUAAAACUUAAACUUCAAAUAAAAAUUGUAAACUUCAAAACAUAUGCAAAUUUUUAACAAAGAACAUAGUAAUUUACCUCUAUUUACAUCAAAAUGCAGGCAAUGGCCCAGGCGUUCUUUGUAAAAUUAUUUACAAAACACUGUAUAGUCUCACAAAUGUCACUUUUUAUUUAUGCCACUACAAAAAAACAUGAUGUAAAUGAUGCAUGAUGUAAAACAUGAUGUAAAAAACUUGUGUAGAUCCUCCUCUAUGUCAGUCCAUGUGUAAUUUUUCCAUAAUUCUUUGUUUUUUGCAGCAUUUUUGUUAGUGUAACUGCAGAUUGUGCUGACAGUCUAUGGCAAAAAAAACAAAAACUGAAAAUGCCUCAACAUGAACCCCUGGUGGUCUCUGAGGGUGAAACCUGCUAACUGCUGCAGCUCUGUCAGCUUCAGUCUCCCAUGCAGAGCUCGGAGCGCAUGUGUGGCUCUGCACCCUUAGCAGCGUUGCUAACUCCUCAGUAAGGAAAGCCUGCUUCAUGUCAGAGUCUCUAAACUCCAGAAGAAGUCGAUAAAAGUCCCUUUCUUUCUAACAAAAGUUGUUAGGGGGUCUGAAAAGUAAUUGAAUCUAACAACAAAGUCGCUAGGUUUGCAACUACGUGUCCCAGACUGCAUCCCUGCUGAGAGUCCCUCCCUCCCUUCUCAUGUUGCAGGAAGAACGUAAGCGCCCGCCCCUUGUCAAUCAGUCACCAUAUAAUUUUGGAUUGGUUGUUGUGGUGAAGUUUUCCACCAAUAGGAGAGAUGUUGUGGUGUGUUUUUUUUUUCUUUUGGCAAGCCUUUUCCGCCUGUAAGACCUGUCGCUAAUGUCUGCAUGCUAUGUUUUCCUGUCUCAUACAGCGCGAUCGAGCGCCGAACGUGAUCAAAAUAAGCAGAAAAAAAGUAUCGCGGACAUAAUUUAUCAUAACUCUGGUUUUAUUUGGCCUAUCAACACAAUUUAAAAAAUGGUAUAUAGGUUGAGGUCCUCACUUUUGAGAUAAGUUGAAACGGAGAGUCAACGAGGCUCCGUCUUGCAGCUACAUCCGGUUAAAUAUGUCAUGUGACUUGAACGCACACACAGACACACACACACGCACACACACACACACACACACACUCAGAGUCUGGUUUUUAGCACCUGCAAAAACAUGCUAUUUACAUAUUUGACAAGAAUGCAGAGGCUCCUUUUGCCCCUGAAAAAAAAUCAAAUUUCAAACACAACUUGACUGGUCAUUUCUCCAAAAGACAACCAUGAAGCUCCAUCCAAACCUGAAGCAGGCAGUUGGUGCAUGUGUACAGUAACCUGAGGGGAGUGAGGUGAGUGCUUCUGAGGAGAACAUGAGCAGUGAAGAUUCACCUUGGAGCUAGAACAGAGACAUGCACAUGAUUAUACAGGGGCAGGGGCUCAAGUUUUUUCCAGUCGUCUAUACAAUAUGGAAAUUAAUGUGAAAUUAAAACACAAAGUAUUAAUAGAAAGGUAAUGACUGUCCUGUGUAGGUGACAGUGAUAUCCAAUAGGCUAGGCACUCACGAGGCUGGCUGUGGCAAGUGUAAGUGAAAGCAACACGCACUGGCAGGAAGAACAGCAAACGCCGAUGAAGAAAAAGGGUCUUUGCAGUGAUGGGCGUUACCAGAUAGGGCGAUGGCCAGAGGACACAAAUGGGACGGGGAGGCAGCACGUUGGGGGGGGGGGGGGGGGGGGACACGGCUCGGGCCCGCCAGUGCCCCAACGGGGUCCUAGUUCUUUGUUUCUUUCUUUCUUUCUUCUUUUUCCUCCCCUUUGAACUGGAAAAUGGCCCACUUCCCACUGGCGAAAACUCAUGAAAUUUGGCAGGACGACCGGGCCUGGUGAAAAAUUCGAUAUUCUGAAGUCGCCCAAACAAUAAAAUGCAAAAUGGCUCCAUAGCGCCCCCUAAGGUGGAAAUUCACACUAUUGACUGUCACGCCUGUACGCUUUGUCAAAAUGACACAAAAUUUGACACACAUAUGUAUCUCAAUAAGAUCUACAAAAAAGUCAGUGCGGGCGUAUCUGUCAAAUGUACAGUUAAAGGGCUAUUUCGCAUUUUUUGGCGAUCCACACACAUUGGAAUUUCGCUAACUCCUCCGAAGGCUUUUGUUCCACCGGCACCACAUUUGCUCAGGCCAAUCUACACCCCAUGGCCAUUAAAAGUUAUUCAAAUCAUGACGCUGCACCCCACGGUUUAGGUUCUAGGGGGCGCCAAAGAUAACCCUAAAAUCCACAUAUUUAAAAGUCUUAUAACUUUUUAUUUUUGUCCUCACUGGCCUCCAAGUUUUCUAGGAUGAUGCAAUGUCCAGCCAUCAACACAUUUAAGAAGGAAUUUUUACUCCCCAAAAGAGCGCCCCCCCAUGGCAGGAGAAAAAAGUCCAUUUUUUCUUGUCCCCUAAGGUGAAAAUACACAUUGUUGAGUGUCACGCCUGUACGCUUUGUCAAAAUGACACAAAAUUUGACACACAGGUGUAUCUCAAUAAGAUCUACAAAAAAGUCAGUGCGGGCGUAUCUGUCAAAUGUACGGUUAAAGGGCUAUUUCGCAUUUUUUGGCGAUCCACACACAUUGGAAUUUCGCUAACUCCUCCGAAGGCUUUUGUUCCACCGGCACCACAUUUGCUCAGGCCAAUCUACACCCCAUGGCCAUUAAAAGUUAUUCAAAUCAUGACGCUGCACCCCACGGUUUAGGUUCUAGGGGGCGCCAAAGAUAACCCUAAAAUCCACAUAUUUAAAAGUCUUAUAACUUUUUAUUUUUGUCCUCACUGGCCUCCAAUUUUUCUAGGAUGAUGCAAUGUCCAGCCAUCAACACAUUUGUGAAGGAAUUUUUACUCCCCAAAAGAGCGCCCCCCCAUGGCAGGAGAAAAAAGUCCAUUUUUUCUUGUCCCCUAAGGUGAAAAUACACAUUGUUGAGUGUCACGCCUGUACACUUUGUCAAAAUGACACAAAAUUUGACACACAGGUGUAUCUUAAUAAGAUCUACAAAAAAGUCAGUGCGGGCGUAUCUGUCAAAUGUACGGUUAAAGGGUUAUUCCGCAUUUUUUGCUGAUCCGCACACAUUGGAAUGUGGCUAACUCCUCCGAAGGCUUUUGUUCCACCGGCACCACAUUUGCUCAGGCCAAUCUACACCCCAUGGCCAUUAAAAGUUAUUCAAAUCAUGACGCUGCACCCCACGGUUUAGGUUCUAGGGGGCGCCAAAGAUGACCCAAAUAUCCACAUUUUUUGAAGUCUUAUAAUUUUUUAUUUUUGUCCUCACUGGCCUUUGGUCCCACUGACACCAAAUUUGCUCAGGCCAAUCUACACCCCAUGGCCAUUCAAAGUUGUACAAAUCAUGACGCUGCACCCCACGGACAACCAUGAAGCUCCAUCCAAACCUGAAGCAGGCAGUUGGUGCAUGUGUACAGUACCCUGAGGGGAGUGAGGUGACUGCUUCUGAGGAGAACAUGAGCAGUGAAGAUUCACCUUGGAGCUAGAACAGAGACGUGCACAUGAUUAUACAGGGGCAGGGGCUCAAGUUUUUUCCAGUCGUUUAUACAAUAUGGAAAUUAAUGUGAAAUUAAAAAACAAAGUAUUAAUAGAAAGGUAAUGACUGUCCUGUGUAGGUGACAGUGAUAUCCAAUAGGCUAGGCACUCACGAGGCUGGCUGUGGCAAGUGUAAGUGAAAGCAACACACACUGGCAGGAAGAACAGCAAACGCAGAUGAAGGAAAAGGGUCUUUGCAGUGAUGGGCGUUACCAGAGAGGGCGAUGGCCAGAGGACGCGAAUGGGACGGGGAGGCAGCGCGUUGGGGGGGGCGGCGCGACACGGCUCGGGCCCGCCAGUGCCCCAACGGGGCCCUAGUUAUUAUUAUUUUUCCUCCCCUUUGAACUGGAAAAUGGCCCACUUCCCACUGGCGAAAACUCAUGAAAUUUGGCAGGACGACCGGGCCUGGUGAAAAAUUUGAUAUUCCGAAGUCGCCCAAACAAGAAAAUGCAAAAUGGCUCCAUAGCGCCCCCUAAGGUGAAAAUUCACACUAUUCACUGUCACGCCGGUACGCUUUGUCAAAAUGACACAAAAAUUGACACACACAUGUAUCUCAAUAAGAUCUACAAAAAAGUCAGUGCGGGCGUAUCUGUCAAAUGUACGGUUAAAGGGUUAUUUCGCAUUUUUUGCCGAUCCGCACACAUUGGAAUUUCGCUAACUCCUCCGAAGGCUUUCGUUCCACCGGCACCACAUUUGCUCAGGCCAAUCUACACCCCAUGGCCAUUAAAAGUUAUUCAAAUCAUGACGCUGCACCCCACGGUUUAGGUUCUAGGGGGCGCCAAAGAUAACCCUAAGAUCCACAUAUUUAAAAGUCUUAUAACUUUUUAUUUUUGCCCUCACUGGCCUCCAAGUUUUCUAGGAUGAUGCAAUGUCCAGCCAUCAACACAUUUGUGAAGGAAUUUUUACUCCCCAAAAGAGCGCCCCCCCAUGGCAGGAGAAAAAAGUCCAUUUUUUCUUGUCCCCUAAGGUGAAAAUACACAUUGUUGAGUGUAACACCUGUACGCUUUGGCAAAAUGACACAAAAAUUGACACACACAUGUAUCUCAAUAAGAUCUACGAAAAAGUCAAUGCGCGCGUAUCUGUCAAAUGUACGGUUAAAGGGUUAUUCCGCAUUUUUUGCCGAUCCGCACACAUUGGAAUUUCGCUAACUCCUCCGAAGGCUUUCGUUCCACCGGCACCACAUUUGCUCAGGCCAAUCUACACCCCAUGGCCAUUAAAAGUUAUUCAAAUCAUGACGCUGCACCCCACGGUUUAGGUUCUAGGGGGAGCCAAAGAUAACCGUAAAAUCCACAUAUUUAAAAGUCUUAUAACUUUUUAUUUUUGUCCCCACUGGCCUCCAAGUUUUCUAGGAUGAUGCAAUGUCCAGCCAUCAACAUAUUUGUGAAGGAAUUUUUACUCGGCAAAAGAGCGCCCCCCCAUGGCAGGAGAAAAAAGUCAAUUUUUUCUUGUCCACUAAGGUGAAAAUACACAUUGUUGAGUGCUACGCCUGUAUGUUUUGUCGUAUUGACACAAAAUUUUACAUACACGUGUAUUUACAUAAGAUCUUCGAAAAAGUCAAUGGCCACGUAUCUGUAAAAUGUACGGUUAAAGGGUUAUUUCGCAUUUUUUGCAGAUUCGCACACAUAGGAAUUUCGCUAAUUCCUCCGAAGGCUUUCGUUCCACCGGCACCACAUUUGCUCAGGCCAAUCUACACCCCAUGGCCAUUAAAAGUUAUUCAAAUCAUGACGCUGCACCCCACGGUUUAGGUUCUAGGGGGCGCCAAAUAUAACCCUAAAAUCCACAUAUUUAAAAGUCUUAUAACUUUUUAUUUUUGUCCUCACUGGCCUCCAUGUUUUCUAGGAUGAUGCAAUGUCCAGCCAUCAACACAUUUGUGAAGGAGUUUUUCUCUUUAAAAGAGCGCCCCCCAUGGCAGGAGAAUAAAGUCAAGUUUUUCCUGUUCAUCAUUCAAUGGCUCAAACGCACUGCUCUCUCGGCAAAAGCGAAAGGAGGAGCAACUUGCCAUUUGGAUAUAUCUUAGCUGUGUUUGUGCCCUCACUCAUGGUCCAGACUUUUUUCAAAUAGGACAUGGAGUUUUUCUGCAGCGAGCGUUUUGGUAGAAACUGCGCCUCCCGUUCAUUAUAAUGGUAAAUGACCACAAACAAGUGCGCACACCAUCUUUGGACCUUGAGUGUGACGCGAUCGGGUGGGGGAGGCGGUCGCGCUGGGGGCGGCGUGACACGGCUCGGGCCCGCCAGUGCCCCAACGGGGCCCUAGUUUCUUUUUCCUCCCCUUUGAACUGGAAAAUGGCCCACUUCCCACUGGCGAAAACUCAUGAAAUUUGGCAGGACGACCGGGCCUGGUGAAAAAUUUGAUAUUCUGAAGUCGCCCAAACAAUACAAUGCAAAAUGGCUCCAUAGCGCCCCCUAAGGUGAAAAAUUCACCUGACGCCUGUACGCUUUGUCAAAAUGACACAAAAAUUGACACACACAUGAAUCUCAAUAAGAUCUACAAAAAAGUCAGUGCGGGCGUAUCUGUCAAAUGUACGGUUAAAGGGUUAUUGCGCAUUUUUUGCCGAUCCGCACACAUUGGAAUUUCGCUAACUCCUCCGAAGGCUUUCGUUCCACCGGCACCACAUUUGCUCAGGCCAAUCUACACCCCAUGGCCAUUAAAAGUUAUUCAAAUCAUGACGCUGCACCCCACGGUUUAGGUUCUAGGGGGCGCCAAAGAUAACCCUAAAAUCCACAUAUUUCAAAGUCUUAUAACUUUUUAUUUUUGCCCUCACUGGCCUCCAAGUUUUCUAGGAUGAUGCAAUGUCCAGCCAUCAACACAUUUGUGAAGGAAUUUUUACUCUCCAAAAGAGCGCCCCCCCAUGGCAGGAGAAAAAAGUCAAUUUUUUCUUGUCCCAUAAGGUGAAAAUUCACACUAUUGACUGUCACGCCUGUACGCUUUGUCAAAAUUACACAAAAAUUGACACACACAUGUAUCUCAAUAAGAUCUACAAAAAAGUCCUGCGCGCGUAUCUGUCAAAUGUACGGUUAAAGGGUUAUUCCGCAUUUUUUGCCGAUACGCACACAUUGGAAUUUCGCUAACUCCUCCGAAGGCUUUCGUUCCACCGGCACCACAUUUGCUCAGGCCAAUCUACACCCCAUGGCCAUUAAAAGUUAUUCAAAUCAUGACGCUGCAUCCCAUGGUUUAGGUUCUAGGGGGCGCCAAAAAUAACCCAAAAAUCCACAUUCUUAAAUGUUUUAUAACUUUUUUUUUUUGUCCUCACUGGCCUCCAAGUUUUCUAGGAUGAUGCAAUGUCCAGCCAUCAACACAUUUGUGAAGGAAUUUUUACUCCCCAAAAGAGCGCCCCCCCAUGGUAGGAGAAAAAAGUCAAUUUUUUCUUGUCCCCUUACAUGAAAAUACACAUUGUUGAGUGUCACGCCUGAACGCUAUGUCAUAUUGACACAAAAAUUGAGAAAUUAAUGUGAAAUUAAACCACAAAUAUAUGUGAUGAACUGUUUUUAAAACUUAAACUUCAAAUAAAAAUUGUAAACUUCAAAACAUAUGCAAAUUUUUAACAAAGAACAUAGUAAUUUACCUCUAUUUACAUCAAAAUGCAGGCAAUGGCCCAGGCGUUCUUUGUAAAAUUAUUUACAAAACACUGUAUAGUCUCACAAAUGUCACUUUUUAUUUAUGCCACUACAAAAAAACAUGAUGUAAAUGAUGCAUGAUGUAAAACAUGAUGUAAAAAACUUGUGUAGAUCCUCCUCUAUGUCAGUCCAUGUGUAAUCUUUCCAUAAUUCUUUGUUUUUUGCAGCAUUUUUGUUAGUGUAACUGCAGAUUGUGCUGACAGUGUCUAUGGCAAAAAAAAAAAAAAACUGAAAAUGCCUCAACAUGAACCCCUGGUGGUCUCUGAGGGUGAAACCUGCUAACUGCUGCAGCUCUGUCAGCUUUAGUCUCCCAUGCAGAGCUCGGAGCGCAUGUGUGGCUCUGCACCCUUAGUAGCGUUGCUAACUCCUCAGUAAGGAAAGCCUGCUUCAUGUCAGAGUCUCUAAACUCCAGAAGAAGUCGAUAAAAGUCCCUUUCUUUCUAAAAAAAAGUCGUUAGGGGGUCUGAAAAGUCAUUGAAUCUAACAACAAAGUCGCUAGGUUUGCAACUACGUGUCCCAGACUGCAUCCCUGCUGAGAGUUCCUCCCUCCCUUCUCAUGUUGCAGGAAGAACGUAAGCGCCCCCCUUGUCAAUCAGUCACCAUAUAAUUUUGGAUUGGUUGUUGUGGUGAAGUUUUCCACCAAUAGGAGAGAUGUUGUGGUGUGUUUUUUUUUUUUCUUUGGCAAGCCUUUUCCGCCUGUAAGACCUGUCGCUAAUGUCUGCAUGCUAUGUUUUCCUGUCUCAUACAGCGCGAUCGAGCGCCGAACGUGAUCAAAAUAAGCAGAAAAAAAGUAUCGCGGACAUAAUUUAUCAUAACUCUGGUUUUAUUUGGCCUAUCAACACAAUUUGAAAACUGGUGUAUAGUUUGAGGUCCUCACUUUUGAGAUAAGUUGAAACGGAGAGUCAACGAGGCUCCGUCUUGCUGCUACAUCCGGUUAAAUAUGUAAUGUGACUUGAACGCACACACAGACACACGCACACACACACACACACACACACACUCAGAGUCUGGUUUUUAGCACCUGCAAAAACAUGCUAUUUACAUAUUUGACAAGAAUGCAGAGGCUCCUUUUGCCCCUGAAAAAAAUCAAAUUUCAAACACAACUUGACUGGUCAUUUCUCCAAAAGACAACCAUGAAGCUCCAUCCAAACCUGAAGCAGGCAGUUGGUGCAUGUGUACAGUAACCUGAGGGGAGUGAGGUGAGUGCUUCUGAGGAGAACAUGAGCAGUGAAGAUUCACCUUGGAGCUAGAACAGAGACAUGCACAUGAUUAUACAGGGGCAGGGGCUCAAGUUUUUUCCAGUCGUUUAUACAAUAUGGAAAUUAAUGUGAAAUUAAAACACAAAGUAUUAAUAGAAAGGUAAUGACUGUCCUGUGUAGGUGACAGUGAUAUCCAAUAGGCUAGGCACUCACGAGGCUGGCUGUGGCAAGUGUAAGUGAAAGCAACACGCACUGGCAGGAAGAACAGCAAACGCCGAUGAAGGAAAAGGGUCUUUGCAGUGAUGGGCGUUACCAGAGAGGGCGAUGGCCAGAGGACACAAUAGGGACGGGGAGGCAGCACGUUGGGGGGGGGGGACGCGACACGGCUCGGGCCCGCCAGUGCCCCAACGGGGCCCUAGUCUUUCUUUGUUUCUUUCUUUCUGUUUGUUUGUUUGUUCCUGUCUUUCUUUCUUUCUUUCUUUCUUUCUUUCUUCUUCAACAUGUUUUCCUUACUUUUAAAAUGUUUUCCUCAAAUGUACAGAGCCCAGAUUAGUUAAUUUCAGGCCUCCACUGUAUCCCAGAUUAAUUUAAAAUACAUGAAGAGAUGUGAUUUGCAGUGGGGGGCAUACUCUUCAAUUGUUGCUGUAGUUUAUUCAUAGUUAAUGCACCAUGCACUAUAGUGGUACCAAAAACAGUCAUUCGAGCAGCUAAUCUGCAUUCAAAUAAAAUGUGUUUUGAAUGACUUGUAUCAAAGCAUUUAUUUGUACAUUAUCCAAUCCAACCCGCUUUAUUUAUAUGGCACAUUUUAAAAAACAUUCAAGUUUACCAAAGUGCUGCACAGUUAAAUUAAAAGAACAAACACGGCAGAAAAGAUCAAGAGGAAAUAAAUAAAAGCAGGUAAAAAAGAACAUUUAAAAUGAAAUAAAAUAAAUGAAAUAAAAACAAAACAGCAUAAAAAAAAUUUAAAGUGAUAAAAGGAGUAUAAAGGACAGAGCUCACACAACUCUCAUUACAGCUAUUCUUUGGGAUGUUCUUAAAUUAAAGUUCUUAAAUUGUAAAACUAAUCUUCAACAAACCUAAAGAAAGAAAAAAGAAGAAAAACAGUCAGAAUUGUGCAGGAUUUAUUCAACAUUACUAAACACGAUAGCAGAGUCUGCAGAUAGAUAAUGUCAAAUGAGUUUCAGAGUGUGGCUUAGUGUUGCUAGCACUGCCUCGGGGCUCCCCUGCAGGUCAAUGCCACAUACCUGCACUUGUUAUGCAUCACUUCAGUCAAGUUAUCAAUAUUUCAUUUUCUGAAUCAAACUACGAUUCAACCACUUCAUGCUGCAAGAUGCCAUGAGUUGUCUGUGCUUGUUUACAUCUGGAUAGUAGAGCAUUAUAGCAUAAUGACCGCCAUAGGGACUGGAGCUACAGCAAUGGCUGCUGGUGGUGCACUACAGCUUAGACCCCUCUACCUUACAAGGGUGGCAGAAAAACAUUGAUACAGCAUAGUAUCACGAUAUUUUGUCCGGUGAUAUAUUGUAUCGUCUUAAUUACCAAGUAUAGAUUUUUUCAAUUAAUUGCGAAUAUGACGUGAAAUCUAUGAUAGUGGAAAAAUAAAAUCAACUGUUUGUCUGGUGAGGUUGGCAGAGGUGACAUCAUAGAGCAGGAGAAAGUUAGUACGACGAAUAUAUUUAAGGUUUGCAAGAUGUGCUCCAUGAAAAUAAAAUACAGUGUAAAUAAGACAAACAUAAUGGAAAGACGAAUGCUAAUUUAACUAAAAAGUUGAAAAAUUGUAUAAAUCGCAAUAUAUUUUAUCGCAUUACUCACUGUAGCCUGUCGCAAAAUGUUAAAAAUACCGUAUCGUGGCCCAAGUAUCGUGAUACUAUUGUAAUUUGGGGCCACUAGUGAUUCCCACCCCUACUACCUUGCACAAAGGUUUUAAUGCUCUGAAUUUCCAAGCUUUGUUACAGCUUGUUUAUGAGGUUUGUGUUUUCACUAUCAUUCCUUAUUAUGCUAGUUUUUCUGGCGAUCGUUCCUUUUCACUGUGAUAACAGAAACCUUGUCAAUCUACGUGAUGAGCAACUGAAAAAGCAGAUGAGUGGGGGUGGGGUGGAGGGGACUUCAAAGUUAGUCCAACUUAUUUUUGAGAGAUAAUGAGUGAAUGAUAAAAUUAUCACCCAAACUGUCCGUUUGAAGUGAUAAUCAGACCUGUUGGCUUGUUUAUAACCCGUCUGAUCCUCUGAUCUUUUGUGUUUCUACCCUGUCUGACUCAUCAUCACGCUCUCAUCCAGAUCGAAUCUGUUUAUUUAGUGGAGCAAUAACUGAUUAUAGUGCUGUGGUUUUUGGUAAAAGCUAUAAAAAUAAGAUUUCUGCCCACACAUAAAAAAUGUUUUCUUUCUUAAAAUGGAGUAUUGUGUGAGAUUGUAAGUUUUUAUUGGUUGUCUAAGGUUCAUUUGAUUAUCUCUAAAUUUGCUCCUAUGAAACUGAAACUUAUUUUAUUUAUCACAUACUCAUUCCCUCUAAAUAAGACAUUUUCUUUUCAAAAACACAUGCGCUCACUAUGUGUAGUCUUUAUUCCUCAGUCCACAGUGUAAACUUCUCCUUCUCAUCUGAACACUCCGCAGCGUGCAAUAAGUCGAGGUCAGGUAUUUUAUAAAUCUUCUCUGUGUUUAUCAAAUGGACUCAAAAAUUACAAUUUUCACAGUGCGGCUAAUAAAAGUCAAACUGUCCCUCUGUACAUGUACAUGAAACAAACAAAGAGACAUGCGGGGGCCCUUUGAUCAGUCAAUCCGUAAACAAACCCAGAUGCAGAAGCGCCCUGCAAUCGGGUAUGUGCAGAUCAAACUGCGUCAAAUCAUCAGCGGGCAAAUAAUAAGCUCUCGUUCUGUGAAGGGCAGCAGUCACAGCAGCACCAUCAAUUAGACUCUACACUUUGUGUCUUUUUUCCUCUCAACUGAUGGUGAGCCGAGCGAGUCUGACUCUGCUUUGUCUCGCACCAAACCUUCAAACUUUACAUUACUGUGAAGAUGAAUGAAGAUUUUUUUUGAAAAGUGUUGGAUUCUGAAGGGUUUAAAUUACAAACACUGCCAUGUUGAUGUUUGAAAUAUUUUGAUAUCGCCUGAAGUUUGCACCCACAUUUUUGGCAGUCUGGAUGUUCUCGGCGAGUCAUCUGCAUACGGCACUUUUCAAGAUAUGGCCGUCCUGCCGUGGUUUGAAUUGUUUAUAUUUUGUCCCUGAUUGUGCGGCCACAUAGGUAGGAGCUUCACAACUAUGGAUGAAGUUUGCAACAUCUUUUUUUUUUUUUUUUUCUAUUCUGCUCCUUCUUGUUAGUGCAUUCCUCACGCUGUGCACAAGAGUAUUACCCUCAAACAAGUCGGUCCUCUUUGUUUUGAGCUCUAUGGGGACCCCCUCCCUUUGCAAAAAAAAAUUAUGUUUUGGAAGGCAAGCCGAACCAAUGCGCGGGGAGAGCGCAUGGAAUCAAUAGUGUCUUCUUUUCUUACUUGAUUUAAAUGAGGGCUACCAGCUCUGAAGUUCCUUCUUGCCAUGUUCAUCUUGAAAGAAUGUGCGCUGGUUGCACCGACUCCAAAGCCCAGCACAGUUACCAUUGGCAUAUUAAUAAUUUAAUGCAAAUAAUCAUUGAGUAUGCAGUUUGUGUGUGAAUUUGAGCUGAAAGACAAAAGUAGAAAGUGGGGCCUCACAUUGCGUUGAGGAAAAUAAAGUGAGAUGUUACACAGACCUCUUUCUAGCGUCUCCGCGGGUGGAUGCUGAAAUGAAUCCCCUCAAGAGUUGUACCAUCUCAUCCAGCUUUCUCUGAUUUAGAUCCCAUCAACACUUCUCAUUUCACACUGCUGUAAUACAAGAUGUCAAAGUGUAAUGUGACAAGGUUUCUCGGAGUAAACAGACACGAGAGUUUUUACUUACUUUUAAUUGCGCCCCAAAAGUCACCUGGUUAGCUGUUGACUCCACCUGUGAUGGUUUAUGAGGUUUUGGCAGAGCAAACAUGCUUACAGUGGUGUCAGAAGAGGUCAAAGUGUACACGCUGUUUCGUGAAGAGAUGUUGAUGGGGUUGUUAGACGUCACGCAGACACAGAAAAAGAUAUAUUACAGCUUCUAUUUGCCAUGCUUGCUCUCAGGCUUCAACUCGCGCAUCAUUCCCUCAGUCCCAUCACACCGUCAAUAAUUCAUGUCAGGGAUUUCAUGGGAUUCAGCACACACUUUCGCCCGUAUUGAUGGCAAAUUUCUUUUAUUUACGCGCGGCCUGUAAUGAAAUAAGAAGCUCACAUAACUCUGUACUCAGUCUGUAGGCUAAUUUCAGAGGGAGAAAACAGGGGGCUGGUAACAGUGGUGGUGUUGGUGGUGUUUCGGAGCGGAGGAAAGCCUGUGGGGCUUUGGUUGUUCUAAGGGUCCCAGAGCUGCUUUCCUCAGCCUCUCUCUGCUUAUGGCUUUCAUUACAGGUCGCUCUUUUCUUCUUCACCCUCCUUCUUGUGUUCAUGUGGAGGCAGGGCAUUUGCGUUUGUACGUCUACAGAAUGGUUUUCAGCCAUGCAAAUGAAAACAACACAUACCUGCGUUGGCUUUUACACAUUCCUGUUGCCUUUUCUUCAAGUAAACAGAGAAUACAAAUAGAAGUCCCGCUGAAGUGUAGUUUUAUACUUUUAUAUAAGCAUUAUAAGAAUUGACCCCGUUACCUCUAAUUAUCUUUAAGACCAAAAUUAAGUUUUCAGCCAAAACCACGUAAGCUACAGUAAUGCGAUGUAACAGUAACCUUCCUGUUGUGUAGUUGAACAUACAAGAGUUUAAAUCAAGGACUGUAUUACCAAAUUGAUGCUAACAGCGGUAUUAUUAACUGCAACAUGUGAAAUCAGCUGUGUCCUGUUAUUUAACCACAAAUUAGGGGUCAAAGGUUGUCCUAAAGGUUGUGUGGUAUGGUUACAAAAUUGAUCUGGCAGUUGAUUAAGUUUGAUAAUACAAACAGACUUAGAAAUUGAUAUACGUCACAUUGAAUUUAUAAUAUGAAUCAGUUUAUGUAUAUUGGGUGGAAGUUCUCAUAAUGUAAACCAUUUAAACUCUGUUUCUAAACUCACUUGUAGUUCUUAUGCAGAUGUGUGGGACCAUCUGUUAUCAUGGGCCACCCUGCCAGCUACCCACAUGGUAGUUGAGUACAUACUUCACUAGUAUAGAAGGGCAGUCAAAAUUGCUUCAAAAUGAUGUUUGAAUAUUCAUUCUAAAAAUAGCACAUAGGUUCAAACAUAUUUGAAAAAAUGCUGAGCGGGAUAAAGUUAUAUGCAAGCUGUGUAAGCUAGAUGUUCAAUCAACUGUGUCUGCCCAAGAUCUGAAGAAUUUCCAAAUGCAGCUUCUAAAGUUCGUUGGAGUCCAGACCAUUCUCUCUGAGUUUGGCUCUGAACAUCCCGCCAUCUCUCUGCAUGUGCCACGGAUGUUUUUUGUCGAGUCAGGUGCAGCUCCUGUGACCUGUCCCUGACCCAUCAUUACAGUACACUCACUCGCAAAGCAGUCGCUGUUUUUUUUUUUUCUUUUCGUUUUUUCCUGCUCAUUUUUUCCCCGCUGUUUAUUUAAUAAUCCAUUAAUUUUCACAUUUGAAUCUCUCUUUUUUUUUUCUUGAAUAUUCAAAUAUGUAUUCAAAUUUAUAAUAUUCGUUGACAACCCUAUAGACGGUUGUAAGGUAUAAAAGGAUCCACUGCCACCAACAAAUCUGCCAAGACUUCACCAUCUCUCUCCACUGGUCACUUCGUAGAGUCUUUUAAACCUGCACUCCACGAGGUGCAUUUACCUAAAAUGAUAUCCCUGUUGUCUUUAAAAGCAUGAACACAACACAGUGAGGAAUAAAAGCUGUUAAAAAAUGGUGCUGCUAGACUGGCUUUCUUUGCAUUGUACCCCCAGAUUGCUUUGUGCAUUAAAGUGGUCACUUGCUUAAUCAAGCCCUGUCUUCUGGGUGAAAUACCACAACACAAUACAACACACCUGUGGGUUUUAUACUGGUAUAUCAGCCACUUAAAUUUACACUAAUUGUUUUACCCACUGUGCACUGUGUUUAGUUACUGUAUACCUUUUGAUGAUCCAAUAAAUCCAAACAAAUACAAAGCUUAGCUGUUAUACAGUUGCUGGCCACCAGUUUGGCCCAUGAAGGUAUAAUCAGGUUUCCAGGCCUUGAAUCACUCAAGUUUCAGUUGUUUGGGAAAAACCAUUUUACAGUGUUAUGUCCAUUUAGGUUUGAGUUUGAAUUUCUUCAACAGAUUGAGAGAAUAGUCCUCUAUUUGACCACGACCAGAAAAUGAUUAGCUUUCCUCCUCCUCCUCGCAGCAGCAGCAUUAUGGGCUCAUCAACUAGCCUUAGAAGAGAAUAAGACUUUUUUACAGGUACAAUAUAUGCAAGAAUUACCCUUUCAUUAAGUCUUCCUGCAGAUAAAAAGGUUUGAGUGCUCUGUGUUUUGCACCUUUUAACAACACUAAGUAAAAAUAAUUAAAAUGCAAAUGUUUUAAGGCCUCAUAAGUCCGAAUGAUCAAAAGGUGCUCCAACCAGAGCACGAAAACAGUCGUAAAGUGAUUUCAUCACCUGCUAUAACAAUCAAUUAAAAUACAAUAUGCAGAGAAUGCAUGUGUAUGUGUGCUCACCACAGUGGUGUGGAAUGAAUCAGUGAGUGCCUGUGGACAUUGUCAUAUGGACAUAUUAGCGGCAGCUCUGGAUUCCUUAGUGUUUUAUGUGUAUAAUUUCCCCCUGAUAGUGAUGGUGGUGGUAGUUAUGGUGUUAUGGUGUUAUGGUGUGUGUGUGUGUGUGUGUGUGUGUGUGUGUGUGUGUGUGUGUGUGUGUGUGUGUGUGUGUGUGUGUGUGUGUGUGUGUGGAGAGAGAGAGAAAGAAAUAGAAAGAGAAAGACAGAGAAUUGAAGAGAGAGAAUGGGAGAGCUAGAGAGGUGAUGUGGAAGGAUGAGGGAGGCUGAGACAGGAGAGCUGCCCCCAGUAAUGAGGCCCUUUUAUGGGCUUUAAUUUGUCCCGCUCCCCCGGGAGACUGAUGGAUGGCUCUCUUUAUGCUCACUCUCUUUCGUUCCACCAUCUGUGAUACAGAGGAUUUAUUUAUACCCUGAUAUUACCUCUCUAACAAGUGCUGCCUCGCCAUUACUACUGCCACACUCUUCUUUCUUCAGAUAGAUAGAUGGAUAGAUUUGGGUUCUUGGUAGGUAAGUGACACUUAAGUGUACAUAGUUGAAAAUUUAAACAAUCAAACGAAGCUUACAUCAGCCACCUGAUAAGAAAAAAAUCAGAACAACAGACAACAGUCUCUUUUUGUGAAAAAAAAAGUGGAGCAUGCACAGUGUGUGCAUGCGUGUGUGUUUAGAUGUCUGUAAGCCCGCCAUGCUGUCUGAGUUUGAUUCUCCCCUUAUUCUUUUCUUUCUCUGUUUAUUUGUUUCUUUUCUGCAAGUGGGUGCAGGGGGGAAAAAACAAAACAUUUUUGCCCCUGGGCAAUUCAUUGCAAAUUCUGGCUGACUCCUGCUCGCUUUGACUCCGGGGAAAUGAAAUUUAAAAACUAGCUUAAAAGUUUAUCACCGGUUGGCAGUUUUGGCAAGUGAUAAAAAUGACCAGUUGGAGAGGUAGAUUUAGGUUGACAGCCACGCAGGGAUGAAAAUAGCACGCUGCAUACGUUUACCUCGGCUGUUUCAAAGGAUCGGGCACCAUGCUGGCAGGGCUGCCGAUGCCCAUGUUCAUCCAUUCAUCCGCAGCUCAGGGGCUUGUCACUGCAAAAAGAAAAAAAAAAACUUCAAGGGAGAGUUUCAAGCAACAACAAUCGCUCUGCAUCAACAAACAAUGCACUAGCACACAUAUAUUCAAAUAUAUAAUGCAGCUCAUAUAGUCUGUUUUGGACAAUGCGCAGUAUUGAUCACUCUGAACCUCGCUCACAGUAACAAGUGGAACAAGUGGAAAAUAUAACGAUCAUACCUCAUGUUACAUUGCUAAAGGCCUUAGAGGUUGAAACGGUGAUUUAAAUGAACAAAGACGAUUGACUUAUUUUCAUGAUGAAUUUCACUCAGUGAAAACAGAGAUUUACUCCAGGAAAUGUGUCUCUUUUGUUUCCGGAUUUCAAGUUUGUUCCCACUAGCAGUGCUUUAAAAGACUUAACAAGAGAUUUACGGUGUCCUUUUGCAUUGGAUUGUAAUGGAUUUAAAUGUAUUUGGAACAUGCAGAAUAUAAAGCAUAAAUGGUCAUACAGGAUCUUCUUAUACUACCCAAAAAGGAUAAAUAAUGCAAUAUCAGAUUGUCAAACACUUGAUGAUUUGGUUUACAUAUUCCAAAAUAGAGUAGGAAGAAGUACAUACAUUUAUUUGACCUUACCUUAAUUUCAUGAGACAUUGUUGAUUAAUUAUGCAGAUUUUUUAUUAAAAUGACAUCAGCCAUUAUUAUUAACCUUAACUUUUUCAAAUGUAAAGUUUUAACCACCAUUUAGGGUUGUCCAAUAAGAUAAUUUUUUUUUACAACUAACAUAUUUAUAUCCAUAUGCAGUUGUGUUACUUACAUUUUUACUCACUUUGAUUAAAAAAAAAACCAGUAUUGAUAUAUUAAACUAACAGAAAUAUUGAUCUUUGAUCCCUUAUAUCAUGAAGUGAUUUGUAAAACUUGGGAAAAUAGGGAAAAAUGUUUGAUAUAACUUCCCUAAGCAUGGAGAGUCACUACAUUAUCCUGCUUAUUACCAACGAGAGCUAUAUGCAAGCUGACACAGCAGGUUGAUUAAAAGAUGAUUUUAUUCUUUGGUUAAUAAUUGAUGUACACAGCUUAAAAGAUAGUUAUUCUGAUUCUGCGGUCUGUAAUGUUCCCCUGGUAAUAGAUACUUAUUUACCUCCUUGAAGGAUGAAUAAACAUCUAACCAAACAUUUAAACUCCUGAUCACUUAUCUAUUAUUAUCUGCAUUAUUUUAACAUUUUUAAAGAAUGUAAUGGUAAACAAGGUUAGCAAGACUUCUGCAGGGAUCUUCUUCUUCUUCUUUUCUUGGCUAUGUCACAAUUUUUAGCGUUUCUGCUUAAUUCACUACCCUUCACGGUUAAAGUUACUUUGUUGAAAUCAGCAGCUUGGAGAUGCACUCACCAGCUCUGCUGCCAUCUCAUGGAUUGCACAACAGGAUCUAAUAUUAUAAUAUUCUCUGUGUUGUUUUACCAUGGAAGUUAUUUUAGAGCACAGAGAUUGACAUCUUUGCCUUACAGUCAACAAGCUGAGCUUAAAGGUCUUGAAACUCUUUUCAAACUCUUUGAUUUGAUGACGUGGGAUCUGGUCGUCUAUACUGAUCAUGCUACCUUUGUUUUAACCAAUGUAUAAUCGGAUAUUUAACACGGCUAUGUGCUUAGAGAGAAAGCUGAGUAUUAAGAUUCAGUGGAAGUCAAGAAAAGUUCAAAAUUAAAUGGGUCACUAGAGAAUCAUUGAUCCAAAAUAUUUUUACUUUAUUUGAGCACUUAAGCCUCAUUUUUUUGUCAUGAAGCCUGAUUCUGACGUCUCUAAGUCCACAUGUCUCAAAACCUGACAGUUUAAGAUCAAAUAAAAUGAGUCACAUCUGAAAGCAGCUGGCUUCAAAAUUUCAUACUAUAAGCAUAGACAGGCUGUGUUGACUCAUAUUAACACCACACUUUCUCCAUAUUCUUGUGUGUUCCUGAUCUCAUCUCUAAUCUAAUCAAACACAUGACUCUCUGUUUACCGAAACCACUGCUGAACGCUUUUCCAGUUAGUUUGAGUAACUGAAACACUCACACCACCUCAGCCUCUUUCUGAAUCAGUGUUCAAGUGUGAGCGUUGAUGUGUCUUCCCAAACAUCUUUUUAGCUUUACCUGAUUUCUUUAGCAAAGAGACUAGACACAACUCACCUGCUCUCUUCCAGCAGCCGCUUGUUUGUGCGGAGACCUCGGACAAGUCCAUCACCGAUUGCAGCGGGGUGAUGCAGCUUAAGGAAGAACAUUUAUGAUCAUUUCUUCAUGGAAAUACAAUCAGACUGAGACGCUAAGGCAGAAGAACUACCGCGCCUGCAGUGCAAAAUGAUUAAUAUGGUGAUUAUUACUUUAAGGAAAUGAUAAAGAAAUGAUCAUAAAUGUUCUUCCUUGAGCUGCGUCACCCCACUGCAGUCGGUAAUGGACUCGCCCGAGGUCUCCGUUCAAACAAGCGGCUACUGGAAGAGAGUAGGUGAGUUGUGUUUAGUCUCUUUGUUAAAGAAAUUAGGCAAAGUUAAAAAGAUGUUUGAUGGCUAGCGCUGUGGCUGGGACCCUAUAUGUACUGUUGAUGAAGUUAGGUGCUGUUCUGAGCAUUAUUUGUGGCUACAGAGUGGCUUUUUGGUUGAGUGUGUGGCUCUCUGUAUUGCUAUCUGCGGUCGUUACUAAAGUUGGUAUAACUAGAGCAGCAAGCGGUUGGCAACAUUCAUCUCUCGACUGGGUGUCUAACUCGGUGUUACAGUGUGUUUGACCCUAGGUUAAUUUUACGCUGGAAUAUCCCUUUAAACUCAGAGGUAGUUGUCAUUAAACUUGUUAUCAUUCAGUUUUUCUAGUUUGUGUGAAAGUAAAUUCCAAAUCAAAAAUGAAGCCCCUCUAUAUGUCACAACAAAAGGUUAAAUUUUCAAGGAUCUGGUCCAUAAUGAUAGUUUGAAGUCUCACCUUAAUGGUUAUCUUAGCAACAAUGCCACUAAAGUGUUCUUCACUAUCUCAGCUUCAAAGAUGAAUCACGCCUCUUUACGUGUUUCUUUGCACCUUUCAUUCAUCCCUCCUCCCUUCAAAUAGCAUAAAUAAAACAGCAACACAGGAGGAGAAACUGGAGUACACUGAGCGUAAACAGAAUAAAAAUAUAGGUUUGCUUUCUUUCUGCCUGCUCUGCCCCUCUGGAUAUGUGAUCACUAACAUCUCUUUGCAUGUGCAGAGGGUUGGGCAAUGGUUUGGCACGUAGAUUGUCAAAUCACACCUCUGAGUAGCUCUCAGCAGCACACUUAGCUCAAGGCCCCUCCAGCUUACAUAAUCCUCUGAUCUGUGUGCUGCUGGAGCCGGGCCAGCUGAGGAUUGACAAACACGCUGGGCAAGAAAUGAGACACGCCACGCUGUCUUACAGGGCGAAGAGAGCGAGAGCGAGAGAGAGAGAGUGCAGUGACGACAGCCAUUGUGGGUUCUAGCUCUAUCUACUGGGACGUCUAUUUUUGGGUGGAUUUCCCUCUGUGAGUCAAAGAUGAAAACAAAAAAAGAAACAAAUAUGUCCUUCCCCGUGAACUUGAGUCUUUUUUUUAUAUUAAUAACAAACCUUUUUAUAACGGUCAUCCAUCCUUAAAAACACUUCUCCAUAUGCCUCAUGACCCCAUAGCGCCUGGCGCCAGUUGUUGAUAAAAUUGAAGGAGAUUUGAAGGACUGUUUUUUGAAACCCUUCUUUUCAAGGAAAUUGAAGUCUUAGCUGUUUUUCUUGAAACCUCAAAUUGUCAUCAUCUCCUUGGCUGUCACAUUACAGUCAAACUUUCCACAGGGAUCAGUUAUCACUUUUCUGCUGAUCAACUCUGCUUUCUGUUAGUUUGGUUGCAAUAGAUGCCUGCUACUAUAACAUUAUUGUUCUGUAAGAGCUGAAAAAAUUUUGCUUUUAUUUUGAAAGCCAUGUGUUAUCAAGGAAAGGGUCUGUUUAGCUGCCAUCUUUGUAAUGCUAACUAACAUAGGAAAAUAACAUAGAUAGCAAUGCGUCCAAUCAUGCUAUUUAUGUCAAGAUUGGAAAAAAAAUGGAAUUGUGCCUUUAGAACUAAAAUACCUUUUAACCAAAAAUCACAGAUUGGUCUCCUUUUUCUAUACACCCUCCUCACCCAUUAUAUCCCGCCCUCAACCCUCCACCCGUUUGGCUGGUAAGCGGGGAAAGCCCACUUGCAGUGCCCCCUUUGGCACUUCUUUUCAACUUCACAGUGUCCUGUGGAUGAGCUUGGAUCCACUACAGAAAGCCAUCUGCCCACUGUGAUCGCUCACUAAAGUGUCUUAAUUAAGGCUCAUUGCCUUUGUGUUUUGUCUCCCCUUUCAGAUGGACAGAAAUCAGAACACACCCAAUACCACGUGAAGGAAAUCCUGUGAGAGAGGAAGGCAAGAGAAAGCUGGGCUUAAUAUUUACACACAAAGCCAUGUGUUCUAUCUUGGUGAGUCAUGUCACACAAUCUGACAGAUAUUGUCUAUCUCUGAAAAGUCGGCACUGUAGGGAUUUAGUUUUUGUUCAGCUGCUCACAGGAGAGUGUAGACGCACAAUAGCCUUACUGAUCUGCUAUCAUUAGCAUGUCGAACACACCGUUUCUUCCCUUGAUGUCAGUAUUGAACACUGGCUCUGCCAUGUGCCACAGCUUCAAGGUCCAGAGCAGCAAAGAUCUCCUCCGCACACAAACACACAGAGAUGCACACAGUUACACACUAACACAUUUACUCAUACCAAGGGAGCUUCUGUCAUCCGCUGUCCUGUUCGGUGUCUUCAUUUUGGGGUUGCUGAUCAGACAUGUUGUGUCGGGGAAACUCUCAGGAGCUGCAGAUCUGUCAGUGGUUGUUCAGCCUUCAUCACCUUUUGAUCUGCAGAAAAAGACCUCAACUGCUGUUGUUGUACAACCUGUUCUUCACUUAUUUUUUCCUAUGAAAUCCCUGUUAGUGUCUGCUAAAUUCACAAGAUUAUACUCUCACGUAUGGCUCGCUGCAUUAUGGUGUAUAAAAGUUUGUUUAAUGGUAUUGUUUGGCUGGCAAACACGAUUAAGAUGCCACUGGUCUUGAAUGAGAACUGUAUGGAAAGCAACUUGGAGUUAUUGUCGUAUCUUAUGAAGAGGACCCAAGCUACCUGUUAGCUUACACUGUCCGCUCAGCCUCGAAUAAAUUUAGGAGUCUCUACAAUCCAAGCAGCCAUCCAUUAGCUUGUUUUGUUUAACAAUAAGACAAUGUGUUCUCAGAAUCAAUAAUAUGGACAUAGCUCUUAAAGAAUGGCAACUCCAGCAUGGAGUGAGGUGUGAGGUAGUGCAAGAGCGAAGGACAGUUUAAAAAAAUGUCAAAAUAAAGUGUGUGCACUUGCAUAGACAUACGUUUUGGACGAGGCUUUCUUAAAACCAGCUUAAUUAUGUGGUAUAGUUGAUCCUGUCCAUAGCCAGUCUUACAUCCAGCUGUUCAACAAAGAAACCAAGCUGACCGCUAUCCCAUGUGGAUGAUAUUCUUUCAAAAAUAGAACAAAACUCUCCCUGUAAGCAAGCUUCAAGUCUCUACACAUUGAUUUUAUCUUGGGAAAAAAAAAAAAAAACAGCUGAUGGAAAUCAACAGCUGAUUUAGAUCCUUUUUUAAAAACUGUCACACUCGAACAUGAAUUACCCAGGAUGAGCUGUAAAAGGAUAAAUCAUCCCAAAUUUGACUCAGAACAACUUGAUCUGAAAUAGAGAGGGAAACAAUGAGGAGAAAAGUAAUUACAAACCCACCAAAAAGAAGAGAAUGAAAUAUAUAUUUCUACUCUACUCUUGUUUUUCCUCCUGAAACCAGAUGCACUGCUAACAUCUUGUUUCUUAUGUCUCAAGGCCUGAUUGAUCCCUCAUUUGUCACAGUCACAGAAAAGAAUCCAAAAGUAGUCAACUGUUCUUUUUUUCUCACUUCCUCCCCCUCUCUUCCCUCUGCAGUCUUUCUUUCACCAUCCAUUAUGAGUGUGUGACAGGUUACAGACGGGUUGAGAGGGGAGAACAAUGUGUUGUGACCCUCAGUACUGCCCUCCAGCUCAGCGCCUGGCUUCAGCUCCCUCUCCCAGCAGGCCGUGGGGGGCCUGGCCGCCGCCCCUCUGCCCGCCUCCCUCCUCCUUCUUCACCCCUCCACCACCACCAGAAUCAAUCGCUCUGCGACACCGAACAAACGAUCCGCUGAAGCCCAUGCAUCACAGUACAGUGCACCACCAACAAUGACCAGUGGUGUGGUUCAGGACUGAAACUAAGGGGGCGAGAAAAAGAUGGAGAGUUAUUUCAAGGAAAUUUAAAAAUGAGUCCGAAAUUAAUAAAGAAAACAGAUGAACAACAACAAAAAGAAGAAUAAAGGAAUAAAAACAGUUUGAUUUAUAUUAGAACUGAAUAAUGUGUAACAUCUUUUUUAAAGUCUGUUAUUAGCAAAACAGUGCUCCAAAAAUCAAAAUCAAUCAAUUAAAGGGAUUUUUUUUCUUAAGACCUAGUCUUGAGCUCAAAAUUGUUUUAAUUUUAAUUUUUUUUAAAAACACUUUUAGCAGCUUUUAUCACCUGUGCAUUUAAAAAAUAAGAUAAAUAUUACAUUGAAGUUAAAGUCCAUUUUCUAACUAAACUUACAUUUUUUUUUAUAAACUUAUUAGACCGUCUCAACCCUAAAUUUUGAAUUCAUAUAAUAAUUACAUCCUAAAAACAUCUUACAUGACAUAAAAAACACACAACUUUAUUGUUUCUUUUUGAAUACUUAAGAAAAGCUACACAGAUGUUAACCUCUGGUAAUUUUACAAUAACAAAUUAUCUGACAGGUGGGGUUUUCAUAAAAAAACUUCUAAGUUUAUAAAAUUAAACUUUACUGUAUAUGGAUGUUCCAAAGUGACUAACUUUCUUGUGGUUUCAACCAAGUUUGAAUUCUAAUAAAUGACGAGUACAGAGGUAAGAAAACAAUCAGAAAACAGUUGGAAUUGAGCUCAAUUCAUUGAAUAAGGUUCAAGGCCAGAUCACCGAGGGUCAAACUGUCUUUGCAGAACUUGCACCAUCAACCUUCAGACCUUGUAAGUCAACAUCCACAUGACUGGGCUGGUGAUGCAUUGCUCCACUGAAAUGGUUACAUGUCAGUUCAACCAGACACAGCCUUCUUUAUCUUUAUUUUCUAGAUCAAAAUACUGUCAAACCUCUGAUGUAAUCUCUGCUUGUUUUCAUCCAAGUAGUGGGGCAUAAUGGAUAAGGUGACCAGAUGUCCCUGAUUUCCAGGGACUGUCCCGGUUUUGGAUGACCUAAAGCUAUCCCUGAAAAUGUCCCUGAUUCAAGCGUUUCAUGAAUAAGAACAACAAUGUUACAUGUAGACUAGAACAAUGGUUAUUACGGUAGCCGAGUAGGUAAGAAGCACAAGUAAGUAUGUGGCACGCAGUCCUAAACAACAGUUUUUACAGGGGGUUAUUACUGGGGGCGUGCACUGGUACUAAGUAGUACCGGGAUGUUGUCUGUGAUCACGCAGCCCAUGCCCCCCCCCCAUUUUUUGAGAGUAGGCAAGCUGCAAGCUUUUGUAAGCUAAUAGCUGAGUGCUGAGAAGAACACUUAAAGGAUUUUAAUACAUCGUGUCUAGAGUAAAUGAACAUGUAAACAAGUUGUUAUGUUUUUUCAUCACGAUAGUCAGCAUACUUUUUUUAAUGUCUGACUGUAGGCGUAGAUGUAACUGUUAUAAGAGCUAUAUAGACGGUAGCUAACUAAAGCAUUGCUAUCCGCGCAAAGUCACGUGAAAUUGUUUCCGAUGUCUCAAACAGCAGAAAGUGAGUCUGAGUUUUAAUUACAUCCCUGUGAAUCAGUGAGCAUCUGAGGUCCUCUCUGGUCAGCCACCGCUAUUGUUCACUUCAAGUGCUACUCUUACUCCCAGAGGUCCCCUGGGAGCUCAGUGCCCUCCCUCAAACCUCCCCCACACACCCACACUGAUGCCUCACACACACUCCGGGUCUACUAUGACAAAAUUGUGUUAAUUUACCCAGCCAGUAGUAUUAACCAUAUUAUAUCAAAUAACUGCCACAGACAAUUGGGCGGCCAGCUCGGUGACUUCAUUUUAAUUGAUUUUCUUACAUGCUCUCAGGCGCAGAUGAUUUGGUUUCCCUCUGACACUAUGUUUAUUAAAGGCAUAUUGCAUAAAGGAAUAAAUAGAUAUUGUUGGUUAGAUUUAUAUGAGCUUUGAGGGAGAGCAGAGAUUCGCCCCUUGUUUUAAUAUCUGCCCGACUUUUAAGUGUUUAGUUUGAUUAAAGUCAAUAUGUUUGCUUAACCUUUGGGCCAAAGAGACACCUCAGCAUGUGUGUAUGUCACGUGUCCUGAAAAAUGUGUGUUUAUGUGGGAGAAAGUGAGGAAAACGGAGAUGUGUUUAUGUCUAUUGGAAACCUGUCCAUCACAGGGAUACACCAAGCUACCUGGGUGAGCUGACUUCAUCUGGAUAUGUAACACAUAGCCUGAACAGAGCUGCUGUUUGUUGGCUAGAAACGGUUUCUAUUUUCCAUCUUUUCUUCAAGUGGAAUGGCUGCAAGGAGACCCCAGGACCAUUUCAUCUCCAACAUCCUUUACCAGCUGUCGCAGUCUUAAAGGCAUGCUGUUCAGCCCACAGAAAAUCCCACUAAUCAUCUUUUUGUGUUUGAGGGCACAAUAUGCUGAAACAGGCAGGGUGCACACACACACACACACACACACACACACACACACACACACACACAGAUAAAUAUACACACACACAUGCAUGCAGACACAUGCCAGCCUGCUGCUCUCUUGUCCCCAUGCCCUGAGGGGAAGGAGGGCGCUCAGUAUAAUCACUUGUUAGAGGUCUGGCUAACCCCCCCAACUCUUCUCUCUGUCCUCUUCUGGACCCUUCACACUCCUCCUCCAACUGUUUUGUUUAUCCACCAAUCUGUGUCACUUCCUCUGUUCGCCCCAUGACCACUUCCUGUGUGUCUGCUGUCUUUUUUUUUUUUCUUUUUCUCUCGUUCUCCAACUUUCUAACCCAGACAGAUCUUUCCUUCAUCUUCUUAUAUCCAGUGCUUCAGGUGGAAAAAAAGUGCCAGGAUCCACUUGUGAGCCUGAGUCCAUUAUUUUUUCGUUUAUUAAUAGCAUUCUUGUUUUGUUUUUUUUUGUUUUUUUACCAUGAAUAAAAGAAACCAGAACAUUGCGCUAGUUUUCACAAUUUAAUAAAAAAAAAUACUUAUCAUUUCAUACCAGCAAAGAACCUCUGGAUCUCUGGAUCACAAUGCUCCUAUCCAAUUUUCCAUCAGGCUAUAUAAACCGUAUACAGCAGUCUUGGUGUAUAGUAUAGAGAGGUCAUCACUAGGCCUUUGCUGGAGGACUCUCCCGGAAAGCAACACAAAUAAGUUGACUCAACUUUCGAAACACAGCACAGACAGGAGAGGACAGUGGCUUUGAGUAAAAGCAAAGUAAAGGUAGAUAAGGAGUUUUCUAUGACGACUGUUUUUGUUCAUAGCUUUUUUUUUUUUUAGCUUUUUCUGAAAAGUACUUAGACCAGUGAUACCUAUCUGACCCCAUGCCUGGACUACUUCUGAUGUCUUUAAAAGGAGGCAGGAAAAGAAAAGAAAACACAAAAAUUACUUUAUAACAUAAGUCAAAAAGUCUAAUUUUUGCCUCUUUAACUCUCAGUUUCUCCUGCAAUGAUCUCCUCUCAAACUGCAUUAUUUUCCAAAAUUACUGAGCUUUCUUGCAGCACUGAUUGCUUCCUCUGUGACUCUAGCCUCUAACUUCUUCUCUUAGGUUCAACAACUCUUGAUUUUUUUAAAGAAACUGUUCUUUAACUUGGCGGGGGAAUGGGUUUGUUUGUGUACCAUGCUUGUUUCAAUGCUUUCUGCAGCUGCUAUAACAGAGUCACUGACAGUUCAUCGUCUUUGCAGGGUACAAGAAGUGGAGUUGAGGCUCAGCGAUUUGGACACAAGGAAUAGACCUUUUGAAGUCCAGGACACAAGGUAAUGGUUAUAUUAUGUACAUAUAACAUGGCAACAACAAGUUUGAUAGAAAUUGGCCCAAAAGUACAAACAUUUUACAAACCAGUAGCUCAUGGUGUUGUAUUGUUUACACUUGACCAAAAUUACCCUUUUCACACUGAUUGAACUUGAUUUGUGAGAUGUUUGUUUGGGUAAUAAAUUGACACAAACUAGAGAAAGCUCAGCACGAGUCAGCAGUAUUUACUGUAUUGCUUGCAGACUUUUUGUAGUACAAAGAACAGCACUACAACAAGGAAAGACUCAUAAAAAUAGCCAGAGCAUUCAGCUGCUUAAAGUUAAUCAAUAACAACAAGGGAGAGAAAGACUAUAUCUUUUUGUGUAGUUAGAGCGCAUCACUAGUAAGCAAAACCAUCCAAAUCUUGUUUUUUUUUUUUUGCACCUUGUUUUGUACAUUAUAAUACUUACACAGAGAGUCCAAGUCAUAUGAACAAUAAGUCCUUUCACUAAUUUCUCCUCUCAAUGACUUUAUAAGUGAACAGCUCAUGCAUCAUUCUUCUCAUUGACUAAUGUCCCGCUUCAUUUUGUCCUUUCUGCUUUGCCGUCGCCCGCCGUGCAACACUGAUUAAUGCCAUCACAGCAAAUUAGAUAGCCCAGGAACAACAUGUUUAUCAUUUUCAAGCAUUAAGAAAAGUACUUUCCUGGUUCAUUCCCUUCAGUGCUUUCAAAGCAGGGGGAACAUCAGGGUGAUGUAUGUAUGUACUGUAUAGAGGGGGAAAUAUUAAUUGGGAAAUAGCCAGAGAUGUGGCCUUUCUUCUAAAGGUUGUGAGACAGAGGACAAGAGCUGAGAGUGAGUUACCUUCAAAGUAAUGGUGUCAUUUUUUACACUAUACUCUCACUUCUUCUGUGUUGGCUGAUUUGAACAGCGGACAGGAUUUUUUUUUAAGCUCUCAGCUGAAAUCUUUUUGCUCUGAGAUUUGUUGGUUGAUGAAAUUGUUUAUAUUUAUUGCAUCAGUAGUUUAAUAUCAAACAUAUAUAUCUGCAGGUUGUAGGAGGAGAAUGUAACCUCUUGGUCUGCUUUGAACCUGGAGCUUUUUGAUGGCCAAUCGUGGGCACCUCCACUGUGAACCACUGUCUGUGUAACGUAUGACAACAAUGAUGAUGGCAUGUGGGAGAACCUGUGAGGUUUUUGGCUACUCUAUCAGUUGUGAGAAACUUUGUUAAUACUAAACAACACAAAAGCCUGAAUUUGUUUACAUUGUAGAGACUUUUGCAAACACCACCUCAACCAUUACCUUGUUGGCCUGGUUGCACGCUAUUUUAUUUACAGUUACUUUUGCAGAUCCCAUGCAUGCAGAUCCCUUUGUCAUGUGAACUUGGAUUUUUUUUUUUUUUUUUUAGACCAAAGGGAAAGAUUUUUCUGUGUUUUGAUGGGACUUUUCUUCUGGACCAAAUACAGUCAUCAACUGUUAAUUGAUUCAUAUAAUCAUCAUAUCAUAUUGUUACAUUACAUAGCACUACAUCAUAUAUGUUACGGAUAUAGUCGAUUACACUCUCUGUCUCCUCAUAUUGUUACCCUAUUAAAAUAAUGGCCUAAGUCAUUUUUUGACGAAAAUGAGUUUUGGCCUAAAUCGUCUCUUGAUAAUGGAGAUGAUUGAUGGAGAUGAUGAUAGAAAAUUGGGGGAAAUUUUGAUUUUGUACAGAGAGAAAUUUAAAAAACCAACCCUUUACGACCCAUUGACAUGUUAACCCCUUCGUUCGAGUAGCGAUGUUAUUUUAUUUUAAGAGGCUAACAGGAAACUGCAAUAGCAGCGUGAAAACCUUGCUGGCCAUUGAGUUACAAUAGCAGCCUCAGGUAUUGACAGAAAGACAGCAAGCACUCAGAUAUUCUCAUAUCAUUUUCAUCCUCAUAUCAUGCUGUGAACGUAGCCUGGCAUUGGUAUGUUCUUACCCAAUGUUCCCUCUCCCAGGCUGUAUAUCACAUCAUAAAGAAUACAUAAACCCCUCUCCAAAAAAAAAAACCUACCCAGUCUCCAAGGCAUCAGUGCUGAGCCCUGUUCUGCACCGAAAAGAGCUCAAACAAAGAACUUUCCUUGGAAAGAAAAAGAAGAAAAACAACAUCCCUCAAACAAAACAAAAAAAAUCUAGAGACAAUGCUAAUAACUGUAAAAUAUGAAUGGUGACUUGACAUAUUUGCAAAUGCGCUGAGAGGCGCCCUACUAAACGCGAUGAUAUGGGAAACCAAUGGCAUGGAAGAAAGCGGUUGUGGGCCCCCAUCUCUCGCCAUUAGAUGUUCAGUGGAAGCUGUCAACAGAAGGCGCAUUUGCCUGCCAAGCUCCCUCUCUGACUGAGCUCUGUGCCUGCAGCACGCCCCGAGCUCCUCUUUGACUCAAAGGCUUCAUUUCACUUCUUUUAGCCUCAUUCGCAUGUGCUGCUACACAAAAACCCGGCUUGCUCGCAGCCUGCCUCUCGUGUGUGUGUGUGUGUGUGUGUGUGUGUGUGUGUGUGUACUGCUUUGUGUCCAUUUUACUGUGUUUCCGUGUGUUUGUCCAUGACUGUGUGUGAGAGUUUUGUACAAGUGCACGUGUACAUGCAUGUGUGUGUAAAUCACAAGGUGAUGCCGCUCUGACAGCCAAAAAGCCACAGUGACAGAAACACAGAAAGAGACCAGAGGGCACAGUCCAUCAUUAUCAUUUUCUGCCCAUAUUAGCAUAAAGCUAGCUCUAUAUAUCCAGGAAACACUUUCAGCUCGAACUUCCUGUGACAUACUGUAGGUUUCUAUAGCAGCUAAAUAAAUGUCUCUGUGUAAUCCAGCUUCUGGAUCAGGCCACCUGAAAAAAAUCAUGAGUCAUCAUUUACAUGGGUGAUAUGUUCAGCACUGUCCCCUGAGGUUGUCAACUAGAAACGGUUUCACUUUGGAUUGUCACAACCCAAAAAAGAGUGCUAAACUACCUUCAACAACACACACAGUUUGUACACAUCCUGUAGUGUCAAUGCUACUGCAUCACAGUCAGUAUGAAGAGUAACUUCAUUAAGUUCAUUAGUAGUUAGUUCGAAAACUUUUUCAGACUAGGUAGGAUUUUCUUUGUAUCAAAAAAUAUACCAAUGAAAAUAAAUGAAUGAAUAAAUAAUGUGUUCAAAAGAAAGAGAGAAAAAACAACAGUAUGUGUAAAACUAACAAGACUCAUACAGCAAAGCCCAAAGUUAACAGCUUUAAUUAUCAGAUCAAGGUUGUUGUAAUAAAAUAAUAUUUUUAAAAAACUUGCACUCUUGAAGAAUUUCAGGGACAGUGUGAGUUGGGGCUUUGUAUCCUUUAAGUAAGAGAAAAUCGUUUUCAAGAAAAGGAUAAUGUAUAGCAGGGGUCCCUAUCCUUCAGACCUUAGACAAGUGAAAGCCCUUUGGUCAUUUCAAACCAGACUGUGAAAGCCCAUUCAAGAACCAGAGGGAGGAUGUAAUUGUCAUAUCCUACUGCAUUUUGUUUUGUUGAUUCGAUAUCUCAAGCCAAAUUAUACUCAAUUCAAGUUAAAAUCAACUUUGUUUUUACUAGUUGUAUUUAAACAAAAGUGUCAAUAUGAAAUAAAAACAUCUUAUUUAUUAUUUGGUUAAAGCCGUAUGGGCUUUGCAGAGUGAGAAGUCAUUGCCAAUUUGUUGCUAUGCCAGUGAGUAAGGAAAAAAAAAAGAUGGGCAAGAUUAACAAGUUUUUUUACUGGCGUUCAAGGAAAAUUCCUUGGCUCUGUGAGGAUAUCAGAGACACAAAGAAGUACAAAAUUUGACCAAAGUGAGGAGAGCCAUGUAAAAUUAAGUUUUAUUACUUAACAGCAGGUUAGAUGUUAGAAACACUGUCACUCACUCAUAAACACCUCAUUGGAGCCGCUAAUGUGGUUUUGAUUUUUAGAGCUCAGGUUGUAUUAUGUUUCUACUGUGCUUCAUAUAUAUUGAAAUGAUAGUCAUGGGGGAUUCCCAUGAGAUGUCCACCCUACAGGUCCAUCAGAAAUAUGACAGGGUUAGCAAGACUCUGAUUUGCAGUGGAGUCUUCUCUUUGGAGCUUUGGGCUUGGUUAAUAAGUGCAGGGUUAUAAAAAAAAUAUGUUGUCGCUAGUAUCAACAGGAUAAGAAAACAGAACUUCAUCUUGAAAAAUAAAUUUUCGUGCAUCAAAAGUUCUCCGUCAAGAAGUUGUUCAUACCGGGAAAUAAUGCUUGAAAUGGUUAAUUCUGUAAAGUUUUAGAAAGAAAUUGAAAUAAAGAGUUCAAGCGUUGGAGUGAGUAUUUUAUAUUUACUUUUUUAUGAGUAUAGUUGAGUCAUCAAUUUUUUUGAGACUUUUCAUUUUUUAUAUGAGCUCAAAUAGCCUAAAAAAUAUGACAAAGAUUUAGUUGAAUUAGGAAUUAAGACUACUUAAGCCAUUAUCUGGAGAACAGGUAGUAGUUUCCUGUGAAGUGUUUGACUUCCUAACACAGGCUGUCCUCUGGCCCGUCUGUCUUUGGCUAGCAGCCUGAGGGUCGGACCAGUGGAGUGGAAGUUGAAGAGGGCUGUUUGAAUGUAAUAGGUUUUGACUGGCAUGUGUUACAUGCUUCACUGCACCAUUGAUUGAGCGCUUGUUUGCUAAAUCACUGCUGGUUUCCUCUGUCUGGUAGGCCUGUGACACGUGUGGUGUGUGUGGUCACUUCUGCAGGGUGGAGGGAAAGAGAAGAGCUGGUGCAACCCCGGUGACUCAGAGAGGACAGAAGUUAAAAAUGACACAAAGAAAAGGUGGAAAAAUAGACGCAGACAGAAGAUGAUUGAACCUCUUGACCUCUUUUUUCUUGAACUCACCUAAUCAGGAAUCAACUUAUCCCCAAAUCUUGGCACUGAGGUCUCUUCUUUCACGGACACUCACAAUAACACCCCUCCUCCCCCUCCUCCUCUACCUCUCGACCAUUUCACUCCUCCUCUGCCCCCACCUCCCCUGUUUUAGACAUGCUUUUUACAGCUUGAAGGAUGUGGCAGAGGAGGGAGGGUGGUGUCAUGGGUCAAUGUCACUCAGCUUGGUCCACUCAGCGGAUGACUGAAGGGAGAUGUCUUGAUGGCUGAUUUUGCCUUUCGCCAUUUUUAAAGCUAAACAGCUGACCAGAUAAACGUAAAACUACAAAAAAAAAGAGAUUUAUUGAUAACUGAUGUGUUUUCAUUCUGAUUAAAAAAAACAUUUUGAUUAACCAACUAUUAAUUAUUAUUGUGCAGCUUAACGUUUCCACUCACAACACUGGUGAUGUAAAUUGAUUGGACAUAUAGGGACAGGACCAGGUUCUCUGAAAGAUGCCCUUUUCAGAGUUCCUUUAAGUGCCUGACAGACCAAUUUGAUCUGCAUUUUUUGGGGAAGUGCAAACCAGAAAGUGACUGAAUGCUAUAGCUGUAUUCCAAUACGGGCUAACAGGCAGUCAAAUAUGCUAUUUUAACUUAACCAUAACAUGAUCUCUCUCCUAAACAUCUCUGUCUUUAGUGUAUGUGGCUGCUCAUCAGUCAGGGAGUUGUAAAAUUACCACAAUUCAUCAGGAUGAUGAAGUUUUUACAAUUAAUGACCUGAAACACUGUGAUAAUAUGUGAUACUGAUAUAAGAGUCAUCUCCCAGAGUACAUGAGAAUGUAAAAGGCCAAGUUUUUAAAGCUUAAAUACAUCCUCUUUAUGAGUCCUUAAAAAGAGCCACUUUUGAAGAUUUGGUAACACUUUAUUUCACGCCUAUUUCUAUAACACAUUAUAAAUAUAUUUAUAUACAGUUGCAUUGCAUUAUCUAUGUGGGCAUUAUCAGUGAGUUGUUAACAGUUGUAACACAUUAUAUAAUACCUGACCUUGUAUGUCAUGAUAAAAUGCUUUAUAAUGUGUUAUGAUUAUUGCUAUAAAGCAUUAUGAUUAUUUAUGAGUGUUUAUAACUAUAUUUAUACAGUGCUACAAUGUGAUUAUAACACGUUAUACAUGUAUUUAUAAUGCGUAAUAGAGAUAGGCGUCAAAUAAAGUGUUACCGAAGAUUUACAUAUUGCAACUUUGCUGUAUAGCUUUCUACAAUUAAAAGUUAUACAAAGUCAUUAACCUCUGUUAGAUACUUGAUGCAAGUAAUUCAGCCAGACAUGAUUAGUGUAAACAGAGUGUAUAGAUAAUAUUCAUAAGUGUGUGUGUUUGUGCACGCAAACUUCAUGCCGUUUCAUGUAAGUAAGUACCUGAGUUUGGCCACCGCAGCUAAAAGAUUCACCCUGUUAAAAGGAUGAAUUGUAAUCAUAUUAGUGAUCCAGUGUUACAGACUGGUCAACAAAUACUAUACAUGUGUAAACCCACCAUUUCAGUCAAUCACGCCCUUAUGCUAAACUAAAAUUUAAACAUCUCACAUGCUAAUGUUAGUUUUAGGCUCAAAGCUCUGCAGCAGUAAAGCAGAAGCUCACAGAGCUGCUUGCACGGCCGUAGAGUCUGUCUUGUUUCAGUGUUGACAGGUAGGUUUUCUUUAGUUUAAUAACCUACAUUAUAAUCAGGUUUGCAUGUUUAGAUAAAUCUUAAAGCUUGUUAAAUUCUUUUUUUGUUUGUGAGAGUGUGUAACAUAAACCAACUUGCUGUUUUGCGUCUUCUGGUCUAUUUCCCUCUUUAAUUUCAGAUCUCUGGUUUAAAGCACCUGAACUAACCAAAACCAACCCAGCGCCUGGAGUCCUCCCCUCCACUUUAGAAAGCCUCAACAAGUAAACAGUGUCUUUGCUGAUUACACCGCCUCUCUCGGCAGCCCAGGGUUAGCUACAACACUUUGAUCUGCUAUUGAUUGUCUGCCUCCUCCUCCUCAGCCCUACGCAUCCUUUCCUAGCUGCUGUUUAAACACAGGUGAGUCAGCCAGUGGCCCGAGGCGCUGAGCCUUAAACCAACGGCACGCUGCGUGCUUCUAACACUGACCCACUGAGGUUAAUUGGUAUCCUCUUGGUGCUGUAAAAAUUGUAAUUAUGUUUAAUGAGAGCAGUGGAGCUGUUUGCAGAGGAGAACAAAGAUUUAGGUUUAGACACAGAAGACCCUCACAUGGGUACUCAAGCAGGAUUGACUCGUUAUCUGUUAGAUUUUAAGAGUUUUUGACUGGUAUUUGCAAAGAAUUGCAGCAGAUGGGUCAAAGAAAAGAUAAUUCAAACUUUCAUUGGAGCUCAACUUAACCAAAUCAACUUAAUUAAAGGGAUAUUCCGGCAUAAGUUUAAGUCAAACACACCAUAACACCAAGUUAGACACCCCUUCUAGAGAUGAAUUUUGCCAACCGCUUGCUUCUCUAGUUACAUGAAUUUCAGCAACGACUGCACGAUAGCAAUACACAGCAAUUAUUACUUCAUAAUUUUCAUGAAGUAAUAAUCAUCAUAAUAAUCAUUUUGCACUACAGACGCAGUAGUCCUUCUGCCUUAGCGUCUCGGUCUGAUUGCAUUUCCAUAAAGUAAUGAUUAUAAAUGUUCUUCAUUGAGCUGCCAAAUUUUGCUGCACUCUGUGAUCAACUCGUCAGGGCUCCCCCACAAACAAACAGCUGCUGGAGGAGAGUAGGUGAGUUGUGUUUAGUCUCUUUGCUGAAGAACUUAGGCAAAGUUAAAAAGAUGUUUGGUGGCUAGUACUAUGGUUUGGACCCUAUAUGUACUGUUGAUGAAGUUAGGUGCUGUUCUGAGCAUUCUUUGUGGCUACAAGUGGCUUUUUGGUUGAGGUUUGCACAUGGAGACAUAGACCGCUGUGUAUUGCUAUCAUGCGGUCGUUGCCGAAAUUGGUGUAACUAGAAAAGCAAGCGAUCAGCAACAUUUACCUCUUUAAGUUUCUGACGGUAAUUCAUGUUUAAACAAACAAACUACAGUUUAACAUGAUUUUUAAACUCAAAGUAAGUAAAAUUGAGAAACUUCAAUUUGUCCACUCGGAGUUCUUUUGAAAGUGUAGGUGCAUUUAAUCAAUUAGGCUAAGAGUAAACAAAAAUAAUUGUGAAAAUAAUGUAAAUAUUUCUUUCAGUUAAUAGAAAAAUCCACUGGACUCUUGUACAGUUGAAAAGUUUUUCCAGUUCUUCCAAAUGGCUUGUUAAGUUUUGGAUAUCAGCAGGGACUCCUAUGUUUUUGUCCCUGUAGAGAUACCACCCUGCCUCCAGAUGGAGGAUGAAGUGGUUCAAGGAAAAGAAAAAAAAAAGAAGCUCAGAAAAGGCAGAUUUGAUUUUUAUUUUUGGUCCUAAACAGCUCUGACAGAACACAUUAAUUAUAGCAAAUACAUGUUUGGACUUGUGAAGCAGUGAGUCUGUCUUCAUAGGAAAACCUUAAGGAGUGGAUAAUUUGCUCAAAGAUGUUAUACAUGUUCACAUUUUUAUGGGAAGAAAAUUCUUUCAUCUUCAGAGCGGAUGAGGUGAUGAAGGGCAAACAUUAUUUUCACACAAAAUAACUGGAGCUGGACUACAGACUUUUUCUCUUGAACCAUGAUCAUCUUUCGGUCAACGUUCUCGAUGAAAAAAAACAAAAAUAUAAGUUAGGCGUAGUAGUCACAACCUCUAUCUUUUGAAGUUGUUUAAAAUAUUAUUGUGUUUCCAGAUGCAACAGUUGUUAGAGUUUAUUAAAAUAUCUUCUUUAACCACUCCUUGAAAUAAUCCACUCCUCCACUUAAGCAUUUUCUUACAGCAGUGUUUUCUCAUGUUGAGGUACCUUGACACAGACAAAAAAACACUUUUUCAGGAAUCUGUGCGCCCAUCUCCAAAUCACUGUGAAAUUUUAAACUUUAAGAACUGAAAAUAUGGUUAAAUUAACAAUCGGACAAGAAAAAUAUCGAUCUUUGGUGUACCAUCUAAAACUGUUUAUGAGCCCCUUCUUCUCACCAUAGGUCAAUACCAAACGUAUGUGUUGCUGUUUUGAUUCGUCAUGGCUUCAAAGCUCAGCUGGAAGUAAAGAACUUACGAUCUGUUGGUGAGGCACUGGGGCAAGCCCGCUUUCAAGCCCACAGGCAGUGAGUCGUAUAGAUUUUACUUAGAUUAUGUGGCACAUCAGAAAACACCCGAGUGGGUGAUGUUUUCAGCUAGCAGUGUAACCAUUUAUAAAGACUGAGAAACCACCUUGUUUUUGUGGUCUAGGCGCUGUAAUUGAAAACCCAUUUCAUCGUCUACAUUAACGGCAGUCUAGACUUGAAGAUCAGCAAAAGAAAUGGCAACAACCAGUUCUCCGUUUGUUCUUCAUAUCCAUGUCUUUUAAGCAUUCCCAUUGUUUUCCUGCCUUUGUUGCCAUGAAAACACAGAGCAGAACCCCGAAGGACCAAGGCCACAUUUUGUUUUUUCUUGAUGUCUCUGUGUGAUUAAGUGUCUUCAGAGCUCUCAGUGUCAUGUUCCAGCUCUCUUCUUACCUUAAUGAGAAAGUGCAGGAAAGAAGUCACUACCCGGUAAGUCUGUUCUUAUUUUUUUUUUCUUGUUCAGCAUGUCUGUUUCAUUUCUCUCUCACACCGCUACGUGAGCGAGGUGCAGCUGUGAGAUGAUGAAGUUUCAGGGAAAGGUGGAUGUGCCAUCCAUUACAGGAGGUGGAAAGGUGCAGAUAAAUCACCUUAUCAGCCCUGCCUUCUCCCCACUGAGCUGAGGGAGCAGAGCAAGAGGGAAAUCCAUCAAGCUCCACAAAUGGGACAUGACUCAGAGAUCACUGUGCCUCUGUGCUGGGCUGUGUACAUACCUUACACCUGCUUUAUCAUUGGAGAAUAACUCGGAACAACGAACAAGUGGAUAUCAUCCUGUAAGAUGCAAAAGCAUCCAGUGAAAACCCCAGACCUUCAGCAAACAGAGCUCAGGACUUCUCAGACAGUGCAUGUAGAAUGAUACAAGACCUGGAGUAGUUUGGAUUUUUUUUAAGUAUGUCCAAAAAUAUGAGAGUCAGGAAAUUUGAGGAGUAUAGAGGAUGGAUGUGGCUAAUGUUUACAGGGCUAGCAACACCAGCCUUUGACCUCCUGUGAGGUUCAGGACCACCUGUACUGGAUGAGCAUCACUCUAGUUGAGUAUCUCCACAUUCUUCAAAAUACAAAACACUGCCACACUGCACCACGCUACAAGAUGCACACAGCCAUUAUUUUACACCCACUGCUACAGUUGUGAGCGGUUGCACUAGAACUUGGACAAAACAGAUGGUGAGCCAAAAUACUUCAUUCAUUCAACCAUCUAGUGACUCUGAGCUGAAAACCUUAAGUCAUCAAGUCAACCAAACACAUACAACCCUGUUGACUAUAAAUGAAAGCAAUGCAUGGACAUGGAUCAAAGUCCUUUUUCACUAUCAGCUGGUGACACCAUAAGACCCAAAAGGUCGGUGAUCGCUUUGAAGGGGGAAUAUUAUUCAUAUUAUAACAUACUUCUUCACAUGGUUAUUACAUUCAUCCUUUAUCUAUACAUAGCAUUAUUUUCCAUUAUAUUUUUCGUGUCUGCAGCAUUGUUACCAAAUAAACCAUGACUGAAUCAUAUGCAGGUUCUGCAACAUCAUCAUUGACUUCAAAAGUAUUACUCUCUCGUGCCUUUUCACUAGUUAUUUUUCUUAUAUUGGCAAAGUAAAAUAAUAAUAAUAAUUCAGACACCCUCUUCUUUCACGAGUGCGUCUUUUCUGCCUGUUGUGCGUAAACUUUAAAGCCAAGUAAAAAAACAUGACCAGAUACUUUUAAGGGCGUGCUAAACAUAAUAAAUUAAUGUCAACUAUCAAUUCAUCAUACGCUCAUCUGUUUUCAGUGAUCCUCUGCAUCUGAGCAUACACAUCCACAAUUACUGUACAGUGUGCACCUAUGGCUCCUUCAUACAAGGUUGCUAAGCAACAAUAAUGACAGUGACCUUUUAGAAAUCAGUGGGAUAUGAACCACCAGUAGAAGGGGACCACGGCACACACACAUACUUUUAGGGCCUCAGUGUUUAUUAUCAGCUGGCAGACUGAACGGACUGACUGAAAACAGCACACAUGCAAAAAAACACACACCUUCACAUAACAUCACGCACAAGCAUUAAGCACAUUUUUGCCCUUGGGGAAAGCAGAGGAGUUAGCAUUUCCCCGCCAGCUCUGAAUGUAGCAGCUUGUCACCACACCCCCUUAAUGUAAGAGCAGUCUAUUGGUAUUCAGCUGCACAGGUAUCUAAGAAAGCAAAGCCUUUAAACAUCUUAACUGCUGUUUGUUCUGUCUCUAGAGGGCAUGUGCAGUACACUGGGGGUUUGGGAAUAGACAAGGAGAAUUGCAAAUUUGUUUUGCCAGCUACAUGUGCUCUGUAAUUCCAUCUCUGAGCUCUGCAUUGUAGCUGAGUGUGUUAGGUUUAUACAUAAACACCCACAAAGGUGGGAUGUUUUGUUUAAUUCUUAAAAGAAUUGGAGUUGUUUAGUUAUGAUUAAUGACUUCUCCACAGGAGAAACAUGAUGCAGACGGCAGAUAUCGUGUUGCAUUGUGUUGUUGUUUUUGUUGUUGCUCUCUUGCUAUUUAUUUCCUCUGAGUAGACAGAAAUCAACAAGUACAUACAAGACAUAACAGAGGUUUGUAUUUCAUAUCUAAUUGGCACAAGACACCACCUCUGUAACAAAUAAUGGAUCACUAAACGCGAACAGCUAUUUGUAUAUACAUAUUUAUAUGACACUCGACAGAUAUUAGUUUUCUUUGCAUUUGAUAAAAUCAAACAAUUAUAGAAUACAGAAAAAUAAGAAACACAAUUUCUGAUUUGAAUGAACAUUUUCUCAAAUAAAUGUAGAUUGAAUAAUUUCACUUAGAUGAGUGAAAUAUUGACACAAAGAAACACUACUUGGAAACUCUUUUAGAUUUGUUAAGUUGUCAUUUAUGGUGUAAGAAAUAUGAUGUAGACACUGGCACUCAGGCUGAUGCGAUGUCCACUCGAUGUGACGCAGAUUAUUCAAAAUAUCAAUACGAUAUAGUCAGCCGACCAAUUGCCUAUAAAGUUUUUGCUUUGUUUUAAUUUUAGUAAAUCUAUGGGAAUCCAUCAGAAGAGCCUUCAAUGGACAAUUUUUGUCCUUAAGCUAUCUGUUAAGUACGGCGGUUGUAGAUAGACUUGAAUUUUUCUGCCGUAAAAGACGAGAAAUCGAUAAAACUAGACAGGACUGAGGCCUGUAAACCAUGCAACCUUGUAUCAUGACAUCAUUAUGUAUGUCAGGCUUAACUCUCGGCACUGUAGCUGUUCGUGUUUUACAGUACAAGCUAUCUGAUGCCUCACUUAAGUUCAGCGCAACAGGGAACAGCUUAAAUGAAAGCAGCAAAAGUUCCCCAGACGGGAAGUGUAAGAGAACAGGAAACCUUCUGUGUGUCUGUCUCUUAAGUCCUGGGCAUGCAUCUGAAUGACAAACCUGUGUGUCUGUCCCCCUUUUAAGAAAUCCUUUACAAGUGCUGAGACACCGGGGCCCUGCUUGUGGAGGCUGUAUAUUUCUAUUCAUAAUUGAUGACCCGGACCCAGACAGACAGCACACUACACAUGUAAUAUGGAUUCACUCCUGGUUUCAGAUGCAUGCCCUCGUCUGGACUUGACUCUGAGCCAUCAUUGUGUGUGGAGAGAGAAGGGUGUGUGGGCACGUGAGAGAAAGAGAGAGAGAGUGUGUGUGUGUCUGCAUGUGUGAAAGUGUGUGUGUGAUAGGGUUGUUGCAGCCUGAAACGUAAUACACCAACCUUGUGUUUCCCAGAUAAGCGUUGACAUGCUUUUGACUGAUAAUUCUCCAGAUGCUUUCACAGUUUUGUGUUUUUCAAAUUUUACAUUUUGUUACAUCGAUUACAUUAUUGCUCAAAAGUUUGAUUUUUUUAUUCUACACUCCCCACUCACACAAGGACCUUGACAAUAUGUAGACUCACAGUGGGUUAGCUGCUACUUUAGUUGCUUCCCAGGGACUCAUUGAUUUAAGUAACUAGGUCCUGGGGCCUUUGUUUAGUCUCACCUUACUGCUUUCUCUCCAUUUUAGUCAAGGUUCAUUAAAGUACAUCUUGUUUUUUCAGAUCCCUCCCUGCUUUCUUUGGCCUUGUGCAUGAUGUAAUCCACUACCUGUGUGAGUGUUGCUGUGUGUUACUGCAGCUCCAGGAAACAUUAAGAGACUGCCUGUCAGAGGUUUGAAUGAAAUGUAUUUUGUUGUAUUUCUUAUAGAUUCCCAACUUCUAAAUAAAAUGUUUUCAUUUAGGUCUUUAUCUGUCUAAAAGUAUGACAGGUUUGAAUAAAAAAGAUCAAGGUUUUCUUCAACUAUGAAUAAUGUGAAGACAAACCAGUUCAUAAAACAGAUUACUUAUGUUUUACUCGGGAAGAGUUCAGAAAUCAAUACUUGCUUGGAUGAACCUGGUUUUUAACUCCGGCUAUUAUGUGUCCUGGCUUUACAUCACCCAUUGCUCUGUUGCAUUGUUAUUAAGAGACAUCAUGUAAAAUUUCAUGUAGCUUGGCUUUGCUCUUGGGAUUAUCAGGUGAUCUCUGAUUGAACCCCUUGUGGUCAAAUGAGGUCCAUCUGUGUUUUAAUUCAUGGACAGUAACUUUACAUGAUUUAUGUAAUGUAAACCUGCAAAUAGAUUUGUUCUCCCUAAAUGUGUAGUGAGCCAGUGGUUUAUGAAAUUAAUUAUGAAGAAUCUUUAUUUUAAGUUACUGUUUGGCUUCUGAAAUCUUAAUUUAUGCAUCAAAUCUGUGUUAAAGGUUGCAAAGGGACCAAAACAGCAAUCACCAAAUGAAAAGCCCAUUCUCACUCCUGAGGAGUGACUGUCAGCGGUCUGAAUUUAACACCUUAGAUUACUCUGAUGUCUUUUCUAAAAGUCAUCCUGAAGACCGUGGAAAGUUAGCAAAAGUCAGGUUUAGAAGUAGUUGAACUCUGCUGUUGAUGUUUUUAUAAAAGAUUACGAAGGGUCCAAAUAUGGCAAAGCUUGCAAGCUUGAUCAGGAUCAGGCUGAUCUUACACUUGAUAUUUGUAAUUCCUACAACUGUAUAACAAACUCAUUCCCCCAAUUUGGCGCUCUGUUAGAUCUAGAUUUCUAGUCUUUGUUUCUGCUUUGCUGUUGCCCCAGCAUCCAUACAUAAGUGCAUGACUCAAGUGCUCGGCCCUAUCACCACCCCAGCAUCCACCUGAAAACUCUGACCACAGAGUUUAUGAUAUUGUCUCAUUGGGCCUCAGUUUCUCUUUGUAAAGGUGAAAUGUGUGUCAUAUUUGACAUAGCUCUGUUGUGAUAAUAAUAUAAAUGUUGUGAGAAACCAGAACAGAUCAGGGGGGUAGUUUGAUAAAUUUUUGUUAUUUAAGUUGAUGACUUUCUUGAUUUCUGUCCAGAUAAAAGCCACGUGUGCUUCAUCUGAAUGAGCCUGUUUCCUCUCUUUGUAUCCUGAUUGAUUCUGCCGUUUAAUGGACUUGUGUGUUCGCUUCCGAGUCUCACUUUCUCUCCUCUGGUCUCAACUGAAGUUCACAGGGGUCAGGGUUCAUACCCCACGUUCCCAUGGCAACAUAUGACACAUCACCCUCAAACAGAAACUCCCUCUCAAUCCUCCGUAAUGGAUUUGACCCCUGAACUCUGCCCCUCACUGCCUUUCAAACUGACAUAUAGCUGAGUGUGAAGCCCUGCUGGCUCUAGCCUGAAGCCAUAUCCUCCAUAUUACUCUGCACAUCUUUGCCAGCGAAGGGUUGAUGAUCAGCUCUUUGGCAGCAUAUGUCAUCAAAGUGAAGAGGCGUGCAUGUCAGGCUGAUACCAUCACCAAAAGCAAAAAAGAAAGAAGGAGCACUUUUACAUCUGUUAUGAUUUAACGUGAAUCAUAAUCUUUACCAGCAGAGCCUGACUCACUGCGACCUCACGCAGUUUCCCUGUCAUCAUUAUGCAGCUUCACCUCACUGCAGCCAAUCCCGUCGUCCAUCCAGCCUCGCUUGCUGCAUCAUUUAUGAGCACUAAUCAGGAUCCCAGGUCUGGUGUGCUAGCCACCCUACCGCUAACAUCACUUCCCUGACCUGACCCUGCCUGUUUCCCCACAGCAUUAACGCGUGUUUACGCUAACGCCUGCUCAUUAUGCCUAACUAUGCUAGGCCAGAGCCUGCUGCCUGAGCUGGAUCUAGGGGCCCUUUUUAACAUGCUCUAACCAGCCCCGGCGCCCCUCCCUCCCCCCUUCCUCCAAUGGGGUACUGAGAGUUGCUACGUGCUAAUCUCAAACAACAGGAAAAGGCAACAUCGGUAGCAAGUCCACAUAGAGGUGGUUUACUGGGAGACAUGGCCUGCGAGGACCUGCGAUCAGCCUCCAUUAUUGUUGUAAUUAGCGCGCCUCGGUGGAGCACAGGCUCCCAGGCAGCGUGCCUCGACCUCCCUGCCUCUCAGUCUGUUUACAGCCAGCCGAGGCAACAGAGAAAGGGCAGGGGGCCGGCCACACGGCUCGAUGCCUCUGUUCGGCUCCAGCAGCAACACAGCUGUUUGUUCAUUUGAAGCGUGGACACAUGAGGGUUUUCGUUUCUCCGCUGUCCGACGCUAUUCAAAUGUUUAUUUUACCUGCAGAACGGGCAAAGGCAAGCUAAACGCCUGAGGAGAUUCAGGGGGGUUCAGAUAGAGUGUUUGUGUUUUUGAUCAGGUAUUCUGAAAGAGUGUAGCAGCAUUAGCCGGUGAACAUCAAUCAAUGUCAGGAUCAGGCCUGUAAAAACAUCCUCUUAACAUUUGAAUUAGUACCAUUCAAAGUCUGCAGCCAUCUGAAGAUGUGUGACAUUAUACAUGGAUGUGUGCACCUCUCUUCUCACACCUUAGCUCCCCUCGCUGCCCCAACUCCUUGACGUCCCCCUCCCUAUCAUUAUGAGGCCACCCCCCUGGUGCGCCACCCAUCCCCUGAUCACCAAUUAGAAAGGCUUGUCCCCUUUCCCCCUGCGCGGAUGCAGAGGUGGAGGAGUGGAGAGGCAGCAAAGGCAGCAAAGGUAGCAAGGCGCGAUUAGGGCAGUGUGAGGUGGAGGUCCCAUGAAGGACAAGGCUCCCUGGGUGGCUGAGCGAUGAGCAGGGGAGCGUGAAGGGCUGAGGCAGGUCUUUCCCACAGACCAUCAGUCCUUUAGUGAGUCAGUCAGUGUUGUAAUGCUUGAGCACAAAGUGUAAUCAGACAGGCUCUAACACAACAAUUUUAGUCUCUUUUUUGUGCAGCUUUUCUUGGAUAAUUUGACGUAUCCAUCCAUCCAUUUUCGACGUAUUUAUUUAUUUAUUUUUUAUGCACAUCUUCUCCUGCCUGUGUGGUAUUUUUUAAUUUCCUCAUCUGUCUCCUUGUUAGGGCGGCUGCUGUUACAUUAUUCUGAUCAAGAUGAGACAUUGUAUUCUGUGUGUGAUCGUGGCCUUCCCCAGUGUUUCUCCUUGUUGUCUCACUUCAUUCCGUCUCUGUCUUAUUGUAUCUGAUAAGAGACCCCGUUGUUGCAGUGUGGUAAUGAAGCCCUGCGUGUUAGAAGAGCAGCACCGCCGGGCAUGCAGGCCCUCGCACACCUCGGAGAGGCAGAGAGGCGCGUGCAUAUCGAUCUUAUAUUGUUUCCUUGAACCCGGCUUGCCUCGGCAUACUUUGUGCUGGCGCUCAGUUCUCUGUAGUCUAAUGUGCUGUCAUGAAUAAAGGCGAGUUACGGUGCUGUGCGAGUGUGAGAGUGUGUUUUAAAAAAUAUUUCUAAACAGAAAAAAGAUCAUUUCAAUCCUAGAACCACUGUUAGACCACUUGUUAAUUUCACUCACUCCGAAUUAUUAAAAAAUUAGUUGUAUUGUAAUAUUUAUCAACAAGGAAGAUGUUUAAAUUUUGAUUUGGACUAAGAAUAUAAUUUGUUAAUGUGUCUGCACAGACGGCAUUAAAGCAGAAGAGUACAUCAUUUCACACCAAACAUAAUUAUGCAGCAAAGUCUGCACCGAGCCCAAUAAAUAAACUAUAGUGCUAAAUAUUUGACAGAAUACUAAUAAUUCUAAUAUGCAUUCAUUAGAGACUACAGGCAUCCUAAUAAAUAAAUGAAUGGGAGGUCCAGCAGCAUCAUGCCAAAGCUUCUCAUCUAUAAAUCUAAUGUUAUUCUGGAUGCAGCCUGUUUACAUGGGGCCUAAUCUUCUCAUUCAUACCGGCUGUGCAUGUGUGUGUGUAUGUGAGUGUGUUUUGCAUGUGAUAUUAAGUGUGAUCUAAAGGGCUAAAGCACCAUCUGGUGGUGAUACAGCACAGUGCUGUGCUCUGAAAUAGGGCUCUCUCUGUGCACUGAUGAACCUUCAUGACCAGGUUAAGACGUUUCUGCAGAUACUAAGGAGACAACUUCAUUUUGAAGCUUUUGAAACUUUUCUGCGUUUUUUCGCAAAACACUUGUUCAAGAGCUUUAUGAGUGAAAUCUGUUUACACGUUUGACCUGGAAAAAAACUUUCAAAGGAGACUUUUAGGUCAGGAAAGAUUAUUUUUAUGUACUGUUUUAUUUUUCAGCUUAUUGUCGUAAAAAUAUCCAGAGAGCAAAAUCCCCAUGCAAAAAAAAAUCUCACAUUUGUUGCAUCACCGGUGCUGAAGCUUGUUUAUUUGCAAAAUAGCAUUAAGGCUUGUCCAGCGUUUUUGACUCACAAUUCUUUGUACACAAAAGACUUAUUUGCUGUAAUGCAUGUAGAAAGGGCCUCACUGUUCUGUCCUCUCUAAUUGGUGCUGUCAGGCAUCCCUUCGCUGGCGUGUUUCACAGUCUGAUCUGAUAACCCAGUCCACAUGAAGAGAGGAGUGAACGACAGCCUGAGCCAAGUUAAAAAAAAAAGAAAGGAAGAGGAAGAAGAAGAGAGGAGAUGCAGGUGGUUAAGGAUGAUCGACUGCCAAGUAGACGACAGCCUGCUCUCUCUUUUAUAUAUAAAUAGUUGUCUUUCACUCGGUAUCUGUGCAAACAAUUGCUGAUCAGAGGUGUGUAAGCAGGUAGAGGGGGAGGGCCUCUAAUGCAACAUGACAAAAGUGCUACUUUGAUAUCGCUCGUAUGAUUACCCUCGUUAGGAGCUAAGUGAUAAGAUAGAAUGGGAAAACAGACAUGAAGGCCUUUUAAGUGCAGGGAGGGGCAUGAUGUAGAAGUGAAUGCAGAGAAAACACUUGAUUUCUUUUACUCUGUCUUUCCCACUAACUCACCAGUCCAAAUUUCUUUGACAAUUUCAACCUUUUUUUAUAAACAUUUCUCAUGUUUCUUUUCUUUAAUUUGGCAUGCAUUUGUGGGUGUGUGUGUGUGUGUUCAGGAAAAUGUGUGACCAUGUGUGUGUGCGUGACAGUAAUACCUGUGUUACAGUCAAAAGUAAGUAACUUCAGAAGUCGAGUGUAUCAUGUUGCGGGGAUCUUCUCUGUGGUGACAACAGUGAUUAAUAAUGGAAAGCAGUUGUUGGCAUCUCCAGCUGAAAUUUUCAUGAAACUUCGCUAACGUGAUUAAAGUGUACGUCUUCCUAGAGUCACUCCGAGUCUUUUAACUCCAAUCUCUGGGGAGGGGCAACAAAUCAUGGUUGAGACAACAUGUCAAAUCGCACAGAAUCUUCUGCACGUCAGAAACAAACUCCUUUUCUUUUUUUCUGUUUGUCCUUGCUGAUAUUUGAACUCCUCAGUUCUUACAUUGAAAAAGUUUGAUUAUUUGCAGCAUUUUACAGUUUUUUUUCUCACAUAAUUUCCUUUUAAGUUAAUUGUAAUUUUUCUUAUAAUUUCAGAAAGCGGGCCUUAGGAAUAUGAUUAAUGUUACUGUUAAACCCUUUAUUGCCAGGUACACUGGGGUCAAGACAAAAGAAAUGUAUUUUAUCACAUUCUAGACCAAGUUUUUCCAACAAUGUUAGGCAUGAGUCAAAAAUCAGAGACAAACAGGUGUCCCAUUUGUAAAUUUGAGCAAAUAAGUGCUCAUUUGUCUUUUUUUAAAUGCCUUGAAAAACCAUGCAGAUCAGUUUUUCUUCACAUGUUAAAGUCUACAUACCCAAAUGUAAGUGUUUCAGUCUUACACCAUGCUGGAAAAUCACCAAAUAAUUUUCUUCCUGAGCCCAGAUAAAUAAAGUUGACUGCCAGCGUGCCAAGUGUCUCUUCCUGUGAAAAAGUGAUCUAUAUUUCAGAGGAAUUUAAUGACAUUUCUAUUUUCUCCUCUCAGAGAGACUUCAGGAUUCAUCUUUAUAUUUUUCUGUAGCGAAUGGAUAAAUGCAUUUGCAGCUUCUGCUCAGCUAAGUUUAUUUAUAUCUUAGGAUGCAUUUAGAAGCCCGGGCUGCUGUCACGGGGAGAUGGCUCUGCUCACUUUGGAUUGUGAGGUGAAAAUGUAUGAAAAAAGGCUUGAGAUGGAGAUUCAGCGCAAAGUAGCCGGGAGUGUUGUGGCAGCAAAAAUAUCAGCUCGCUUAAAUGCUUUCUCAAACAUUUCUUGAAGAGGCACCAAGAUUAUCCGUUAUCUUUCUUUUUUCCCCUCUCCGUCUUCUCUCUUUUAUUUUUUGUCCCCCAAAUUUCUCCUUUUGUGUCUCUCCUUCAUCCCUAAAUUUUCCACACACUUCUACAGAACUCCUCAGCAGAUUUCUCCCCUCUGUGCUCUCUGAAACAGCAACACAGAUUAAAACAGUAUCAGUAUGUUAAUGAUGGGAGCUAAACUUCUUAGUUUUAUCAUUCAUUCCUCAUGUUUGUUCUCACUUGUUUUCACACUUAAGGACAGUAUUAAUUGUAAUUCUGUUACUAGAGAUCUUUCUUUGAAAGGACUGAUUUAAUGCAAACAAAAAAAAAUGUCAGUCUUUUUUUCCCCUCAUUGUUAACAAUCCUCUGAAAUUACCAUAACUGGAAAUUGCAUCAUUCACAUCAGUGUAUGUUAUCAGUACAUCCAAGGCCUGAUUCAGUGUAUCCUAUUCCUUAACUUAUUUGGACCCACUUCUAAUGAGCAUGAAUUUGCAAAUGGAAAUCGUCCUCGGCAAAUGUAACUCUUAGUGUUGUUUAAAUUAUGUUUGAACGAUCAGUUUUUAUUUUCCAAAGUAAAAACCUGUGGAAAUGGGAGUUAACAGCAAAACACGUUUCUGAGAUGAGGAUUAGAGAAGACACUUUAAGGAAGUCAAAUACUUGUCAUAUCCCUGAAGUUCUCAAGUACUGAUGUUUAGUCAAGGCCCUUGUUAAGACCAGAAUAGCGUCCAGUUUCCAGUUAUAGGCAGGGGCAAAUUCUCAGUUCCAUCAUGGAGAUCAACUUAAGUUCAAGUAUAAAAAUAAGUCCAAAAUCAGUGGAAAAGGUGUUGCACAAGGAAAAAAAAGAACGCUUUUCAGCUGAGAGCAUCUCAGAAGAACUGAUGGUUGUAAAUAAAAUUAAAAAGUUGAACGCUGGUGUUUGGAUGCAUCUUUAACGUAUGGAGGGAUACGCCAUAUAAGACAGUGCACUUCAGUUCAUUUCAUAAGCUUAUAGACACAGUUAUACAGAGCAACACUAAACUCUGUACUCAAAUGUCCUGUUUUUGUCUCACGACCACAUCUCUGUCCUUAUUCAGUUCUCUGUUUGUUUGUCUUUUUGUCAUAUUCUGUCUCUAAAACCAUUUAACUGUAAUAUGUUCAUUCGUAAUUAUUUUUAUACUGAGCGCCCUCAUACCUUGGUUACAGCAAGUUAAUAUGCCGCUAAAAAGAUUGAUGUGUUGUGAAAGAAUAUGUAUUGAUAAUAGAAAGGAUAGAAACAAUAUCAGGAUCUGAUAGAAAGGCCUGCUUUAUUUAUUGACCCUCUGCAGUAAAAGAAAAUAAAAACCUGAGUUUAUAUUUGAGGAUUUAUGGGCCUGAAAUAAACACAGGGAGUUUUGAGUAUAUAUUGAUAUGUAUGAACAGCAGCAACCUCAGUCCUCAUCUACAAGUCAUAAGUAAAUAGCAGUGAAGUAAAUUUCAGCUCAGUUUAAACCUCUUUUCCUCUUCCUGAUGGUUUAACAACAUCUACACAGGCCAACAUACCCGGCCUAACAACACCACCUUUACACUUCCUCCUGGAUUAUAAUGUUAUUCAAACUAUAUGCUGUAAUUUGAACAGAGCAGAAGGGCUUGUGCUGACUCAAAUUUCCCUCCUCAUUUGACUCUCUCUACUUCCAAUCCUCUUUAUUUGGGCUUCCAAAGAGCGAGCAGCAUAAAUUGAAUAAAAAGAUGUGUGUAAAUGAAUAUGAAAAGCAAUGUUCUCUUCAGUAGAGCAAUGAUCACUGUUUUCACAUUCCAUCUCAUUUUUGUGUUUUCUCUCCUACCUUUUCACACUCUUCCCCUAAGGCAAUAAAACAGUACUUUUACAUAUAUUACCUUUUGAUUAAUGGAGCUGUAUUCAUUAUUCUGCCCUAUUGCUAAUUAGAAAACGCACCCUGCUAAUGAUAUACAGUUGGAAUAAUACUUGCCCACGAGGCACGCUAUCACAUCAGGUUUCAUGCUCGCUGCUACGAGCCUUUAUCCACAGAUGCCUCCUUCAACCCCGCGCGGCACGUCCAUUAGCAAAAGAGUCACGGCUAAGACUGGGUGUCAUUGUUUUUUUUUCUGGCAUAAUGAGGCCUGUUUUCUCGGGGGAGUUGUCGCUGAGGGUUGAUGAGGUGUGCAAGCAUUGAGUCAGUCUUAAUCAGGAGAUUUGUGAGGGCACAAGAAUGUGUAUGUGUGUGUGUGUGGUCCUGAUUUAUUUUGUAUUGCACAGGUAGAUAUCUUAAUUUUGUGAAAUUUUGUAACAUUAUUUUAUUUCGUAGUGCGGUGCAGACAGAUACAGUGAAAGGGUUAACGUGGUAUGGUAGCAGCAGUAGCCCUGAAAAUGCUCCUAUGUGACCGUCCUGUCAUGGUCCAAACAUCCAAUGGUAGUGACAACCAUCAAUAUCACACCAGCCGACUUGUCUGUACUAAUGCAGGUUUAUUCCCCUGGUCAGGCCCCAACUGUGUUAAUGGCUGGAGGGGUGUGAUGGAGGCGGAGGGGGAGGGGAAGGGUCGUGACAUAUUGGUGACAAGGUAACACCAACUUUUGGGCUGACAUCUGUCAUUUGUCCUCGUAAGACAAACAGCCUCCUGAUACUUUGUAUCUUGGCUGAUGAAAAGGCUAGUCUAUCCAUUUUACACAUGAUCUCAAACAUUUUUUUCUACAUUUUCAUUUUGGCUAGACUCCAAUUUAUUUUUUAUUUUAAAUUUAGAUUUAUUCAAAUACCUUAUUGAAAUUUCUCAACCAGAGAUUAGUAAGAAAAAUGCACUCUGCUCUUAAAAGCUGUGCCUCAAAAUGUUAUCCUAAAUACUCUAGUCUUUUACUGGCAAACAUGUUGUAUCUAAAGGCAGCAAAAUCAUAUUAUCCAACUUUAUCUUAACUGCAAAAAUAUAUUCCAGGGUUCUUGAAAUUUGAGUCAUACCAGUUUCAGAUGUAGUCUGUUUUGGAGAAAAAGAUUGAUAACAGGCCUGUCACAUUACCAGAUUUUUGCCCUCUGAUUAUCAUAAGCAUAAAAUAAAAUGAUAAUGACAAUAUAAUUACAAAAUUCAUGGAAAACGUGAUAGGUAUACAAUGCAGUCAGUCAAAUCAAGAAAAGUUAAGGCAAGGAUGGAGCAAUAUGUUACUCUAUAUACGUAAUUAACUUACAUAUUACCAUUUAUUUGCAGCAAUGUUCACAUCUAUGGUUUGUCUCAUCACCAGCCCUGCAACUGAAACGUUUUUGGAGAAGAUGUUGUCUCAUAAAAUGAUUGUUUGUCGUGCUUUUAUUUUCAAUUUUUUUCCUGUCUUGCAUUUAGUUUGCUACAGCUGGCUCACCAGCAGCUCCUGCUUCUUCUUAGUCCGUCUUCAGUUUUACAGAGUGGCAACUGGCUUAAAGGGGGGGUAACAUACUUUUCCACAUUUACAACAAAAACUGCAAAGUUACAAUGUUUGGUGUCCAAACUACAUGUAUGCAAAUUUUCAAAUCACAAGGUAAACCUAAUUCGUCAAAAUAUUAGAAAAUACAUAUAAACUGCACAAAUCUCAGACAAACACUCGACAAUGCAAGACUGUAGUUUAUGUUCGAGAUUUACUAAGAAUUGUAGACUCUCCUUACUGGUUCAAUCUGUGCUUACAGCGGGAAACAGCGAGCUCUGACACCAGCUGGCUUCCGGAAAGCCUUCGGAGAGGUAGCCAAUCAGAAGAAAGUGGGCUUGUGGAGGGGGGGCCUUAAAGAGACAGCAGCUACUGAAGCGUUUCAGAAGAAGGCUGAAAUAAUGAUAUUUUAAUACACCACUGUGAGAAAUUUGAGGCUUUUUUGAUAUGAAAAUCACGUAAAGCUGUUAAAGAGGUAUCAGAAAAGAAAUCUAGAGUCUUUAAAAAAUGCAUAAUACCCUCCCUUUCCCCCCUUUAAACAAAAACGACUAUAAACUCACAGGAUUACUGUGUACUUAUUUUUUUAUCACAGUAUCAAUAUUUCACUAUUUUUUUAAAUACAGUUAUUGUGAACUGUCUUUGACAUCUUUUUUCAUCACCUGGAGUUGCAACUCCUGUUGAAAUAUUGGACUUAUUUUUUUUUCAACCUUUAAAAAUAGGUAAAAACCCCUUCAGAUUGAGAUCUCUUUUAGAAGGGUGACCUGGCCAAGAGGUCAGCAACACACUAACGACUUACGCCUAUGAUACAAUUUUUGGUCCUUGGGUUUGGACCCCACCACCAAUUACCUAAGACUUGUACCACCCAGUUUUGCUAUAGUUUUGCUAACUUCAUGCCACUAUUUUUAAGAGCAUGAAUGUAAUCUAUUGAGAGAGAAUAAAUUUGUUGUCAAAAUUAAGUACAGAUCACUUUGGACCAUAAUUCCAAUCUCCAAAGAUCAUAUUCAGCAGAUAUUAUAAUAUAGAGUGUGGCAAAACACCUCUCUGUUGUGCUUGAAGGUACAUAUAUUUUCCUCUAGCUUGACAAAAUUGAAAAUUAAACCCAUCUUUUGUGUCUCUGUUUUAACAUUACAGCACUUUCUCCAGGCUGUGUGUCAAACUGAGACUCAUGCACAUGCGCACACAAAAUUGCAGUGCCAGAAAUUACGCCUCUGGUCAGAGCAAAAUAGAGAGCGUGUCUGAGAGAGAGUUUUCUUUGGUUUCAUUUGACCCUGCAAUAAGGGAAGUGAAAAGGCUGUAGUAGCUACAGGAGGUAGAUUAGAGGAGGUCUGCUCUCUGCAGUCUACAGAGAGAAAGUGUCAAAGGUCAUAAAGAAAACCUAGGAAAUGUGCCAAGGAGCCGUUAACACUUCUUUCCUACUUUUGUGGCUCAGAGGUCAGCAUUUUCUAAAAUUACCCCUUCUUAUUUUCUCUUUGCUGCUCUCUGCAAGCACCAUUACAGGCCAGCGCACAGCCAUUAGAGAUCAACAGCCCAUACAGUUGUAAUAGCACCCUCACAUAGCUCUAGGGUCUGCUAACCUAUAGCCUCUGUGCUCUAUGAGCCUGCUGCUGUAGUUCUCACUGAGGUCAAGUAGGUUAGCACUGAGGCUGUGCUGCAGGAGUACAGGCAGUGCAACAAGCAUGUUUACAAUCUGUCCAAGCUCUGGUUAAAUAAUAAUGAUAAUGUGAUGCUUUAUUGAUUCCUGAGGGAGAAUUGUUUAUCCAAAGGGAGUUCACAGUGUGCCUAUUACACUGAUUUCAUUGUCUGCCCUAGGGCACAUAUAGUUUUUAUGCUACAGCUGGAUCUACAGUAAUAACAUCUGUAAACAUCUCUCUUUUGUCUUUUAACUCUGUUGAUUCAAUUGAUUUAACAAAGGAGAUAUUGGUUGAAAAUGGAGCAGCUAAGGCAAAACGGAGACAAAGGUUAGGAGGAUUUGAAAGAGUUGUAAUACUGCAUUGUACUGGAUCCUGUAACUUUCUGAUUUUAGUAACUACAAACACUCUCAAUCUUCUAAAACCUGUUAUAGGGCCCUCCAAAUCCUGUAUGAGGUUGAAAUAGAACAUUAGAAAAGAGUGAUUGUUUGGCUAAUGUAAAUUCAGAAUAUCAGCUCUGUGUGUGUGUAGACCUGUUUCUACAUUAUGAAUCAGAUAAACUUGUGAUAAGAGAUUUAACAACUUUCAGAACUUUGUCAUUUUAAUAUUUAGGUGCUCCCUCUUGUAUUUAGACCUGUUCUGAUUGUUUGGUUAGACGUUCAGCUAUGCUCAGCAUGGGGAAAAAUCUAUCCGGAUUGACACAGAAUUGCAUUGUCAACUAAAAACAUAGCAUGCAGUCGUAGAGGAAGACUUGCCACUACACUAGGCAAGAGGAGAUAUUUCCUUCUUUGUCCCUCUGGACCCUCGAAUCUCACUUUUCCAUUUUGAUCGCAUCACAUACUCAGUACUUACUGAGUCCUCCAGAGAUGGUGACUUGUCUGUCAGAGUGACAUGAAGGCAAUGAAGUCAAAACAUGAAAUCACAGGAGGUGACAACACUGCGAGGACAGAUACAGAAAGUAGCUUGAAUCUUAUCGUCACAUUUGCUGUAUGCAUCACACAAUUUCCUCAGGCUGCCCAGCUCUGUCUUUUCCUCUUUUUUACAAAAAAGAAAAUUAAACUAGGUCUUACAUGUGCAACUCAUCAACUAUCCUAAGGCAACAUAGAGUAAAAUAGUAGUAACCCAUUUUGUAGGGUUUUUGGGGAGGUUUUGGCUGCUUAUGAAACAGGCGUGAAUUAAUAGUGAUGUCUUUUUAUGACCAACAAAAGCAAAGCCAAAAAGGACCAUUAACUACAAAAAUGAAAACCUCUAUGUUUUUGAUUUUAAUGCCUCUAACUAAUAUUAGGUAUAAGAUGAGAUGACUUACAUUAUGCUGAAGAAUCUUUUGUACUUUUCCCUCAAAAAUAUUCCAAAUGAGUGACACAUUUUACUUUUAGAGGAAAGCAAAAAUCAGAAAAUUUGUAAGGGGUAUUACCAUUAUCAUUCCCACAAACUAAAAGUUCCUCACAUAGUCUCCAACAUAUUGACCCAAAUAUUAAACAUUUUUAUCUUCUUUCUUGAUAUAUCUGGAAAAAAGGGCUUAUCUUUCAGUCAGAGUUUUGGAUUUGAUUGCUAACAUAUAGUUUGUUUACAACAGUGGACUAUGCCACUCGUUUGUAAAAUGAGUUCAUGAGAACAUUAAUCAGUACUUGUCAAUGUUCAUUGACAGUAGAAAUGAAAAACUUUCUGUCAAAUGUAGAAAAUGUUUGACCAGAACUGAAGUAUUUAUCAUUAUACACAGGAUCAAAUAGUUACGGGCAAGAAAAAAAACCUAAACCGGCAGCAGAGCCACUUAUUCAAUUAUUUUAUCAGCCAUCUGUAAAAGACCGAUACAGACAAUCAGCGAGAUAUCGGCCCUAAUUGUGCCCCACUUUACUGAAGCCAGCUGUUACAACUACAGCACCAGGGGAAUAAAAGAUACAGAGACAAGUUGAUUUCUGAAACACAGUGGCUUGAAAGUUGGCUAAGCUAUUUAACAACUGAGACAGACUUCUGUUGCAAUUUUAGGAUAACGGUCAGAUAAACUUUCAAGGAUCCAAGAAAUACAUCACAGGUUGUCAAGUCUGAAGAUGGCAAGCCACAAAAGAUUGUCUUCAAAUGUUUGAGUUUGUUAUUAAAAAUUACCAGACCAUCUAUCCACUCAGAAGACUACUUCGGCAUCCAAACCAUAGUUGCUUCAUUUACAAAUGUGACAAGGUUCAGUUUCACUGAAGUGUGACAAUUUACUUAAAAAACAAUAAAUGAAAAAAUUGCCAUUAAAGAAGUGUUAAAAUAACAGAUUUUUUUAAAGUUCAAAAUCUAUGUUUGACCAUUAUUUACUUUUAAAUUGGUUUAGGUGUAAAGUAAGGUUUGAUCUUCAAAAAGUCUUCACUAAAAUGUAAUCAUUAAUUGUCUCAUAUUGAAGUCAUUAUAGUGUUUAUUGUUCAAUAUCUUUCACUGUCCACACUAGUUUGAUUUAUAAACAUUGCAUUUUUUUUUCAAUUUAUUUUUGAACAGCAAGAAAUUUUAUACUUCCUUUUCAAGCCGUGACAUGUCCAAUAUUUCCUGAAGAAAAAAGAAAGUAAUGCCAAAUACUUUCAAUUUGACUGUUUAAGCAAGUAGGACUGGUUAAAUUGUCUGUUAAUUCAUUUUACGGUUAAAAAAAAAGAUAUUGCACUGGAAAAAUAAAAUGCUCCUUCAAAUAGGGGCAUUAAUGUUAAAUAGAUAUCCAUUCUUAGCCCGAUGCUAAAAUGUCAAUACUAAUAUUACAGUAAUCGACAUCACUCAUCAUGACAAAGUUGGUAUUAGUGUCUACUACUGAGAGAAAAAACUAGUUCACAGUCAACAGAGAACAUUACAAAGAUUUUUAAGUUAAGCCUGCCUUUUAAUCGUAGAACAGAUUGUACAGUUGAAAACUGCUGAGUAAAGCAAACAAAGGUUGUAGAAGAAGUGAUUUCUAAACUUAUUUUGCCUCAAUGAAUUUUUUUUAAACUUUGUAUCAAAUAUGUUUUGGAAAAUUUGAAACUCCACUAAAAUACAUGUUUGUGAAAGUGAGUAAUGUGCUAUUUUGGUUUGGUAUAUUCUUUGCAAAAUUUUUGAAGUUUGACAUUCUCCAGUGUUGCUCUUGCUCUUAAGUACAAAGCCUCUCCAUCCUGUAGUUGGUGUUCUUUUCAUUAACAUUUUAUUUAGGUGAUAAUUAAACUUCAUUGUUAACUUUCAACUUUGUUCUCUCAGGUUUGCUUUGUUCUGUCUUCUGCUCCAUACCUCUCUGCUUCUAAAAGCAUCAUGCGAAACCUGCCUCAUCCUCAUCCCCAACGCUUGUUCUUCAUCCCUACAAUGAGUCUUUACACCAGGGCGACCUCAGGCCUUCAAAGAGUUAAGUUGAGGGUGUAGGAGAAAGAGUGCUGGCAUGGAUCCCCAGGACAGCAGGCCAAUUAUAAAAUUAUGAGUGAAGUGUUCCUCUAGAUCCCCCAAAAGAACCCCAUUACCCAGAAGCCUUGGCUUUGAACACCUCUCCCACAUUAAAGAUGAGUCAACCUCCAGUGCUGGCUCCUGUCAGGCAAAGGUUCUGCAACGGAAGCCUUUUCUUCUUCCUCUUCUUCCACAUCUCCCUGAGUGUUUGAGAGCAGCACCACGGAGCCACAGUUUCCUCACAGUGUCGGCUCUCAGGCAGCUCUGGCACUGUGACAGCCAGAAGAAACAGUGAGUGCCACAAUUGACAUAUUCCCCAUCCUUUUGGCAUGUCAUCUCCCUUUUUCUGGACACCUGAUUGAUUCUGACAGCCUAUAUUGGGUAUUUCAUAUGAAAGAGAAUUUGGCGAUUAAAUCUUAAUGAGUUGGAAUUUCUCUCAGUGCUUUUAUUACAGGCCGCCAGUUUUGAACAUUUUUCAAAGCAACACACCCAAAUUCCACUGUUUGCAAUGAAUUAAUAAUACAGUCUUGUCACUGAAGUAUCAUGCAUUCUUUAAUCAGGCUUUUGGGGUCUGAAGCAGAAGCUUCUUGAAAGGUAUUUCUUUAUGAUCAGAACAAUUACAAACUUAGCAGCAAUCACAAAGGGGAUACUCAUAAAGUCAUGCAUACACAUACAGAAAAUGUGUGCGAGUGUGUCAGGCACAAAACAAAACCCUCCGGGCAAACUUUCUUGCCGCCUGUAUCUGAAUUAUACGUCUUGACUGGCUCACAUCAGUUAUGACUUGGGACUUGAGAAGAGGCUGAGGCCAAAGGCUGUGUGAACUGCGAGCACAAAAGAACAGAAGCAGCCGACACGUCUCUUCUUCUGUGUUCUUAAGAUCUCGCCAAGUUGUGGAAUAAACAUCCCCAAGUUUAGCUCUCGACCCCAGACCUCAUACCCCUCCUUUCUACAGCCAGUCUACAUCUCACGUCAGAGUCUUUGGGGAGAACUUCAUAUUUUGUUUCAAGGCCUUUGCAAAGGCACAAAGUGGUUGACCAUGCAUUGGCUGUUAAUGACGCUUUCUCUGCUUUUGGCAGUAAAUGUAAUAUAAAUAUGUUUUACUUUAUUAUCACCUACUUAUCAUCUACCUGUCUUUGAUACUUGAUUCUGAUUGGUCAAAACAGUAGCAGUUAAUUCUGAAUAGGAUCGGUGAAGCCUCGUCAUGACACACUUCAUGUCAAACCCAGCACAUUACAAAUGUUAUGAUUUCACCUCAGCCCGUUGACAAUGUGCUAGUGUGAACAAUAUGGAGGAUUGUUUAAUAUUACUCUCUGUUACUUUGGAGAUUACACUCUAGAUUGGUUAUUGGCCGGCCUAUACCAGCACAGAAGAGAUAAUAGGACUGUACGGAAACUAACAAGAGAGGUUAAAAAAACAAGCUGAGGGACAAAGUCACAAAACAGACAUGAAGCAGUCAAAAACCACAAGGUGGACAAGAUCCCUCCACUGUGUUGGGGUCUUGUCUCACCUUGUUGGUAUUCUGUUUCAUGUAGCCACCCACUCACUAUCCAUCAGCCCUUAAUUUGAUAAUCAUUUCUAAUAUGUUAUUGUUGGUUAAAGCUGUUUGCUGCUGAGUGGAGAUAACCAUAGAUGACACUAAAUUUUGGCUUUAAGAACAGUAAAGAUUUAAGGCUGCUUGAUAAUUUUAGCAUCUCAGCACGUCGAUUCCUGUCACCUCACCACGUGAGAAUUAUUUAUCUGCUGUUGAACUUGAUCCUACAAAACAUGCAGACUGACAGUUUGAGGGUCUGUUUCCAUACUGAAUGAAGUGUCAGAGAUGGUGCGCUUUUAAUUGCUUCAGUUAUUUAGACGUGUCGCAUUUUUCUCCUUGUAAGCUGACUAAAACUGAUAGUAAGCUUCUAAGGGUAAAAGGUCAACAUCAGUGUUGUGGGAUUGACAAUAUAAAAAGCAGCAGAGCCUCCGUAAACAAAUUCGUGACUUAAAAAUCAGCGGGCCAUUGGCAGACUAGUGUUACAUCUUUAUCCAGAGAUCUGUGUAACUGUAUUUUCAACACUGAUUUGUCAGGAAUUUGUGAUGGUAAAUCUUUACACCUCCGAAAAUCAACCCUCCAUAUCUGCUCACAUUGAAGACAAAAUGCAAAUUUGUGUAGGUAGUUUGUUCGGUCUCCUUUGUGUCGGUGUUGACAUGUUUAUCAUGUCUGCGUUUGGCUCCUACCUGGGAACCUCUGUGGCUUCUGUACCACUGCCAGCAAGAGAGACGAGGAGAUGGGACUGUUUUUAUUUCAUCAUCUCAAAUCAUGAUACUGCCUGCAUCACCCACAAUCCUCUCUUUAUCACUUUAACACCCUCUCUGCAUCUCUGUGUGUGUAUGUGCACUGACAUAGUAAUAAAGGGAGAAAAAGAACCAGGUAAAGCAGAAAAAAGAGAGUACUCAGCAAAAUGUCUGAAACGUACUCGCCAUCAAAUGCAGGAAUCACAGCAGGGGCUGUUAUUCUCUGAAAACUGUGUGUUGAAAUUCUCUGGCUGUCUCAUAUGUGUGUAAGUGAGCGCUGACUUUCCCUCGCAGGGCAGAGCAAAAGACUAUGACACCGGGGUUUGGUUUUUGUCUAAAAAGAGAAAGGCCUUUAUGGAAGGAUUGACUUUUCUGUCUCUUUGGAGUUUGCUUUUAAGAGUCUCUUGUGUUCUUCUUUACAAAGUACAAGCUCUGCUGAAAACAGCCCUGUGCGCUCCUUAUGUUCCCGAGCAGAAGAUAGAACAGUUGGUGCCCCUCAAUAAGUUAUACCCUCACCAUCAUCAUCAUCAUCAUCAUCACCCCAACUCAGGAACACGCAACAGUCUGGAAGAAUUUCAGGUAAAAAGGCCUGGCCUAAUUAGUUCCCAUCAAAAAUGUAAUUCUUUUUCUCUGAAUUAUGCCGCAAGGGUUGAGUAGCCAAAAGCGAAGAUACCUGGUGGAUGAAAAAAAAAAAUAAUGAAUGAAAAAAGAUAUUCUAACCUCGAGCCAUAAGUACAUUUAUAUGCUUGACAUGACUCGGCCAUCAAUGUUGGGUCGAAUUCUAAUUUAAUUUCUGAGAUGUAUGUGUAAUUUUGCCAUUAAUAUGAAUGUUAGCACCCUAAAUAUUUUACACUUCUCAUGGAUAUUGUGAGUGUCUCAUAUAUCCUUCAAGAGUGUAUUAAUUAAUAAACUCCUUUCUGAUACUUUUUUUGUGCAGGAAACUUGUAAUAGGAGCAUGCAGGUAGGAUGAUGUAGAGAGAGCAGCCAGAACAGAGUUGUCUGGUGCCUCAUUAACAUCCCCAGUUCAUUAGGAGGAGGCUUUUUUCUUGUCAUCUUUUUACAACGUGCCAAUGUUGUGUGGCCUUUAAGCUAAUUAAUAAUUAAUUAAUUAACCAAAUUAAUUCCUAGGUUAGAGAUGUUGUUCAGUAGUGAGGCCAGUCGGUUUGGAUUUGGGCCCCGAUGGGUGAGGCCCUUUACAAGCUGAUGUUGUUCAUGUUUCUGACAGUGCCAGCCCCCCGUCUAAAAGCCCUAGCAAGUGCCAUUUGUCUCCGGGUUAACAGAAAGACGAGAUAUAGGGCGGGCUGAAUAAUUUAAGCUCCCACAACACAUGCACUUUUGCUUUUCAAGCAUGAGUUAUAAUUUAAUUAGAAACUUCUGGUGCGUUGCUGGCUAUUUAAAUAUUAAAAUCUUCCGCUGAUCACAUUGGAUUAGCCAUCCCUGUGAAAUUCCCUGAGAUGUCAGUUGUUGUCUUUCUAUCUCCCCUCUCUCUCUCUUCCCCCCACUUCUACUCUCACUCUCGCCGCUUUCUCGCAUUUCCGUCUGUGUUUUCUGAACUCGGCGCGCUCACAGAUUGUUUGUCGACUCCUCCAUUAGAGACAAUGGAGGGAGGCGUUGUGGACCUUUGGGAGCCUUAAUGGGCAUCAGUGUGCGUAAGCGUGUGAAUGGCUGACCUGAUCUGAAUGAAAAGAAAGAGGCUGUGCUCAUUAUCAGCUCUGGAUUGCAGGAUGAUUACAUUAGGAUGCUCCCCUGACGGUGGUAAAACAAGGGGUGGUAGUGGAGAUGGGUAUUAGAGGUUGACACUGGAUUCCUAUUGCCAUGUUGGGGCCUGUUGUCCAGCUGUUUUUGUCCCCUGAAUUUAAACAGUGCAACCUGUUGACUUGAGAUGAUGUGUCUUUUGCCUCUGUGUCUUAGUGGAGCCAUUUAUCUGCAAAGGCAUGGCAAGUUUAUUUACAUGGCACAUCAUUGCAAACAAGGCAUACAGAUUUUAUAAAACAUUAGGGCCUGUGCCUAGCGACUUUUCUUUUUUUUUUCUUCUUUUUUGCACCAGCAGCACCCAUGUCUCAUGUAAAACUAAUGCAGUUCAGCAUUGUCACUGCUUAAUGUCUUGAGAAAAAUGCUCUCAGUGCCAGUUUUGUUGUUGUUCUUACACUGUCUAGGUUAAAAAUAGUUAAGUGCUUGGAGCUGGGUGUCCUUAGCAGUGUCACCUCUUCUUAAGGGAACAGUUUCUAGGAACAAGUUAUUUCCUUUUUAUUUUUUCAUUUUCUCCACAAAAUUUUAUAAAACCCAUGAAAGAGGAUUAGGGCCACAAGAAGAAAAAAAUAAUAAUUACAGGAGAAAACUUAAAAUUUCCAUUUUGAGAUUAAAGUUGAAAUUCACAAAAGUCGAGAUGAAAUGCCGUGUGGCUUAAAUUUGUUGCAGCCAUCAAUGUGCCCAAGCACAUUGGGUCCUCAGCUUCAGUAAUGCCUGCGUCUAGGACGCAGGGCUCGUCUGUGCUCCACGCCUUCAGGAUCAAUCAACUUGAUCAGUUGUCUCAUUUUAUCUUGCGAUACAACAUCGCUUCACUGGUGUGACCAUCAAUAACCCUGCAUCUGCAUCACAAUCUUCUUCGGUACAGUCUUUUCAUUACCUUUAAUCUCAACAUUAUGAAUUUAUUCAUGAAAUUUUGUCUUUAAUUGCGUCGACUUUAAUCUCGAAAUUUCGGCUUUAAUCUUGAAAUUUUGACUUCAAUCUUGUUUCCGUAAUUAUUUUCUUUCUCUUCAUGUGGCCCAAAUCUUCUUUCGUAAUAACUACAUAUGAAGCUUACAGAGAAAUGUAAAACAGCCUUGAUGGUUACUGCUAAGAGAAGCAGACAUACCAUCAGACUACUUUCAUAACACAGCAGGAGAAAGUGCCCUAAAAAGCACUAUGAAACUGUGGUUGUGGGCUCCAGCCCUGAAAAGGCAGUAAGUGUACACAGGCCCUUGUCCAAAACUAAGCUGAUAACACAAAUGACACUAAAACCCGACACCAUUACAUUUCAGCAGGAGAAACUUUACCUAAAAAUAAUCAAAGAAUAAUUGUGUUUAUCACAACUACUGUAUCUUUGGCUUGAGACUGUGUGAAAGAGUUAGGAGUGGCAGGAUUUAUUUUCACAUCAGCAUGUGAAGUUUAAUGGAAAAGGAUAAAAGAUGGACAAAGCUAGAGAAAUGUUCCAAAAAGUAAAACUAAUAGGCUGAAAAAGUAAAAUGGAUUUAUCUGAGUAUUCUUGAACACAACAGUAAAGUAUUAUCCAAUACGCUUGAGUACAUGUAUGUAGCUCCAGUAUGCUAUAAGACAAAAGCACAGCUAAACUAAAGUACAGGGGAAUCAACUUGAUCCCCUUUUGGCUCCACAACUGAUGCUUGUUAAUAGGAUCUGAUCGAUGCAGACACUAUCAGCAUGUAGAGUCUAUGCAAAGCCUCACUAUUCAGUUUAUGUGUGAGUUAUGGGUGACAGGUUGCUCAGUCAUCUCCCCAGUCAACCCUGUGACACACACACUCUAUCACCAGUGGCAAAGAUGUACUAGUGAUUCCUAGCUCUGGGCCAACUAUCUAAUUAUAAACCAGCAUCUACUUUAAUCUUCUGCUUCAGACUGUUAUUGAAGCUACAUGUGAGCUGGAGCCCUGCUUUCCUGCUGCCGAAACAUAAAAACCUUAGCUGCCUUUGAUUCAGGAAAAGCUCUCACGUACCUUACUUUUGCUUCCUCACUGUUUGCCUGUGUGUGUUUAUGUCUCCCUGUGUAUUCCUACCUGUCAUUUUGUGCAUCUGAACAGGUGUAUUUGUCUGCUCACAGUGGGUGAAUACAGUGCUCUGUUUCUCCAAACUCUGGGAGGGGCCCUGGCAGUAGCGCUGCGAUUGUGUGUCAAUCAGGCAGCGCUGCAGACGGCCUCUCAGGCCCCCCAUAGUGUGGGGUCCUGUUCUUCUUCUGUCUCAUGCUGUCAUUCAGAAUCCUUUUCAUCUCUGCCUCUGUUCCUCCCCAAAUCCCUCAAUCAGGACCAUCAGUCAUUCUCUGAGAAACAUUUUGAGCAUAAAUCUCCUUUAUGAACAGCUACUUUGAAAUUGAAAUAUUUACUACAAAUCAAGCAUGUUUUCAUAUAUCAGGUUAAAUAUCCUCCCUACUGCUAACAUCACCUCACCUCCUACAGGUGCUUACACUUUGAGCUCUGUUUUGAGCUCAUGCCUUUUUUUUAUAUUUUUUCACAUCCUGAUUUCACUGUACAAUAAUGAAUCCAGAAUUCCACAGCUAACCCAAGUAAAAUUCUCAGUUCAUAUAAACAAACCAGCCAUUAAGACUGAUGCUCUGGUAACAACAUAACCCACCUGUAAUGUAAUGACAACUACAUAAUGACAAUAGAAAAUUAAGACAAAGUUGAAUUUUCCUUUUGACUCACCUGUUAAUAAGUUAAAUCGUAAUUGCAAGUUUUGGCCUCUUUAGUUGUUGUACAUGUUAGUUUAUCAACAAAUAAGUUAAUAAAAAGUUAAAAGUGUCUGGUGUCUCAUGUACAUGGCCCACCUGUAAUGUACUGAUAUGUAAUUUUUUUCACAAUUACGCUUCACUUCACUGCACUCUUCAUUACUGCACUAUCGCACUACUGUCUUGUACUUGUAAGUUAAAUGUCGACUUUGAUUUGUACAUAAUUUGUGAUUUCUGUAAUUUUUCUGAUUAUUUUAAUUAUUCCUAACUUUUGUCAUUUUUCUUGACUUUUGUAAUAUUUCAUGUUUACUGUUAGUACAUGAUGGGCAAAGUUUACCGAAGUCAAAUUCCUUGUAUGUGUACACAUACUCGGCCAAUAAAGCUGAUUCUGGAAACUUGAAAAACUAUUUGGCAAAUUUGGAAAACCCUACCAUAGACUUUUAUGUCUUCAUGCAAAGAACAAUGCACAGUGAAAAAAAAAAAAAAAAAAAAGCGGUGAUAAAUGUAAACCAGAAUCCUGAAGGGGUAAGACAAGAACAAAAUAUACACGUUUAGCCAACGGAUUUAGCAUGUGUCAGGACUAACAACUCUUCCACAUAUUGAUUUUUUUUAUUAUGUGUUUGAUCUGAUUGUAUCCAACGUUGCUCUUAUUAUUCAGAAUUAAUCACCAUUGUCAAGGGGAUUAACAAUGGUCAUGGCCAAUCAGAAUCAAGUAUUUAAAUAUAAAGUUAAACUAAUUACAGUGAUUUUAAUAGUAUUGAGACACACUAGUGUGCUUGCGCAAUAUACAGUAUAUCUAGCUCUCCUUGCAUAGUGUGUAUACAGUAGUAAACUGUAGCCAAAGCUUGAGAAUUUUUUAUGAAGUAUCAGUCAAAUGUUUAUGUGCUGCACUGAUGAUAACUUUAUGUUUGCUUUUCCAGAACUUCUCUUUUGAUGUAAAAGGUCAGAAAGUUGAAGCUAAUAGUGUUGGAAAUGUCUAGGCACUUGGUUCUCUCAGGAAGCGGCUGCAGUGCAGAUCUGUCACUGAAUCAACUCUGAUUCAAGACAAGCUGUGAGCAACAGAUUUUCUUUAUCUCAUUCAGGUUAGAGUUUUUGGCACAUUCUUAUUUUCUGUUUGACCCUUACAGUGACUUCAGUUUGCCUUUUAAUGCCUCUUGUAAUACCCAAGAGGCCAGUAUGAUACAACUUGUAGGUUACAAAUAAAUUUCUCCUUUUAUAUAAGAGUGGUAAAAGGUUAGAAAAAUAAUUCAGAAGGAAAUAUGCUUGUAUUUGAGAUACAUCUAUUGCAAUAAUUAAAGAGUCCAGCUCUCUCUGUUCAGCCUUUUCUCUCUGCAGACUUCUCCAGAUGUUGUUUGACUUUUAUUUGCUUUAAUUUUUCAUCAGUUUGCACAGCUGUAAGGGUUGAAUUCACCAUACACAUGAAUAAAAAUAUACCCCUGUAAACAUUAUUGUGUUUAGUGAUAUCUCUUGGUUGCCCCUGAGAAAUGCUGGCUAAUCAGAGACAAAGAGAGAUGAAGGAGGACCAUAAAACGCGAUACUCUCCAGAUGCUCACACUGUCUGAUACUGUAGUAUCAUAAAGAUGGGAAGAGGGGGUCAGAGAGAGGUAAAGGUUCAUAUUUUUAAAAGGCUGAUUGCAUGAAUGUCUUGGGAUUUCUCUUUUUUUUUUUCAAUUUUGAAGAAGCACUCAGAGACUAAUUCAGUUCAUCUGGCUCAAAAGUACUCAGCAGCUCUUUGCUCUUAAACUUACUCCUACCUUCCCCAGAUUGUAUCUUUGGACCUUUACACCAUGAAUUCUGUCAUAUCUGUUGAUAAACUAACUUGUACAAAAAAUAAAGAGGCCAAGAAAGGCCAUAGUUGCAAUUACUAUUUAACUUUAAAUGUGAGUUAAAAGAAACAUUCAACUUUGUAUUAACUUUAUAUGAGGUGUUGGACCACUGCAACUGCAUUUCUGGUGUCUUUGAUCACUUUGUGUCCAUAGCAUAGAUAUACACUCACCGGCCACUUUAUUAGGUACACCUGUCCAACUGCUCGUUAACACUUAAUUUCUAAUCAGCCAAUCACAUGGUGGCAACUUAGUGCAUUUAGGCAUGUAGACAUGGUCAAGACAAUCUCCUGCAGUUCAAACCGAGCAUCAGUAUGGGGAAGAGAGGUGAUUUGAGUGACUUUGAACGUGGUAUGGUUGUUGGUGCCAGAAGGGCUGGUCUGAGUAUUUCAGAAACUGCUGAUCUACUGGGAUUUUCACGCACAACCAUCUCUAGGGUUUACAGAGAAUGGUCCGAAAAAGAAAAAAUAUCCAGUGAGCGGCAGUUCUGUGGGCGGAAAUGCCUUGUUGAUGCCAGAGGUCAGAGGAGAAUGGCCAGACUGGUUCGAGCUGAUAGAAAGGCAACAGUGACUCAAAUAACCACCCGUUACUACCAAGGUAGGCAGAAGAGCAUCUCUGAACGCACAGUACGUCGAACUUUGAGGCAGAUGGGCUACAGCAGCAGAAGACCACGCCGGGUGCCACUCCUUUCAGCUAAGAACAGGAAACUGAGGCUACAAUUUGCACAAGCUCAUCAAAAUUGGACAAUAGAAGAUUGGAAAAACGUUGCCUGGUCUGAUGAGUGUCGAUUUCUGCUGCGACAUUCGGAUGGUAGGGUCAGAAUUUGGCGUCAACAACAUGAAAGCAUGGGUCCAUCCUGCCUUCUAUCAACGGUUCAGGCUGGUGGUGGUGGUGUCGUGGUGUGGGGAAUAUUUUCUUGGCCCUCUUUGGGCCCCUUGGUACCAAUUGAGCAUCGUUGCAACGCCACAGCCUACCUGAGUAUUGUUGCUGACCAUGUCCAUCCCUUUAUGACCACAAUGUACCCAACUUCUGAUGGCUACUUUCAGCAGGAUAAUGCGCCAUGUCAUAAAACUGGAAUCAUCUCAGACUGGUUUCUUGAACAUGACAAUGAGUUCACUGUACUCAAAUGGCCUCCACAGUCACCAGAUCUCAAUCCAAUAGAGCAUCUUUGGGAUGUGGUGGAACGGGAGAUUCGCAUCAUGGAUGUGCAGCCGACAAAUCUGCGGCAACUGUGUGAUGCCAUCAUGUCAAUAUGGACCAAGCUCUCUGAGGAAUGCUUCCAGCACCUUGUUGAAUCUAUGCCACGAAGAAUUGAGGCAGUUCUGAAGGCAAAAGGGGGUCCAACCCGUUACUAGCAUGGUGUACCUAAUAAAGUGGCCGGUGAGUGUAAAACACAAUUAACUAAUCUGUCCACUUAAAAUGGUGCUGUGAUCCACCUGUUUCUACCUUGGAGGUACUGUUCGAUACAAAGACAAUAAAGUGUAGUUUGUUCCUACGAAGUUUAUAAGAGUUAAGUGUUAAGCAGCAAGCAUAGACUGUGACUUUAUGAUUUUGUUGAGAGAUAAAAUUACAUUUGAGUAGUUAUUAUCAUUGAUUUUUAAAUCUGACUGUUUUCUGUCGCCCUUGUUAGUCAUGACUAAAGUUUUUAUCUUAUAAUUAUAUCAUUUCAUGGAAUGAGGCCAAUGAAACUGUUUUUUUCAAUGAUUAACUGCCUUUUGUCCUUGAGAUUUUUUUUUCUCUUCUGCCUCUUUUUGUUUGCUUCAAUGAAAAUGUUUUGAGUCAGUGUUGUAUCAUUGUAAUAAGCACAUAGAACAAUAACCCAGCCUUUGACUGUCUUAAGGUAAUAAUAGAGCAUCACAAUCAGUAAAUAACAUUAAAAAAUAAAAAUAAUUGUGACUGCAGCCCUUCUUAGCUACUGCAGCAACCGUAGAAACACUUUCAGUCUUGCGAGUCUGUAUUGUCUUUCCCUCGUAAGUGAGCUCAUCUACUCCCAAAUUUUCAGUCCAGCUCUGUCAAAGAAAAGUCAAAGGCUUUUUCUUGGCCAGAGGACUAUCAUAUGACUCCGACGAUUAAUACAAAGGCGAAUGGUGGACUUUAAUAAUUAACUCUGCGUUACAUUUGAAGAAUGCUCACCAGGCGUGAGAUUUAAAAGAAGCUAAUGUUUCACUAUCAAACCAUUUCACCCAAUCUUCAGAACAGAUGUGUGUGCAGAGGAGGACAUUAGUUUCCACAGCAGGCGCUGAAAAUAUGCCUGCGUUCCCCUCAUCAGCACAGAAGUCAUGGUUUGUCUUGAGGGGCCAAGUGUCUCCUUGUGACUGGCCAUUGGUUUUAAGUGGCUUGUGCAUUUUUCAUGGGACAGUGGUCGCUGGGAAUGUCUUGUCACUCUAUUAAGGCCUAUUCAAAUGGUAGCGGCCAUAAAACGAAGCAGGCACUGAAAUAUUCAUUUGAUAUUGCAACACACCGCAGUGUGUGUGUUAAUUAAGGAAAGAGCUAUAUGCUUGAGAUGGGACAGGGCUCUCAGUGUGCCAGAAUGCUGGAAGAUGAGUUUAAUCAAAGUGACACUUGGGCUUCCCGGCUCCAGGCUGGUGUCAAUAUGUACAUCUUAUUUUAAAGAGUGCUAGUGUGUUCAUAAAACAGAGACUAAACGCUGAACUAACAACACGCAAAAGCACUCUUUGACAUUUCCUUUUUUUUUUACAUCAGUGUAUCAUUCAUGCAUUACUUUCAUGUGUACAUUAGCCGUGUGUUGUUUAGCAUUAUAUUUGACCUCUAAGGCGCAACAUAAAAGCAGGUAGCAGCUGUGAACCGUUGUGGCGGGGUGAAGUCCAUUAAGAAAAAGAGAAGUCUUUUUUUAACAAGCUGUUCUGGCCAUUUGACAGGGAAAAACCUUAUAUUUGGACAAACACUCAGAUGUUAACUAUCUGGCAUGUACUUAAGGGUUAACUGUGUCCUGAAGGCUACACCCUGAAGGGAACAGGUGUUUGCAGCUAUUCACUGGUGGUUCUACUGCUUGUUAUUUACCAUGAUUGGAUCUAUAUUUCUAAAAUUUCAGCUAUGAGGUAGCCAAUUUGAUGAAGACUGCACGCUUACAGCAGCAGGGUGUAUGUUUCCCUCCUCUUAAUAUUUUGGACUUCCUGUGUUGUUUGUACCCAGUGAAAGAAAGUUGAUUAUUUUUCAUUCGAUUCAGGUGAUCUAUUAUAAUUUAUUUUUAAUUUCUUGUCUAAUUCUAGCUGCAAGAUUGUGCAGCCUCACAUUUGAAAUGAUCAAAAUGCAAACCCUCAUAUCAGACACAAAGCUUAAGGAUUACAAGGCUAUUUCUGUUUGUAUAAAACCAACUGAAUAACACAGUGUAAGUGUCAUCCCUCUCCUCUCUCUUCCUUCUUUUGGCUUCUUUAUUACCGCUUCACCGUUCCUCGUCUCUCUGUAGGACAGGCCAGCGAUAAUAUACCCUAUCCUCCAUCUUAGAGCUUAUUAACCUUUUUGUUGGAAUAUCUGGAGCAUAAAGACCUCAUUAAAUAUUUACAUAUGCACUAAGCAGUAUGAAAAAUUAAGAAACCCAAAGUUUUAUUAACCUGUAGUAAUAUAAUGUCUACUCUUGGCCAACAAAAAAAGGGUCUUUUUUGCACAUUAAAGCAUUCUGUAGUGCAUAAUAAUGUAUGAUAAGAAGGCUCCCCUUGCAUUGAUUAACUCUGCUUUAAUAUAACAUUAGGUUUCCCUAAACUAGCUUUAUCAUAGAAUUAUGCUUUUAAUACAAGGUGUGGGGAUGAGGGCAGAGGAGGGAGCUGUUUAGCCUGCAGAAAUAAAACAUUGCGACAAUCCUUAAUUAUCCAUGGUUGUGUGUGUGUGUGUGUGUGUGUGUUGUGACAUACGUGAGGACUUCUGAGAAACUCAUACGCUCACUAUUCAUGAAUAUAUUAGAAGGCGCAGCAUAAAUAUCUGUCCCUGCUAGCCAUGCUGACCUCGUCCCUCCAUAGGUGUAGUUGAUCCACAACACUCAGCCAUUCAAAUGGGACUAAGUGGCUUUCAAUUAUUCAAACAUAUAUUCAAGAAAGGCCGUGUAUUGCUCCCUAUCACCUGCUCCUGACUUUCUACUCCUCUGCCACGCUGCUCAGAGCUGAGACUGAGCUGGCUGAAAUGUUCAGAUUUUACCAUCAGCUGUGUAGACAGAGGAUGAGGCACAAAUAUCUCUGUCACUGCUGUCCUCACAGACCCUUUCGGUCCUCUAAAUGUUUCCUCUGUUCUCUGAUAGGGACUCAAACGGGCAGGUUCCCAGAGAGCCAGCGCUUUGAUUCUGUCAGUGCUGCAUGCAGAGCAGACCAUGCUUCAUAGCUGCACACCUGCAGGCAUUUACACCUGUAUGUCACCAGUGCAGGGCAGAAGAUGAUGUGAUGGUAAGGGUUUUAAAGUGGGAGCAGGAUCCAGGAGGCCUUUUGUAUGGUCAUGUCUUAGACGUAUGGGCCAAUAACCUCUACAUAUAUUUAUGUGACAUUUUAUGGGUUUCAGUUUUUUUAAAAAACAAGAAUUGACAUUAAAAACUUUGCAUUAACGACUCAAACAAACAGGACCAUCUGGGAUUAUACAUAUUAUUUCUAUAUAGUUAUUGUAAUACACUGGUAUUUGACAAAGUGGGUAAUACUGCAAUAAGACUCUUUAACUCAUCCACCCCUGUUAGAGCCACAGUCACUUACAUGGACUAGCCUGCCAUUCCUACAUUGUUGUUAUAAAUACGGGUACACAUGCUUAGGUUGUAAUUAAGUUAUAUUAAGCACAUAUUAGUAUCAUACAAUAUUUUUAUCACUUUUGCACAUUUCUCCUUUGCACAUCUACACUUACAGAUUCUUUCAUCUGAGCACAUACUAUUUAAGUACUCAUAUUCAUUCAUUAUCUUGUAUAGUCUUGUAUAUUUUAUCUAUUUUUUGUAUUUCUCUUGUAUUGCUUGUAUCGGCUACUAUAACAACCGAAUUUCCCCUCGGGGAUUAAUAAAGUUCUCUAUCUAUCUAUCUAUCUAUCUAUAUCAUAUUCAGUCCAAGUGCUUUUAUUUAUUCGUUCGUCAGAUAAAAAAACACUUCAAGCAAUCUGAAACUCGAAAAAUCUGAACAAUGUGGAAAGUUUUUCAUAUGUUUUCUAUGGAUUAGAUUAAAAAAUGAAAUAUUUCAAGCCUUUUUUUGUUUGAAUUUAGAUGGUUUUGGCUUACUGCUUGUAAAAACCAGAAAUUGAAAUAUUUCUAAGAUCGAUUGAAAAAAGGUUUAAAAAACUGAAAUGUCAGACUGCUGACGUUUAUCUAAACACUCAUUUCUUGGUUGGCACUUUUUUAUGACCAAUCAGUUCAUUUAUGGGCUUUAGGGCUCAAUUAGCCUUCAGCUCUGCUGAGGCAUUACUGCUUUAUAGUGGCUGUCAACUAGUCUAUUGUUUUGAGUGUAUAGUAUCUCUCACCUUCCUCUUGACAAAUAUCCCAUAAUUUUCUAUGGUCAACUAAUCAUUUAUUAGUAAUUUUGGCGCCAUGGACAGGUGCUGUGUCUGCUUACUGGAAAAGGGAAUUGGCAUCUACACCAAGCUUGACAGUAGAUGCAAGAACAAAGCACUGUAAUAUCUCCUGAGUGAAAAAAAAAACAUUGUGGACCAACAACAGCAGAUGACAUGGCACCUUGAAUCAACACAGACCAUGGAAACUCCACGCUGUACAUCUAAUGCUGCGUUUGAGUUACCUCGAAAAUUGCCAGCGUUUCAGUUACCAUAUUCAGUCAGUUAUCUUGUCCAAUAUAACAAAAACAAGGCAAGCACUAAAAUAACUUUAUAAGAUGUAGCCAUCUUGUUUUCGCCUCCAAUUUUGCGUUUUUCCGACUUGGUAACUGAAACGCUGGUAUCUCGGGUGUGACGUCAUUUUCAGCUCCGACAUCUGACUUCCGAGGAAACUCGAACGCAGCAGAAGACCUUGGGGUAUCAGGAGUGUGACAGCUGUAGCCUCCUCUGUGCAUGAAGCCUCUCCAUUCAUUGACAUCAGCCUCAGUCCAUUCUUUGUCCACUCCCUUGAAUCAGUUUUUCUUGAGACUCCCCUCACAGCUGCUGUAAUUCCUUGUUACUUGUGCACCUUUUCCUUCUAUACUUUCUGCUCACAGUCAACUUUCCAUCGCUAUGCUUUGGUUUGGCACUCUGGCUCUGUGGCUCUGUGUAGUUUGUUCAUGAUCAUCUUUUUUAAAUUAUCAAUUAUCAAUGAUGAAGGAUGACUGUCUGAAGUGGAGGAAGCAACGGGAGCAGGAGCGCGAUGCAACAGUACACUCGCUGAGCGUUACACCAUGCAGGCGAAGGUGUUUUGUCAUGUUUGUCAUGCAUCCUCCUUUGGCAGAAUUUUUUUCGCAGAUGUUGUUCUGUGAUACUCCAUCUUUUAAAAUUAAAAUGAAGCCAGACUGUCAAGCGUUUUUUGCGGUCCAUGCUCAGACGAGUGAUGUUCUUGCAAGUGGACGCACAGAGAACGCCGAGCGGUGUGAUACACGCCUGGAAAACAAACUGGUGUGGGCAUUCAGAACCAAGAAAGAAUCGAAAUUCAAAAGUCAUCGUAAUGGUUCUGGGGCCGGACAUUAGGAACCAGUUCUCAGUACUGAACCCUACCUAUGAUUGUGGGAGCAUGUUAUGGGUUGGGUGCCAACACAGCUUUGUUAUAAAGCUGUUAAAUCACAGUGGAGCAGAACAUAUGUGCCAUUUUUGCUUUAGUCAGAACAGUGUUCAGGACUUUUGUCCCAUAAUAACACAAUUCUGAUAACCUGCAAUAGAAAUGAGUUGAACAGCUAAACUAAGAGAGCCUCAUAGUUGUUGGUCUGUUUGAAAUAAAUAAGUAUUUAUACCAAGGACAGUGCCAAAAAUAAGGUGAUAGAAUGCCAGCAACAGUAUUGGAUCACUCCAAAGUAAGAAUUUCAUUUCCCUUCAGCUUGAAAAUUACUCAAGAAGAAAAGACAAAGUUAGAAUUACCACACAUGAUGAAAAGCUUGGAAAAUUAAUCUGAGAUAAUAUAAAAAGUUGGAGAUGAGAGGUGACUGACAGCACUAGGUUUUUAGUUUUUAAACUUUAAUACCUCUAGUGAGUGCUGCAGUAAAGUACAGUGUGGUCUGUGAGCAGCGGUAAUAGAGUGAAGUCCUAUUCAAGCAGUCAGGCAGAGGGGUAAGAGAUGAGGGGAGGCUGGUGGUGGAGGGGGGAUAGGGAGCAUUGUAGAAGUAACAGAGAGAAAAGGCAAGGAGUACAUAGUCUUGAGUGAGACAGAGAGCAAGUUCAGGAGUGUGGAUAGUUAGAUAGCGAGAGAAACAAGAAGGUUAUCUAUGAUUUAACGCCUGUGGGGCCCUGAGAUGAGCCUUGCCUGUUCAAGCUGCUGUGAUUGCUGCUUGCUGCUGCUUCAGACUGAGGCCUUUCAGCUCAUUUCAUCAUGGAGCUCCUAAUGAGGCCCGGGCCGACUCCCUGGGCAUGGGGGCUGCAGACACACCUCCGAUGAAGGGGUACUGAGGGGCUCCAGAUUCUACCAACAACACCAUCAGGUCCUUGGCCUCUGAAGGGGGGGAGCAUGAGGAGGGAAAGUGGUGGUGUAGGUGGUGGUGGUGGUGAGUGUUGCUCCAGGGUGAGCUUGGAGACCCACUUUGUCCCGAGGCUGUGUGAAAAGGUCACUGCCUGUGAGGAGUACCCACAGGCCCCCGCUGCAGGGUGUCUGCAGGGAGAGUUGUUUUUGUUCAAACAGGAAGUGGCAGGUUAAGAGGAGCGUGUCCAUCAAAAAUAUGUCUGCUGUAUGCUCACAUGGAAGUGGGAGCUUUUGUUUUAUUGUUUGUUCCAGUGUACUCUGUAAGCACAGUUUGCCACUUGCCAUGUGUCAAAGCCUCCUUUGUUCGGGGUUUGACUAAUGAGCAAAUAGAUGUAUAAAGUGAGAAAUAAAAAGUGCAUUAAUGCCACAUCACGCAGAUUCAGAAUUGGCCACUUGAAGCAGGAUCCACAAUCAAGUCAGUACCCCCUUUGCCCCAUAUUGGGACACCCAACUCUGAGGGUCCUUUCACACCGGGACCGUUUUAUUGUGCGAUUAUUUCAGACGUCAAUAUUUUUUUCCGAACCUGUAUCCUGUCAGUACAAAUGUUCACAUCAGCGACGUUAUUCCGUCCUGUGAUAUUGCGGCAUUUAUUUUUUUCGGAUCACGGUCGAUUUUUCUAAAUUUUUGCAUACUGUGUGUCCACUUCUGACCAAUCAGAUCACGUGUUGUUGCAACGUCUGAUUCACCGGUAUAUCCAACAUGGCCGAUCGGCUACUUGUUUAUGUGUCAGAGAACAGAGUGCUUUUUGAUUAAAAAAAAACACAAAUAUUACAAAGAUAACGACCUGAAGGACGACUUGUGGAGAGUCAUAGUGUCGGAUCUCUCCUAUGACGAUGGUUUGUGUGCUUUAACAGUUUGCUAAAUGUCUUUGUUUAAACUUUCAUCUGUGCUAAGUAACUUUAGCUCAUAAGCUAACCUGUUCAGAUACAACAUACCAUAUGUAUUUUCACUGUCUCAAACUCAAUCGCGUUGCUGUCACAGCGCCAUUAGGUCUCAGUUGUUACCUUACGUUUAUGGAUUAUAGUUUAAUGUGCUUAUCUGGUACUGGCCCCGACUCAGUACAUGCUAUCAUGACAGACACCCAUCUCAACACUAGCGUCUAAUCAGAACUAAAAAACAGUCAGUCUGCUGUUGUGUCAGUCUUCCCGCUUCCACCCGGGACGCGUCUUUUUCCUCCUGGAAAGUCGCAAAAUCGCAUGAUGUGUAUAGUCAGGUGCGUCUAAAUUCGCCUCAGAAUAUUUCGUAAUUUCGCAUUCUAUAUUCGCAUCAGCCCUGGUGUGUAAGGACCUUAAUUUAGUCGUACACAAAUUUGGAUGUGGUCACUUUGAGUGACAAAUCAGUGCAUUCAGCCUUGUGCUAAGUGCUAUUUUAAUUCAUUACAAUCACUUUAGUUAUCCUCUUGGUUGUGUUUGUUCUGCGUUAUAGGGAUUUUUUUCAAGAAAAUAUGGGCAGCAGUGACUCAGUGGUAGCCAACCCCCAAUUUCCGCCGCAUCUGGAACGGCUACGAAAAGGCCAUAUCUGGCGAUCGUAGCUGAUCGUAACCAUUCAAGUAAAUGUGUAAAUUUCCACUGGCUUCUGUUCUGCUGCGGAUUGCCGGACUCUGCAGCUGAUCGCGAGAGUUCUAUUUUUUCCAGACGCUGGAGCAUGCCAUAUAACCCAUGCUGGAAAGGUUUUUAGACAGCAUUACACCCCGAUGAUACCAUGGAUGAGGAGAUGCUGAUUUUAGAAGUCUAGAGGCGGAUUUCUUCCUCUGAAAGGAAACAAUUUGAUGCAUUUCUGGUUAGCCUCUGUGGUUGUCUUUAUAGAGACAACUCGUGAUCGCACGAUUGUAUAUGAAUCCGUGGGUUCUUGUGAGUUCUCGCGAUUACUGCUGUCUGUAAUCUGCCACAAAAUUCGCCUCACCAACGGAUCCGGUAGGAAUUGGCGGACGGCAAAAAUCGCUGCCGUUCCAGUUGCGGUGCAAAUUAGGGGAAUUAUUAGAAGGUUACAAAUACAUAGUACUGGGUGAUACUGAUGAGCACUCGGCAGCUUCUGGUGUCAGCGUAUGAAUAUGACAGAUAGCAGGUUGUAGGAACUGUAGUGUUGAAGGCUGGUUAUUGUAAAUAAUCUGGUCUGGUCUCUACAGGUAUAUCCACCACAAAUACAACCUCCUAUUAUUGCAUUGCCAGCUAGAGAGUAAGCCAUUGAAGUAUACUGUUUGACUUUGCCAAUUUGAUGUUAGCUAACCUCUUGUUCAUCUCCACAACCUCUUGACUGAGUGUAGUCACGUAAAAAACCAACAUUGUUGCAGCCAAAAUGCUGAACAGGCAGCUUUGAAAAGGCAGUCGGGGUCAUGGUGGUAAUGUUUGAUAUUUAUAUAGUCUUUGGAUACAUACUGAGCCAGUUGUCAGUACCUAAUUGUACCAGUUAUUUAACGUUGUACCUCAGAUCAGUCUUGAAUGUAGAGUAGUAAUAGAGAAGUGACAGCCAUACCGUAUGUGUCAGUAUGGGUGCCUCCCUAAUGACAGGCAGCUCUAGGGGAUAUGAAAGGCAUGGUGGCAGGGGGGUGGGGCAGCAGACUUGCUGGUGGAGCGACCUGUCUGUUCACCCCAGCUCUGGCCUUUGUACAGAGUUAAUGAUGCCACUAAUAUGUUCUUUAAAGACCACACUGUGAUUCAUGGCUUUCAUUAGCCCUGUGUGCCAGGGUGUCUUUCUCCCUCUCUCUCCCUCUUUCUCUUCUCUGUCGCCCUUUUAAUGAUGGCCUGGAGACGAGGUGGCACGCUUGACCCUUAAUCAUACAAGCAAGAGGAGGCUGGUGGUGAGCGAGGGGCCGUGAUUAGAUGGGAGGUUUUUGGAGAAAGGCAGGGGGUGGGAGUAAGAGGAGGAGGUAGAAAUCUAUAACAGUUGUUCGUAAUCCUGCUCUUCAGGGCUGGUUAACUUCUCUGCUCAGCACAGCAUCUCAUGUUGAGUAUUUACAGAAAGUACAUACUUAUUUAUCUUUUUUUCCCACCAUCUUCAACUUCCUGUCAGUGUGUUUUAGAAAAAUGGUUACGUUUGCCUGCAAGUCUGAUCAGAAUAUCUGCUUCAGUUUUGUUGAUGGUGUUGCAAGUGAUUUCAGUUGUCAGAUUAUACAGUAAAUAAAGCUGUCAUGUCUUACAACUUGGGUUUUUAUAGCAGAAUCUUGACUGUCGCUCCUGUUGGUAAGAGUAAUACUGUUCUGCCAACUUAACAACUUAAAAACUACCCCCAGAAAUCAUCUGAUGAGCAAAUUACAAAGAUGUUUGGUGGCUAGUUCUUUGGCUGGGACCCUAUAUGUACUAUUGAUGAAGUUAGGUGCUGUUCUGAGCAUUAUUUGUGGCUAUAGAGUGGCGUUUUCAUUGAGGUUUGUGUGUGGCUCCUCAGAUUGCUGUGUAUUGCUAUCGUGCGGUCGUUACUAAAGUUGGUAUAACUAGAGAAGCAACAUAACUAGAGUCGGCAACAUUCCUUUCGAGGGGAUGUCUAACUCAAUGUUACGGUGUGUUUGACCCUAACUUAAUUUUACGUUGGAAUAUCCCUUUAAGUGCACUUACAUGAAUACAAAACUGUUGCACCUUUAGAAACUUUCUGGGAUAACUAAAGCCUCCCAGAUGGUCAAAGUUACAAAGUUAAAGACCCAAGAUGUGUAAAAAAAACAGGAACCAUCCCUUAACAAGUGCUUUUUAAGCUUUCGGAAACUAUUACUACAGUGACAUGUUCCUAUUCAGUGGAGUAACAGACUUGGUGUAAACUGGAACAGAGGGCAACACUAACUCAGACAAACUGUUGGAGAGUGUAGGAGUGUGUAUACACACACACACAAACACAGAGGGUCUGAGUGUGUAUGUUCACAAAGGGGUAAACAUAACACCAUCUCUCACCUCCAGCAGUCUGUUGGGAGCAGAGAAAAUAAACAAUAAAUAAAUUACACACAGACACAGUGUACUUGGUCUUGCUUUGCAGAGAAUUACAGUUGUUUACAUGAGUGUUCAGGGGGUGGCAGGUAGACCCACACCAUGUCUGUGUGUAUCAUGUUGGACCGCUGACGCUAGGGAUAAUUUCAAUAAUUUACACUCUCCGUGUGAUUGUAGGAAACGCCUCGUGUGUUACUUUUUAAAAAUGUAAAGCAGGCCAUGUUAGUCUCUGCCCACCGACCACAACCUCCACACACUCACACACACACACACACACAUACACACACAUAUAUAUAUAUACAACAUGGCUCUGGACCAGACGAUUCCCCAGAUGAUAAAAAGCAGAUGUUUUCCCAACAGGGGGUAUUCUCCUAAUGCUUCUAUACCAACCAUAAAACCCCCUCUCUUCUGUCCUCCUCUCCUCCUCCUUCUUCUUUUCCUCUGGUCUCUUCCCAAGCCAUCCGUUUUUCUGCAGAAUAAAGACAGAUUAGGGUCUAAAUCCCUCCGCAAUUUGGGUCAUGGCCUUUUGUGUGCUCCAUACGGUGAGAGGAGUGGCACACAACCGGGCCCCCAUUUGCCAGAGAUCAGGGGGUUAGGCCUGCAAGUGAUUGAGGGGGAACUGCACAGUGUGACCAUGUUUGGAGAAAUAAUGAGAUUGAAUUAACAGAGAGUCUAUGGUGGAGACCUGGGUAUCACACAGAAGAGGAGAGGUGGAGGACUGCAAAGAGUAGGAAGUAGAAGGAGGUGAGGAGAUGCUAGCAGAAUGGGUGAUUUUAUACAUUUGCGGAAGCUGUGAUAGUUUACAGUCAGCAGUGGAGUUUAACAUGCACAAAAGUUACUUCCAACACUAUUCUAUCAAUCCCUCCCUUAAACCUUUUGGAUAUGAUGAAAUUGGUGAAUAUAGAUCUCCAGGCCUUUUUUGUAGAUUAAAACAACACAACAGAUGGAUUUUGUUCGCCUCAUCAUUUGAAAAUCUUAAUGUUGAGUCUGAAUUUCUAGAAAUUUUUUGGUUGUCUUCUUGUGUGUAUGUUCUUGUGGGAUUACCCAGAAGCUCCAGCUCUUGAAAUACUGUGCAAAAACAGGAAACACCACCAGAGAAAACAUCAUAUAGCUGCAACAAUCCAACCUAGCGCCUCUCUCCUUAACUCCACUUUCGUCUGUGUUACCAUCUCAUCCUGAGUUCAAAGCAGCGUGAUGUUAAUGAAGGUUCCCAUGUACAAAGAGAAGCUUAUGUAAAUGUUACCUCUCCAGAUGUUCUAUAGCUCUCAGAGCCAGAACUCCAACAAGCCCCGAGCCACAAAGAUCCAGCGAGCAUUUAGACAAACCUUUGUACCUUCACUUGCCUAUAGGGCCUAUCAGACCGUCGCUGCCUGAGAAUCAAUAUCUGCUGCUAAUGAAACUUAGCCACACAUUUUAAUGAAGGAGCCAAUUUGCAUUUAAAAGUAACAAGAGGGGAAAUGGGUUCAUUUUUCCCCAUUCCUUAUUUAGUGUGUACAUUUGAACAGAAAGCACUGAACAGGUUUGGUGUGUGGCAACAUUUGUCUGUUUGCAAAGAGGUUUAUUCAUCAGGUGCGGCAUACAUGUUGUUGCUGAAUGUUUAAAGAAACUCUGCCGCUCUUUAUACGCACACUAGAUGACAUAUUGUUGUUGAACUGUAAUAUUGAUGAUAUUUAUUGAAAAUAUUGUUUCUAAAUAUUGUGUAAAAUAUCGACUUAAAUCCUGCAUCAAGAAAAAGACACAUAAGGGAUCAUGAAGAAGAAGCGACCUAGUUUUCCACAUUAAGCAGACCAACAUUUAAUUCACCAGCCUUCUUUCUGUUUAUUGAUAUGAUUAUAGUCAGUCCACACAAGUCUGAUUAGAGUUGUCAUAGCAACAGUCAGUUCUUCAAAGCAACAGUCUGCUAUUGUUGAAAUAGCAAAAAUGAAAGCACUGCAAUGAAAUUUUUCUUUAUUAUGACCAAUUAGAAACAAACUGCCCUGACAUACUGCAUGUAUAAACAAACUAUCUACAUCUGAUUUAUAUGUAUAUUGUAUUCACAUUGUAUUGAGCCUUGUAGUUAACAAAUAUUACAGGGUUACUGAAUCAAACAUGCCUCUUGAGUUCAUAAGGCAAACUUAUUUACAAAAUAAAACUUAUUUUUAAACAGAGAAGAGAAUAAAUAAUAACAUAGUAUCAUGUAUUUUUUUUUUCCUGUGGACUGUCUGUUUUUUUAAAAAAAGUGUCUACCCACUGUACAGCUUUUUCAGCUGCAUCUAGCUGAAAACUUAGUUGAGGUGGUAAAAGUCUAGUAGAAGAAUGAGCUAACAUUAUUUGGUUCAGAAUACUCUCUAUAAGUCAAGUCAAAAUUUCAUUACAUGGUCAAAAGCCAGCACAAUCCAGUGAAAACCAUCAGUUGGAUUUUUCAGACAUUGAUAAAACCGGGUCUUCCAUUUUUUUUCUAGUGUUUGCAUUUUUGAUAAUCCUGAGGGUAUUUUAAUAAUAGAUAAAGAUUAGUAGACACUGUGCUUCAGAAUCACAUAGAUAUCAAUAAGUUGCAUUGCCUUCUAUUUUUAGCUCUAAGCUCCUGUGAGGAGAAUAGGUAGGGAACUAGAUUUAAAUAAAUACUGAUGCCUCUAUGUGGGCUAGAAAGGCAAAGAUCAUGAUUAUCACAAAGACCAAACCUAUCCUGUACUGUCACUUUUAUUGUCUGAAACUGCUGGAGCAGGGUUAGGUUCAAGGAAAGUCUCAGCGGCACACCACUAAAGCAGACUUUGUUGACAUUUACCACAGCAAAGACUCUCAAUAAGUUGUGGUGCAACAGAUCACGGCUGGUUUGUGAUCCGUUGCACCAUCCCAUGCUCAGUUCGGACCACGUGUUAUAUGGAUGAAAGCAUCUCAGAACAAAAUGAAUAACUGCAUUUUGUUGCACAUUGAAAGGUGAUAACUUGAUUCACUGAGACUUGUGAUGGGAAUUACAGCUCUUUUUAGUGAGCCAGAUUAUUCAGAUCAGCCCACCAGCUCUUUCAGCUCCCGAAUGGCUCUUUAUUUUACCACUUAUACAUUUUAAAAUUCAGCUAAAUUUAGUGUUGUUGGGUUUAUGAUAUGUACGUUUGUGUGCACAUACUUAUUAAAUAAUUCAGUACAUCCUUUAUACUGAAGUAAUCACAGGUAAAAAUCAUGUUUUCUAAUAUCAGUAAAUUGCUGUAGCCAAUUGUUUUCAUUGCAUUUACAGACCCUGGUAACUCUCUGAAACAACCCAAUGACUGCACUGACUUGCUUGUAGAACCCUCUGCUUCACAAAGCAGAUAGAAAUCUUGUCAUUCUGUCUUGUAGUUUUUUUCUACUGUCUGUGGAGGGUAAAAAAGAUAAGGAAAGGGAAAGCGGCUCACAGUCGGGAGCCGGCUCUUUGAACCGGUUCGUUCAUGACCGACGCAUCGCUAACUAAGACACAGUGAUAUGAGUACUGGAGUGCUUUAUGUGGUCCACAGUACACACAGCUGGAUCACUGAGACACCAAGAUUUACAGUAGAUGACUAGAGGGCUGAGCUUAUUCCUAUUAUUUUGAGUCAAGUAAUCCAACUCUUUUUUAAAGUGAAAGAGAGAUUCGAGAUCUAUUUCAGUAGUGUUGAUAAAUGAUAUAUUUGGCUAUGAAAGGAAAGCAAUAUGAGAUUUUUAGACAGCACUACCUGCACAUGAUUGACACAAGACCAGCGAGGAGAUAAAAUGUCCAAGUUUGUCCACAGGGGGCGCCAACAUUCACUGGUUUUCCCUAACCUUUUCUUUGUUUUUUCAGUUUGUGCUGUAGUCACUUAUUCAUCUCGCACUGCCACAUAAGUUUGUUUGAUUACAAUGACACAUCUGUAUAGUUUGUGUGUUUGGACAUUUCUGAUUCACGUUAACAUAUAGCUCACAUGUUGAAUCUCUGUCACCCAUCCGCUGUUACACCUUCUCUGUUCUACAUCUACAGCAAAUCCAGCCUCUUUCUACUUGUUAAAAUAAACUGCUACAGUAAAAAAGCUAAGGGCAUGUUUUCUCUUCUUUUUUUCCCCUUCAAGUAAAGCUCAAAUCCCACAUUUGAGUGAGGGAUAAAUGGUGGUCAUGCCUCCAGACUUUCGACUAGAUGAUUUGAUUCAGAUAAACAAGCGGCAUGCUGCACAGACUCUCGUGUUUUCUGUGUAAUCUUCUGCUUGUAACAGGAGCUUUGAUUCCUGUUCAGGUGGGGGAUUUCUCCUCUGGACCAGGUAAAACAUUAAAGCCUCUCACUUAACAGUCAGAGCUUACCUUAGGCAUUUUUGCUUUUUUUUUUUUCUCCCCCAAUUUUAUUCAUUAUAUUUCACAUUUGUGUGUUUUUUGGACAAUUCUGUUUUGCUUUAUUUUUUCUGAGAGAAUAUCAGACACAAAGUGAACCCCUGUUGGGAUGGAGGUUGUAGUUUUGAAAAAAGUUAAUCACCUUUGAAAGAUUUACUUUUUCUGGCCAUUGGGGCUAAAUAUUUGUACUUUUUCUUUAACAAUGCAUUAGUGUCUAAAGUUUACAGUAGUGGAAAAAUCUCUGGGGAUCUCUGGCAUUGAAUAUCUAGAAAACUCAAAUACAUGAUCUGGCUGUUUUCUUGUUUUGUUGAGGUUCAUUAAACCAUUUUUAAUUCAAAAGUGCAACUAAAAAUAUACAACUGCUUUCUGGAAUUUCAGGCUUUAACAUUAUUAUACAUAUUCUGCACACAGACUGAUGUUAGCAAAACCAUUUGAGACCAUGUGAAACACUGAACAAUAUCAGUGUUGUUUGAUAAAUUAAAACGUUGUAAAAUUAAGGUAUUAAAUCCACGCAACUGUUGGAGAAGUGACCAUUUCUUUGACAUAUCCUGUGACUUCUUAUGUAACCAUCUGACAGACUUUAGCCAAACACCUUUUUCUUCAUGAAUGUACAUCCUCUGAUGGUAAAAGUUCCCUCUCUGCAAGCACACAGUAUCUCCACUUUGUCACGCUGCGUUCACAAUCCUUUCUUCUCUCCGGCAGCGCCCUGCAACAUGAAAGAACAACCUGCUCGUUUUAUGUAAAUAACAACAAGGCCGCGUCUCCUCUGUGUGCCACUCUUGGUGAGAAUACCCCAAGAUCUUUGCAGCAAAUUUUUUCCCGUUCUCCCCUGCCGGCAAAGUGUGCCACAAUAGCAGCUGCAGCAGGAAGGCAACUUAGCCUCCAGCAAGACUAAAGUGUGCAUCAGAGUAAAACAGUUGUUUACUUUGUUUGAACUGCACUAUCUCACCCACGGGAGCCUGUGCGCUUGAAGUUCUGCAUCUUUCACUCUCAACUUGUGACAAAGAGUCGGAUGAAUAACAAUGUCAUUUUCUCUACCUUCUCCCCCCUCCCCCUUUUUUCUCCACUUGUCUUCUUUUCUGAGUUCAGUCUAUUUCUUUUUCCACCGCCGCCCUUCUUCUUCCCCUUUGCACUCCUCUCAAAUUAUUCAUCGUCUCUUUUAAACUUUCAGCAUGCAGUAAAUUGAUGGUGACACACAAACUACAUUAUGUUUUCUCACUCCUUUUUUUAUAAACUAACAGCACUGCUCAUCUCUCUUUAAUUGCGCAGCAGGUGGGGACACAGAUGCACACAGAUGUGAGUGCAGGAGGCCGAGAUGAGAGGAGGGGAAACGAGGGGGAGGGAUGAAAAAGACGGCGUAGCGGCGGAUUGUGUAACUUAGUUAAAGUGAUGAAGCAGAGGUCCUAAGUGACCCAGCUCAGAUGUGAAUGUUGUCUGUGCGCUGAAGUGGAUACAAGAGAGCAGGAAGAGAAAGACAUGAUACUUAUUCUUUACUCUGCUUUGACUUUAAAUUCAACUUCAAACUACUACUGCUCAAGAAUGUAGCACAUUUAACCAACUUUAUCAAAGUUCCCUCAAAUAAACUUGAGUAAAAAGAUGGACAUAAAUAUGCAAGAUGCCAUUCAAUCUCACUUGUGAAUUUCCUUCAUGAAAGCACAGUCUAAGGUUUACACUUGAAGACUUAGUAAAUAGUUUGGAAAAAAAGUUACGGUAACAGUUUAUUUGGUGUCUAUCUCUAUAACACAUUAUAAAUAUAUGUAUAAUGUGUUAUAAUCACGUCAUAGCACUGUAUAACUAUAGUUAUAAACACUCAUAGAUGAUCAUAAUGCUUUAUAGCAAUAAUCAUAUCACAUUAUAAAGCGUUUAUCAUGACUUACAAGGUCAGGAAUUAUAAUGUCUUUUAAGAGUUUACAACAGUUUUAAUGCAUUUUCUAUGUGGGCAUUGUCAGUGAGUUGUUAACAGUUAUAACACAUUAUAAUACCUGACCUUGUAAGUCAUGAUAAAAUGCCUUAUAAUGUGUUAUGAUUGUUGCCAUAAAGCAUUAUGAUCAUUUAUGAGUGUUUAUAACUAUAGUUAUACAGUGCUAUUACGUGAUUUUAACGUGUAACAAAAAAAUAAUAUAUUUAAUAAUAAUUAUAUACUCUCAUAAUAAUGUAAUGUAUAACAUACUGAAUUUCCCUUCUGGGAUUGAUAAAGUUCUUCUUCUUCUCAUUCUUAUUAUACAUAUAUUUAUAAUCUGUUAUAGAGAUAGGCGUCAAAUAAAAUGUGUUACCAAAGUUACAUUUAGACGUCUAAUUGACCUCCUUUAGACCAAAAAAAUGCUCAGUGAGCUUAUAUUAAGUAAAGAGGCACAUAUACCUUGAUUUCACUUUAUUGAUCAUCCUAUUGGUGGCUUUAUGGUUUUUGUUUUUAUUGACUUUUCCUCUUUAGUUGACCUUACUGAUUUUGUCAAAUUCUUGUAAACUUACCUGUAAUUUCGCCUUAGAAAGUACUUCAUCAAUAUGAUUGUGAAUUAUUUUGCAGAAAUAUAAUAAUGGUUGGAGUCAUAUUGAAGCAUUUUAGCAGGUCGCCUUCCUAAGACUCUAAAUGAGCAGAAACCUCAAUAAUAAUUAAAGUCACAUAAGCCGUGAUCGUCAUGUUCAUCUAUGUCUCUUCUGUGCUGUUUAUCCUUAAAGCAACAUAUUUUCUAGUAGUUGUCUUUUUUCCCUAUCAGCGCAUGUUUAAGUUGAGUGUUUGCUCUGUAUUCUUGUGUUGUUUUCUCCUCCGUCUCUCUGUGUUUUAAUAGAGAUACAGGCCUGGCGUGUCAGUCUGGGGACACAGAGAGCAGAACAGAAGACAGAUCAAAGCUUCAAAAGAUUAUUGAUCGGAGGAGAGGCAGGUUGUAGUUUUGGCUCAGGAUCAGGUUGAAGUGUCCAUACCUCUGUCCUUGAUCCAGUUAUGUUUGUUUUUCUUUCUUGAUGAACAUGACUUUAGGGAAGAGAAAAAAGGCAUGUAAUCCAAGAGUGCGUGUGCUAUUGUAUGUACUUUUGUGAUUGAAAACACAUGUCUGCGCAUGUCUCUCAGCUGCUGCUUGAUUUUCUUCCUCUCUCUCCCUCUUUUGUCUGUUUGUGUGGAUCCGUGUGUGCGCUGCUGUUUGUGUGUCACUAUGUCCACAGCUACACAGAAAUGAUAAAUUUGAGGUUAAAAAAAGACGAGAUCAUAAAUAGUCACACUUUUACUGAUGUACAAGUCAAACGGUGAAAGAUAUCCAGGCUGAAAAAUAGUCAAAUGUUGAUUUGAUGUGUGUUUUUGGUGAGACAGCUUUCCCCACAUCCACACUGUUGCCUCCUCUUUCCACCCUCUUCACCUCUCCCACAGAAGAUGAAUAAGUAAUUCUUGGUAUCAUCAUAUGUGAUUGAAGGGGCUCUGAAAAGCAGCAGUGAGGAGCGUUGCCCGAUGAAGUGAAGUGUUGAAAAGAGUGAUUAUUUUUGCUUCACUGAGGUCUUAUUUUUCAGAGUGCCACUAAAAGCAUGCGAGACUUGUGUCACUUUGCACUGAGAGGACGGAGCGGCUGAAGGGUGAUUUGAGAAGAGAUGAAAUAAAAGGUAGUGACACCCCACUCCCCACCUUUUUUUUCCCCCCUUUUUCUCAAAAAUCUUCAUUCUUCUAGCGGCUCCACUCAUCUUCUCCAUGAGGCAGGCUGGGCUGUAUUUAUGGCCGAGUGCCCACAGCUAAAGCUAAUAUUAUGAGCUUCCACUGUGCCAUCCAUAUUGUUUUACCUCGCGUUGCCUGCGGUGAGGAAUAAAUAAAGUGUCAUUGGCAGCUUUCAAAGCACUCCUCCAGCAGGUUGGAGAGCAGACUGGGCUGCAGAGAUGGAAAGAAAAGGGGGCUGUCACUUUGGGUUGGGUAAUUUUUGACGUGCACGUCAAGGCCUUGACAAGGGGAAUGUGGCCGGCUUGUACAUUAGAGCUCAAGCUCACAGGCAAGAAGGCAGCACAGCACUAGGGACAGGUAGUAAUGCAGUCCCAGAGAGUGCUGCUCAUCUGCUAACACUAUGUACUUGUCUGGUGCCACACAAGGAUGCCCCCUGUCGCCUUGGCUCCACUCCCCCCACCCCCCAUCCCUCUGCAGAAAUGACUUAAGUCAGUGCGGGAAGAAUCCAUUUACAAUGUGUGCUUUAUAACAUCUCUUUGACAAUGCAGUCAUGGAUUAGAGACAUUUGUGAUGAAUCUUUCAUGGAGACUUUUUCCCCCCAUCUUUCUUUUCCAUGUGCACCAGGCUUUUCAGGGUCCACAUGUGUCUGCUCGGAUGUCAUCGCAGGAAGACGGGGAGAGGAAAAAGCAAUGGGUACUCACCAAACGAAGAAAAAAAGGAAAGAGGAGGGGAAAAGGAAAGAGGAAGAGUGACACAGAAUCGUCAGAGUGGGGCAUUAAAAUUUAUCUCCAAGUCACAAUGGCAGCCAUGAUAGCAGCGUGAAACUUUCCUUUGAAAAUGAACGUCACUUGUCCUCUCAGUCAUGCACUUCCCUCGCAAACCAAGACAAGCGCUCUCUGUCCUCAUCAAUUCUUCACCGCCAUUUUGACAUUUAUUUUACUCAUUUGCAUAACUGCUCCCCGUGUCUCUUGUUUCGUCUCGGUUCGAGCACAUGCAGCAUCCUCGCUUUUUUUUUUUCUUCAACUUUUUUAAAAACGCUGCUUUAAAAUUAAUGCUGGCCCUGAGAAAUAUAUAAAUAUAUCCUAAAGUUGACAUGAUGUUGUUCUACAAUAUUCUCUUUGAAAAGCGAUUUUGUUCAUACUUAAAGCUGCUGUGGAGGUGCGGCUAACGCGCACCCGGGCUAACAAACACGCACUCUGUUGUCCAGCCUCGCCAUCCCUGCUUCUGUCUGUCUGUCUGUCUGUCUGUCUGUCUGCUCUGUGAUGUUAACAUGGAGAGAUGCAUACUGAAUGAUACAAUCCAGCCAAGUGAAUGCUGCUUUUUUAAUGCGCAGGCCUCAAGCAAGUCGAGAACUUUACUUGUUUACUUUGUAGUUUUUUUGAACGUUUGCAGACACUUUGGGAGCCUCUGAAUGUGCCCUGUGGCUUUACACAAACUUGAUUUAUUUUUAAAGAAAAAUAAAGACACUAUGACCUCUGAAUAAUUAACACAGUGUGUCUUCAUGUUGACUUUAAUUACUUUGUAGAUGUCCUUUCAAGUUGUAAAAGGGUACUUGUCGAGAAAUCUUUCCAUUCCUUUUUGUAAUUUUCUAUAUUUCUAUAUUUUUCCUGGAGAUAAAAUCUGAAUCUCUCCAUUUAUUCCCUAAAAUAAAUCUGCAUAAAUCCUUCUCCCGCCCGAGCUGCUGUUGUCCGGCUUUCAGGCGGCUGCUCCACAGAUGGCUUUUCUCUCUUUCUUUUUUUUUCCUCUUUUCUUCCUUUUUUUAUACUUCAGGCUCACCUGUCUGCCCUCAUUGUCCAUUUGAAAGUCAGAGCAGCGGCAAGAACCUGAGAACGACUCAAUGCAAAUGCUGCAUGAAGAAAAAAGUAUUAAAAAUUGAUCACCUUUCCAUUUGAAUUCAAGGAAGCCAUCAUUCUCCAUAAGCAGGCCUGUCUCUUUAAAUCAGAGGAACUGUCGCUUCUGUGACUGCCUGUUUACAAAAUAUGAGGCUGAAAAUGAGACCUGCUCCCUGCGGACAGGCUCCUUGUAUAAAUAUAAAUAAUGAAUAUUAGAUAAAUAAUUUCUGCCCCUUUAAUAAUGCACAACUCACGAAAUUCACUUACACUGUGAAACUGGAGAAUAGGACUAAAAGUAGAUAAUGCAGUGGUACAAUGGAGGUGAGAUUGUGUGUGUGUGUGUGUGUGUGUGUGUGUGUGUGUGUGUGUGUGUGUGUGUGUGUGUGUGUGUCGUAGAGGAAACAGGACAGGUUAGAAGGCCCCUGCUGACCCUCAGGUCACCUGAGUGAAUCCUACAGUGCAGGUAAAGAUGUUUGGCUGAAUUCUCACCAUAUACUCUGCUCCAAGUGGAUAUAAAAAUAAUUAUUUAGUGUUAUUCAAUUAAGAUAUCCUGCUGAAGGAGGUCAAAUAAAAAUGUAUUUACACAAGCUAAUCAGGGGAGUUUGAUGUGAACUGGAGCCCAGUUACUGCUUCGCUCCCUGGGGGAAGGUGGACUCUGGAGUCAGGCAGAGCUGCUCUGCUGCCUGUGUGUCUUAUGGAGAGAAAAAGAGGGUGGAGAUUUGAUGAAUGGUUAAUUAUGAAAACCCUUGUGCCAAAGCUAAAACUGUAAUUAGCCUUAAUUGGCUAAUUGGAUGGAAUUGGUGGAUGGUAUAAGCUUAAUUGCCCCAUUUUAUUCAAAGCAUUUAGUGCAAAAUAACGGACGUAGUCGUGUCAGAGACAGUAAAGCCCAUUUUUGUUUAAAGUAUAAUAAAUGUGUCCUGUAGAAAUAGUUUUUUGUGUGUUUCUCAAGAUGUACUGCAGCCUGAUCUGUCAUCAUGACCCCUCUGAAACAUUUUUUUUUUUACUGUUUUAAAGUUCAUGAGAAUUAUUCCUUUUGUUAAAUUAACCCAAAACAUUCGAAAAUAUAAUUUUGUUGCUUUUAAUUGUGCCAGUUUUAUUAACACAUAGCUAAUUACAGCAUACCUAAAGAUUCUUGACCUUUUUGUGAUUUGCCAUUUGCAGACUUUCAACUGCACCAAACUGGUUUCUGUUUACUCUAAACUUCUUGGAAAGCACAACAGGAGGAUUCAUGUGGUGAAACUCACUCCGAAAUUGGGAAAGAGCUUUUUAAGGAAGUAUUUUAAUAAGUCUUACAAUUUGAAAUGUUCAAGUCACUUAAAGCAAAAGAUGAAAAAUGUGUUUACUUUUUCUUAUGAAUAGGUUAUACAUUUAAUUUUAUAAGAAAUGACAUUAUAAAGAGAAACAGCACCAGUAACAUGUUUUCAAGUUGACUUGGAAACUCCAAGAACUUUACUUUUUUUACUCUGGUAUGUUUUGUUUCUCACCUGUGCACCACUUCAACCUUUGCAUUGACUUGUUGUGCAGCAGCCAUAAACUCCAGUGAAACCACCUUUUUUUUUUUCCCCUCUAACCUGCUGAUUCACGGUGCACAGAUGGAUGGGUGCAGAAACCUUCACUGCGCUCUGAGACAGACCACUGAAACAAGAAUUUUCUCUCCUCUUCUCCCUGACACACAAACACAAACUCUCACUGAGUAUUAGAGCAGCUUUGAGUCAAGGUGCUCAGACUGUGUGCUAAUAACACCAUCUAGAAUUCACGCCCUCCAAAUAGGUUAAUGUGUUUUUGCCCAGAGGGCCCGAUCUACCUCUGCAGCAGAACUCUCUCUGAGCUUCCAUUAAGCAACAACACUGAGGCCUAUUAGCUGCUGUGGGUGCAAGGAGUGAGAAGUCUGUACGAACACUCUUUUAUGCUGGUGUGUGUUUGUGUGUGUGAGAGAGAUAUGUGUGUGUUUUUGUGGACCGUGCACUGAGAGUGUCACUACCUGUUCAGACCGGCUGCCCUGUGUUAACUGUUGCAGGAGAACAAUGUUAUGGCCCCUGACAGCUUGUUAAAGAGUCCACCAUGUUGGAGCUGCUCUCACUUUGUUGUUUCAUUGCAAACUGUGAUACACAGCGCACAUUUCAACACGUUGACAGGACACACUCACACAGCCUCAGAUUAUUGUUUGUGAAGACGUUGGAGUGUGAAGAAAUAAGUGGAACAACAGAGAAAUUCAUGCAGCUUUUUGACUCCAGAUCAAUAUUCAGUGUCUCUUCUUCUUUAAUAAGAUCCGUCUGUGUCUUAAAAUGAUUUUGGUUUCAUUCUGUAUUGAUUAAUGUGCAUUUCUGCUUUUUUCCACUGUUACUGUUUUUAAGUGAAUGUAUUAAUAUAUCAGGAUUGGAUUUAAAUGGGUAAAAACAUAUCUCCUGUCAACCUCCAGGUAGACAAACUUUAGUGGUUUCUGCUUUUAACAAUGUCUCUUUUAUAAAUGUAUAUAUAAUUUAAAAUCAUUGUUAUAAUGAAUACAAUUUGGACGUUUAAAAAUGUAACGUAAUGAGGGUGUGUAAAUUGUUAAAUGAUGGGCUAAAAACUCAAGGUGCUUGUCUUGAUUAGACAUGCAGUAAAGGAAUUGUAGAUUUAGGUUAAAGCCUUAAAUCCUUAACAACAGCUGACCUUUCCACUCUCUACUUCACAGACCGCUCACAUGACGAAAAAUCUUGAAUUAAUCAAAUUUACAUAAAUACUAAACGCAGCAGGAACAUUUUUAACCUUUUGAACGUUUUCGUAUCUGAACUUUCUCUUCUCUUGAACAAACUUUGGAUGUUUUUCUUUUUGGGAUACACACACAUGGAGAAUGCCUCCAGAUUUAUCCGUCUGUUGUUUGGCAUUUUCUGUCGUCAAAUCAAGGUUCAUCCCGCUGCAAACAACUCUAUCAUUCAGAGCUGGACUCCUUGGUGAUAUUUUGGCAAAUGAUACCAAAACGUUUUAACUCAACGGCAUAAUUAUUGAGAACAAAAAAAAAAGGGAAUCUUAAGACCGGCUUAAUCUGAAGGUUAAUUAAAGUCAGGAAUGGUCCAGUAAUGGAGCAAAUACGAGUCAGUGUUCUUAAUAUUUUAGAUAUCAGCUUAAUUUAUAGUCUCAAAAAGUAUAUUAUAUUUAAUAUUUUACAUUACGCUGCAAAAGACAAGGCCGUAAAGGCUAGAUUAAAAUUUAACUGAGAAUUUCAAAUUAUUAAACAAACUCUUUAUUCUUCUGGUUUUUGUUGUGAUUACCUUUUUAAUUUGUGAAUUUAAGUUUAAUUUCUUUUAGCUUUAAUCCAUAAAAAAGACAUUUUUAAAACUUUUAACAGUAUUGGUGUUAUUUCUGAAUGUAUUCGAUCUAAUAGGUAAUGAUUUUUCUCAUCGAUUUGGAUUCCUCAGUUAUAGCCGUGAGCUGUGUAUAGUGUGCAUACAGUAUAUAACUUUGUGCAACAUACAGCUGAAGGGGAUAUAUAUUUGAGAAACACUGAUUUCACAGCACUUAAAAUGGAUUUAGAUUGUAUUAGCGAUGAGAUCUGAUAGAAGAUGUAUAUACACUUGGUGUUGUAGGUAUUUUUUUGCAGUUCUUUCACAUGAAUAGAUACCAGGAAAUGAAUUUAUAAUACAGUAUUCAUAUUUAACAACAGAAAAUAUGAAGGUCAAGCAUUUUUGUCCGAAGAUUGUCAAAACGUUUCUCUUUGUGUCAAAUAAAUUUUUACAAAAUGUUCUUGACGUGUUUCAACUUUUAUACCUCCCCAUACAGUAUUAUCCAUUAUAAAACAACAUGUGAAUAUGUAGGUUUGAAAGUAAUUUUUUAAAUCAGAAGUCACAUAUUUUCUGAUAAUAACAUAUAUAAUAAUAAUAAUCUAGUAUUAUAUUGUUUUACGCUGCUCAAACAUUUCUUCAAGUGAGGGAUAAUUUCUGCUCUCACAGAGGAUGCUGAAUGUUUUGUGUCAGCCUGACCCCUUGUGGACACCCAUUGUACUCACUGCUGCUCCGCUCUCCCAUUACCAGAAGCAUCACACAAAACAGUACAAGGGAAACAUCCAUAAAACUUGUAUAAAUUUUGUUUAAAUGAAUAAAUCAUCAAUUGUGAUGUUUUGAUUGCAUUUCACAAGCAACACAUGUCCUGAAUUGUUUUUGCAGAGAGUAUCGGAGUUUUUUUUUUUUAAAAAGAGCCUCCGGCUGUUAGCAGUGGUCUGUGUCUGUGAACAUUUAUUUGUAUUUAAGUAGACCAAGACAUUAUUUGUAUUGUUUGAUGCCAAAGUCAAUAAGAGCCCGUACAGAAAUGUGGUUAAAUGUCUCUCUAUUCUCUGAACUGCAGUCAGUGCGUUUGCCUUUGACAACAAUAACUCAUACAUUGAAUAUGUAUUACAGACUGAGCAGUCCUCUGAGAUCUAAUACAUAUAUUUGAUGAAUUUAGUGACUGACUGCUCCGGCCUUUAUCGUCCAGGGUAAAAUAGAUCUGACCAACUUAGAGACAGCAGAACUAAUUAAAUGGAUAAAAGAUAUAUAUGGGCUCCUUAGAGGAUGUAAAAUUAAUAGCAGACCAAAGGACUUGCCUCUGAGCGACUUCGUCCGCUCCACAGCACAGAGACGACUUCGAGGGCUGAGUGUGUGAGGUGUGUGUGUGUGUCUGUCUGCUAAUAUUCAAGUGCAUCUUUACUCUGACAUAUGGGCAUCAUUUGUGAUGUAUAUUUGAUUUUCAUGUUUGCAUUCAUCUGCACUUCAUCUUGUGUACGCUGGAUUUUUAUAAUGGGUCCCUUUACAGUUUGUGGAUGUUGAUAAGAAGAUCUGUGGUAUGAAUGUAGCAGAAAAGACCAUUUAUGCAAAAAGAAUCAGGUAAUACUUUUCCAAACGCUUGAGUUUGAUUGCUGUAUAAAGUGUGCCUGUCAUUUUUUCCAUGUCCACUUCUUUAUCUGACAUAAGAUCACAGUUCCGGUUGAGUCUGGAUUUUGUGAAAAAGCCUCGGCUAACAAACGUUUUUUUAGUUUAGUUUUGUCUUUAUUUAAAAGGCUGAAGAGAGACAAGACCAUGGUGAGUGGAGAGAGGUGGAAGACAAGCUAGUUGUCAGGCGUUGAAUCCGCAACCGCUACAAUAAGGACUGUGGUCUCAGUACAUGGGGUGUGCCAUUAAACCACUGGGUCAACAGCAGCUUUUGUGCUUUUAUUGAAAGAGAGAGAGGAAAGUGGAUAUAUCAAGAAACUGAGGAGAAAGAGUUGGGAGUGGCAUGCAAAAAAAGGCUGCAGGCUGGAAUCCUUACCCAGGCCUUCCACCUUAGGUUUAUGUGACAAGAUCUCUGACUUUGUCUGAGCGUAAAAUGUUUGUUCAUUCAUUAAAUAAAGCAUUAAUAAGAAUAGUUUCACAUAUUGUAGAUACUGAAAUCUGCGUUUUUUCCAGAUUGAACCAUGAUUUAAAUAACAUGUAGAUCACUAUCCCAAACGAGUUCACAGCGCCUUACUGCCAACAUUCCCUUUAAAAGUACAAAAAAUGAAUAUAUCAACUUAACUUCUGUAUUUAUUUGAUUGUGUGUCCAAAAAUUUAUUUUCAUAAACAUAAUACCACUUGAUGUUUUAGUCGCAUUUUUGGUGAAAAGAAAAAUAAUUUAACAGUUUGAGAUACAGCUGUGCAAAUUUUAAACAUCAUUAUAAUUUCUUAGUGAUUCAGCCAAUACGUUUAUUCUUAUUCUCUCUGACAAGUUUCAUGGUAGGACAUGAUUUUAUUAUCUUCAGAUUUGUGUGGUGUUUUCAGCUCAAUAAGAUUAUAAAUGGCACAGUCAUUCCUCUGUCAUUUUUCUAUUCCAUUUAAUGGAGUCCAAGAAACUCAAAAACAUCUUUAGUAUCUUCCAGAGACAGUUUUUGUCUAACCUUGUCUUAAAAAUCAUCUAUAUCUGAUAACCUGUAUUUUUCCUGUUAUUGUUCCUCUUAACGCAGCCAACAUGUAUAUUUGUGUAUGUAUAGUGUGCUCUGUGCAUAUCUGUACAUGUGUUGUUGCCUGGUUGGUUCAGUGUUGUAAAUCUGCAUGGGUAUCUUAAUUAUGACCUGUCAGAUAAAUCACAAAAUGUUGCUUUAAUCUGACCCUGGUACAAGACAUCAAAUGGUAAAACUUUGCUUUAAUAUUUCACAUAGUUCCUCACCAAAUGAGACGUAGAAAAAAAAUACACGAGUUGCUGAUAGACUUUCUGUCAGAGAGUGAAUUAAUUAACGGAGUCAAACCUUGUCCUCCAGUCUCAAGCCAGACCGUUAUGUGUGAGUCUAGUUAAAUAAAUAGUUUAUUCUCUCUCCCUCUUCUUCUCUCGCCCUCUCUUAGACGGAUCUGCUGCUGACCUCACUCCUUCCCCAGAGUGACUGAGCCUGAGGUCGUGUCUGUAUGAGGUGUACUCCACACUGACCCACUUUGACUCUCCCUGCCCUCACCUCCACUUCCCUUUCAACCAGUCAGACUCUGGAUGAAGAGAGGAGACAGGUUUGCUUUCAUGGAGAUUCUAACUGAGGCCAUGCAGGGGGAACAGCAGCUUUCUGGGUCUGAUAGAUAAGGUUCAGAUGAGGAACCUGUUUUCUUUUUCAACUCCUGGGAUCAUACGGUGUGCAGCAUGUGUACACAGAAUAUACACAAAGGAUGAAAAGGCCUUAUACUCUUAUACUAAAGGUGAAGAAUUGGUUUGUUAAUUUGCAAACGUGAGUGGACAAAAUAUUCAAACCACCUGUGAAAUGGAAACCAACUAAAACAGCUUGAGUAGUAAAUGUGAAAUUAGUGAGGCUAUUAAAAACAUGGUUAAACAGGACUAACAGUUCAUGUUUGUAUUAUGUGAUGAGUGAUGGUGACCCAUAACAACUCACACGACCAUAAGUGCGGGUUUGCAGAUGUGUAGAGGUAUCUGCCAAGGAUCUUACAAGGAGCCAAAAACCACAGACAGGCUUUAAGGUUAGCUUGUAAUGGAAACAGAAGUUAAAGGGAUAUUCCAGCGUAAAUUUAAGUUAGGGUCAAACACACCGUAACACCGAGUU